rnacentral:lncRNA from 1 species
CAUCUUGAAAAGAAAAUAAAAAUGUUAAAAAGAAUAGUAAGCUCCAUGUGAGUAUGCUCAUGGCAUAAAACCCAUAGGUACAUUCACUGUGGUGGCAUAAAAUAAAUAUGUUUUCAUCUUACAAUAAAUAUAAAAAUAAUAAGUGCAUGAUCCUACCAAGUAAUAUUUCUUAGGAGGAAUCUCAAUAUGAUAAAGGCUAGAUAUUUAUGCUAACACUUAACCAGUUCCACAAAGCUUUGUUGUCUAUUUGAGCUCCACAGAAUUCAAGGAUCAAAGAAGACAAGCAGACGGAGGACAUCCUAAUCGCUGUCAGGGUACUGCCAACAUUUCAAUACACCUCCGUCACCUGCUAGCUACAUCAGAAGAAAUUACAUCAAAAUCCAGCUUGGGGAGAGCACCCCCAUUUAUCCAGCUAAGUGUUUCUACUCGCGUUUAUACUUUACUCAAAUAAUAAAAAGAUACAUAAUCAUAAAAAAACCUAAAUAAAGAUUUUGUGCUUUUAUAUAUAUCUUUGCUUAGUUUGCGAAAUAAAUAAAUAAAUAAAGUUUGCUAUGAACCCUUAUGAUAAGCUCUCACAUGGAAAUGAUGAAUAGUUGCUCUGCCAUGACUAGUUCUUAAAAUUAAAAUCUCUCUCAAGUUUAGGCAUGACUGUUAUGAAUUAAGAUUUGCUCUAAACCUGAACUUGUGGGAAGAGUACUUGAUCUAAAGUCUAAGUUGUUAACGGAUAUGAUAUGGGAAGGUUGAGCUACUGUUUAUCUGUUCCUAGAGAUGCUAGAAUUCUAGAGAAUUUUAUCUUUGAAAAUCUUUAAAAUAACACAUGAUGAGUUCCUGUAUGAUGAGAGUUUAAAUUCCUACCACAGCCAUACAUACAUGCUUAUUAGACUUUAAGCCACACAUUUACUUUUUACUGCUUAUGAGCAGUGAGUGUGGUCAAGCUGUGUAGACCCUUAGGAGCUUGUCAUGUGGUUAAAUCAAGAUUCACUUGCACGUUCACUCACACAUGCUGCUUCUACUCCGGAAGUACACAUCCACAUAUAUCCACUCAAUUCCAUCUCCAGAUUCACCUAAAAUUAUUCUACCCCUAAUCCGGGAGAGAAUAGCCAAAAAUAUUUUCCUAUCCCUGUUAUUCCCUGUGAAAUAAAUGCUCGAGUUAUCUUGGUUACUACCACUUGCUACAUUAUUUCAGGAGAUGAGUGCUCUAAAAAAAGAAGAAAGGAAAAAAAAUGAAUACGAGGAAAUAAAAAGGGGCAAGUGCCCGGAACCUUGAAGAAAAGAAAAAGUGAGACGAGAGGUAAAAAUGGACAAGUGUCCGACAGUAGAAUUAGGGGUACAAGAUACCCACCAGAGAGGAAAGAAAAAAGAAAAUAUAGAGCAUCUCAUUCUCCUCAAAAAAAGCUUCAAAGUGCAAGAAAGGUAUGUAUCCCCUUAAAAGAGCAAAAAUAGAAUUAGACUUUCACCAUUGUUAUCACCAUCAUCACCAUACACCAUUCACUCACCACACAUGCACAUCUUGAUUUGACUUAUUGACUUGUUUCUCUGGAUCCAUGGUUUGACUAUGCAAUAAAUAUCUUGUAAGUAUGUAUUAGCUGUCUCCCACCUAUGAGCUCCAAAUAUCAAAACCUUAUUAGAGUAGGGUGAGAGAGAAGGCAAUAUCACUAUGCCUUAUACCAAAAAUACCACAUACUUUGAGAGAAGGCAUUGUUGAUGGUCCUUAAGUACUAAAAUUAAUAAUCAAAUAAACAUGAAAAAGGAUCAAUAUGAAACAAACAUCUAGAAUUAGGGUUUUAUCUGACAGAAUUCCAUGAGAUUUGGUGUUUAUCUAUUUCUGCAGGGGGUUAUCAGAGAAUAUGGAGAGAAGGCCCACAUGUCAUGUUUACAACGAGAUAAUUACGUGCUACGCAAUUUUCCUCAAUCUAGAAGAGUCCAGAAGCCACGGGAACGAACGAGAACACGAUCGGGCUCGGGGACAGGGCGCCCGCCCACCCCCCUUGGGCGCCCGCCCAGGCCAGGAGUCCAAUCAGGACUCUGCUUUGGGGCUAAACUCCACCGACCUAAAGGAUCAAUCUAAACCAUACAAUCUAUGUCGGUUUGAUCUGCCCACAUUCACUUGAAAGGACUAUAUAACCAAGGCCUCUCCACCCCUGGGGAGAGAGGAGAAGAGAAGAAAUCAUUAUUCAGAGGUAGCCAUCAAAGUUAGGGUUUAGAGCUUCUCUCCCACAGAGAAUUAGAAUUAGCUACUCCCUAAUCCUUCAAGUUUAGAGGUUUGAUUAGAUAGCAAUUAGAGAAGUAGAGCACAACGCUCUGGAUUCGGAUCUUCGGUAAUAAAGAUUGGUAUUAUUCAUAUCUUUCUCUAAUUCUUUGUUCUAAUUGCAUUAUGUCUCUAAUUAUUAUGUUCUUAGUUUGUUCUAGUUCUAUGUUUGAUAUAGUUAUGAUUGAUAAUGAGUUUAUGUAUAAGUUUGCAAAGCGCUUAGCUCUUGACGCGAGGGAGUUAGGUGAUAGAUCACAUGUGAGCGUGGUGCUUAGAUGUUAUUUAUCUGCAAAUGUAUCCUAUUGGCCGGGUCGUGUGGUAGUUCGCGAUAGUGACAGCUUCGUUGAUUCUUAUAUAGUCCACCCUCCGUUGAUAGGAUAGGCAGAACUGGUAUUGUGGAGUAAGUCGUGCGAUGCUCUGAUUUACUUUAUCAAUGUUCCUUAUACAUGAAUGAAGAGUCUUUUAUGCUAUAUAUGAUCUUGUAGAUAACUAGAGUAGAUUAUGACUUAGUAGUUAGUAGAUAACUUAGAAUCCAUUCUCUAGCUAAUCCGACAUCACCUACAUAUAUGAGGAGUAGUCUAUUUUCUAAUCGCUGUGUUAUUUAUCCCUUGAACUUAUAAUUCAUUAUCAUUAUCUUUAUAGUUUACCCCCUGCUAAAGUAAGUGACUGUGUGACGAGUUUCUCAUUAGUAAUCAUGUUCUUGCAAGUUUAUCUCUAGUCUAUGCCUUGAUAGAUUUUGCCCUUAAUUUAAUCUCCUUAGAUCCCUUGAGCAAAAUUAUAAAUAACGAUACCUGGAAUACUUAUCCUAGUGAAAUGCUACAAUGAGGUGUUUUAUCUGUGCGCUUGCGGAUAGAAUAGAUUAUUUUCUAAAGAGCCUUUACAUUUAUAAAUACCUUUGUACACUCUGGCACCAUGCUGGGGAUGACAACCUAGUAUCUAAGUGGUGUUAGCUAGUGUCAACAUGCAUUUCUGGCGCCAUUGCCGGGGAAUCUCAUAAGUAAGUCAUAAUAGGGUAAUACAUAGGAACGGUAAGGAAAGCCACUAAAUCAGUCAAGGUUAUUCAUAUAAAAUUUUAGACUAGACUAUAGAGAAAUAAUUGCAUAAAACAGCUACUAAGUGAGAAAUCAUAACAAGGCACCUCUGCUUUGGCAGGUUCACCCUCUUGUUUUUCUAUGUUUAUAUUUUUAUACAGGGUAUAUCAGGAUUGACUUUGGGUACAUUCAACUCUUCAUCAUCAGAACCAAAGCAAUCAAGAGAAGAAGAAGCUAGCUACCAAUUGCUGAAGCUAUGGCACAAAAGACCCUACAAGAAUUCUCUGCUCCAAGUCUUGAGAACAUUCCAACUGGUCCAAGACUUGCAGUAGAAGAAGGAGUACCCGAGUUUGAGCUCAAGUCAAGCCUCAUCAAUUUGGUGCAAGCUACACAAUUCAGUGGUAAGGCACAUGAAGAUGCUAGUGCACACUUGCAGAAUUUUUUAGAGAUUGGAAGCACAAUCCACAUCAACGGAGUUGACAAAGACGUCAUACUACUUCACCUUUUUCCAUUCUCACUAGAAGGAAAAGCGAGGAAGUGGUUCUACACUCAUCAAGAUAACAUCAACAACUGGACGAACUUGUCAGAUGCCUUUCUAUCAAAGUUUUUCCCUAUAGGCAAAACAACUGCCUUAAGAGGAAAUAUUGUCAGUUUCCAACAGCAGAAGACAGAAGCUGUUUCAGAAGCAUGGGAGCGUUUUCAAGGAUACAUAUCAGAUAGUCCUCACCAUGGAAUGGCCACAUGGUUACUUAUGCAGACCUUCUACCACGGAUUAACCCAGAAGGCUCGUGAGUGUCUAGAUGCAUCUGCUAAAGGAUCAUUUUUGGAGCUUACAAUUGGAAAAGCAGAGAUACUUUUGGAUAAGAUAGCAGAAAAUCAAAGCUGGUUCCAAGAUAGGGCUCAACAAUGUCAUCAAACUGAAGAAAUACCAGAAGAAGUAAAUGCAUUAUCAACUAAGAUGGAAAAUUUGCUCCAUUGGAUUGACCAGAGGGCCAAGUUCAAAGAAGAUCAAAGGGCAAUGGAGACAGCAUACAAAUAUCAAACAACUUCGAGUCAACCCAAUAGCAAAGGUAUGAAUUCAGGUAAUACUUUCAAGCAACUUUCAUUAAAAGAGAUAAUUGCUCAACAAACUAAAAUUAAUGAUGAAGUUAAACAAAGGUUAGAUACAAAUGCAUCAUCUCUAAAAGAUAUACACAAUAAAAUGGAUUUUCUAUUAACUGCCUUUGAUGAGCAAAACGCUCUUAAUAAAAGGGUAGAGCUUAAAUUAAUAAAGUCAGCUGCUGCACUGCCUGUUGCUACCAACAUUGAGCAGGUAAAUAAUAUAACUACUAGAGGAGGCAAAGCCACUAGGGAUCCCCCAUUCCCAAAAGAGAAACAAAGAACAUCAGCACCAGUGCAACCAGCAGUGAUAGAAGAAGAAAGCCCAGUUGAAGCAGAAGAUCUGCCCCAACCACCAAGAACUAGAGAAAUGAGGAAAGAUUUUUACGACACCAACUAUUUGCCAUUUCCCAGAAGAAAGAGGACUGCAGUCGGAUGAGCAGUUUGGUAAGUUUGUAGAGAUCAUUCAGAAAUUAUAUGUCAGCAUACCUCUGCUCGAUGCCAUACAGGUACCUACAUAUGCGAAGUACAUCAAAGAUAUUCUUAACAAGAAGAGGCCACUGACACCACUGAGGUUAUCAAGCUGACAGAAGAAUAUAGUGCGGCCAUCCUCAAUAAACCACCAAAGAAGAAGGAAGAUCCAGGAUGUCCCACUAUUGAUUGCUCAAUCGGAAACCAACACUUCAACAACGCACUUUGUGAUCUCGGAGCAAGUGUCAGUGUGAUGCCAGCAUUAGUCUACAAAAAGCUUGAGCAUGCAACCCUAGAACCAACAUCAAUGUGCCUACAACUAGCGGAUCAAUCGGUUCGACAUCCGUUGGGUAUCGCCGAAAACAUUCCAGUCAAGAUCAGAGAUUUCCUUGUGCCAGUAGACUUCGUAGUACUAGACAUGAGUCCUGACUCAAAAGUGUCCAUCAUCCUUGGAAGGCCAUUUCUGAGCACUGCCAAUACCCACAUUGAUGUCGGGAAAGGAGAAAUCAAGUUCAACAUAAACGGACAAGAAGAACACUUCACAUUCAAACCCAGACCAGAGAGAGACUCUACUGUGAAGGAAGUUCAUGAAGAACCACUGGAGACACCAUCUUCGGAGGAAGGUAAUUCAGAAGAUUAAAAGAUUUGGAGGUUCAGCUUAGGGGACCUAAAAAUCCCAAACCCUCACCGGGAGGUAAAUCGGUAUUUAUCCGCAUUAUUAAUUUUCUCAUAUUUAAAUUCUUGCAUAAUUAAAUCUUGCAUUAGUCACAUUUAUUCAUAGCAUUAUUAUAAUAAUCAAAAGCCCCAUAUAAAUAAUAUUCAUGGUGUGUAACAACCCAUAUUUAUUAAUUAUUGUGGAGGCACAAAAAUAUUUUCCAUAAUCAUUUUAAUUAAGUUUCAAUUCUCAUAGAUUUUCCUGCAUUAUAUUUAAUUAUAGUAACCUUCUAGAAGCAUGACCCACACUCCUUGGGUCCCACAUGUCAUACACUUCACCUCACAUACAUCCCAUCACAUAAUUUCAUCCACCAAUAUGUUUCCACUCACUAGACAUCUUUCCACCGUCCAACCACCACCAACAUAAUAUUAUUCUGCGUGAGAUCAAAGCAAGGAAGCAAGUAGAGGAGGCACACCCAGGAUUGGCACCAGGGGUGGGCGCCCGCCCACCUACCCAGGGCGCCCGCCCUGUUCCUUGCUCAGCCUAUAAAUGGCCACCUCCAGCUCCCCUUCUCUUCACACACAUAUUUCAGAAAACCUUGCAAGCUCGUAGUUCUCGGUUUCCAGAGAAUAGCUCUGAGUGUGAGAAGGUUGAGAGUUCUUUUGAGUGAGAGAGUGAGUAUCACCUAGUAAGUAGUGAUCCCGUUGUCUAAGCGGAAAUAAAAGUUGUUUAGGGGGAGGCUCUACCAAAAUAGAAACUUGUCUUGAACGAUUAACCCCUGGACUACUGAUAUUCCGGACAGCUGACCACUAACAUUUUCUCUCACAUUUUCCACUAGUUGUGUUUUUGCCAACUUUUGUUUGCAGGAUGUUUAAGAAGGUGAAGAAUGCAGGGAAGGCCCUCAAGAACAUUGGUACAAGGAGUUCAUCCCGACACUCCUCACAGCCAUCAGAGAUGAGCGUCGACCCGACGCCCACACAAGCUCCGUCAACUUCAUUAGGUCAGCAAGUCAAGGUCCUUCUCAAGAUAGGAGACCUUGGACUGAAGACCCGAAGAGAGAAAGAAGUAUAUCAGCAAUUGAAGAAAAAAGAUUUUAUUCACACCCCUACUCUCGAUCCAAUCUUACUACAAGAAACAGGUAUGGACACCGAAUUUAACUUAAUUUUCCAGAUGAUAGGUUGGACAAAUUUUUGGAAUAUAACUGAGCUAGGUUCUCGUCUUCUCACCCUCGAAUUUCUUUGCACCUUACAAUAUUAUGAGGGGGGAAUUGUUUUUCGGAUGUUCAAACAGGAGAUUAUGUUGUCUUGGAGAGAGCUGAGCGACCAUCUUGGUUUCUCUUCAAGAUGCAUCCUGAACAUUGACUCCGACCUACCUAAUUUUGAGAGACACCAGUUUUGGAGAGAAAUAUCUAGAGAUACUUUUUAUAGCCAAGCCCGAACCAGUGACAUGGAACACCCAACUCUUAGGAUGUUCCACAAAUGGCUUGGGUACAAUCUUUUCUAUCAUGAUGAUAUUAGGAAAGUAAGAGUAGAACAUUUGCAACUUUUAUAUGCUGCUAUUAAUAAAGUACCCACUUCACCUGUUACACUUUUAGUUUCUCAUUGGCUUAGUAUACCUAGUCUUCAGGGACCACUAGGAUGUACUUCACUUAUCACUCGUCUAGCCUCUAACCUUCAUUUACUAGAAAACUCAUCGUUGGACUUCAUAGAUGAGUUAAGAAUUUAUCAUGGCUAUGACACAUUUAGACAAGCUCGGAUGUUAAAGAAAGAGGGGAAUAUAAUAUAUAUGCUAUAUGAUGAUAGAGGCAAGAUUCGGUUACCUAACCCGAACCUUGGCCUCUACAUUGUUCAAAACUUUUUGAUUGAGAUUGCAGCAACACUAGUGAACCAGAGAGCUCCACAGCGAGUGGCAUCUGAAAGGAUGACCACCCAUCGAGAACGCACCUGGUAUGGAGCUGAUCCCGGACCAGAAGAAGCAGCGCACCUGCAUUAUUGCGAUUACAACCCCUGAGUCCUUCGAGACCCAUGGGUUCGACAAGCGCAACCACAAGAGCCAACAGAGGAGACAUGGCCGGAGAGCCAAGACCACCAGUGGACAAACCCGCCUUUCCAUACGGGCAGGUACUCCACUGAUCCAUAUGGAGCUUCAAGAUCCAGACCUCCACCCCAAUUUGAUGCAGGACGAUACUCGGACGCCUCCUACGUUUUCACGAAUGACUACUAUCAAGAGGCCGGUGCUUUCUUCACUCGUACCGAUAACACUCUCCUCGACAUCCAGAACAUGCAAGCAGAACAUGGAAGACUCCUGGAAGAGCAACAAAAAUGGAACCAGGACCAUGCUGCUGCAGUACAAGAGCUGAGACAAGAUACAACAACAAUGAACGACAACAUCACAAUCAUGAUGUGGUUCUGGAACCUCGGGUAAGGCCGACAUCAACAUCCAGCUUGGGGGAGUUCCUCCCCAAUUUAUCAAGUAAGUUUUUAAUUGCUCUUCUUAUUUAUUCUUUUCUAUUUUAGUAUUUUACUUAAAAAGGAAAAACUUAGAAAACCCAAUAAAUAUUUUCUUGCUUUAAUUUACUACAUUUUAUAAACAUGAAAACAAAAUAAAAAGAGUGUGUAGAUAAGUGUGCUUUAUUUUCUUGCUAAGUUUAAUCUCUAGAAAAAUAAAAAGACCAAAAAGAUGCAUAAUGAAAAUGAUGAGCAGUUGCUCUGUUUGCUUACUUUCGAGUACCUAGCUUUUAUAUUAGAGUUCUUCCAGGAAUUACUAAAACUUACUAUCUUUGGGAAGCAUAAAACUAAUGUCUAGGUAAGAGAAAGGCAUGAUAUAAAGUUGAGCUGCUGUUUACCUUGUUCCUACUACACUAAGUUCUGGAGAUUUAUUUUGAAAACUUACAAAUCACAUGAUGAGUUCCUAGCAUUACAACUACCUACCAUAGCCAUACUUGCUAUAACAUCUUUUACUAUAUUUACAUUGAGUUUGAUCGAGCUGUGUAGACCCUUAGGAGCUUUUCAUGUGGUUAAAUUAAGAUAUUCACUUGCACACAUCUACCACAGCAUUCAUCACCAAUCAUUAAAAUUGCUAAAAAAAAUAUAUUAUCACUCACUGUCCCAAGUAUUGUUAUUUUCUCUCUCUAAAAAGAUUCAAUGCAGAAGAGGCAUGGGUUAUGCAAAAAUAUGCGAGGAAAUAAAAAGGGCCAAGUGCUCGGAACCUCGAAAAAGAAAGAAAAAGAGUGAGACGAGAGGUAAAAAUAGACAAGUGUCCGGAGUAGAAUUAGGGGUACAAAGAUGCCCACUUGAGCGGAAAAAAAAUGGACAAGUGUCUGACAGUAGAAUUAGGGGUAUCUACUACCUACCUGAAAAAAAAAGAAGAAAAAGAAAGAAAAGAUAGCCCAUGUUCUCCCAAAGCAAAGAUCAAAGAGGAGGAGAGAUAGCAAUAUGAGGAGCAAUGCGAAGUAAGUUUUAUUAUCACCAUCACUACCAUUUACUCCACCACACAUGCACAUCUUGACUUAAUUAUCUGCUAAGUUCCUUUGGAUCCAUGGCUCGAUUAGACAACAUAUGUAUGAGUUGUUUUUCACUCCUAUGAGCUCCACUUAAAUAUUCCAUUAGCUAUAGGUAAGUGACAUUUUGGUAAGGAUCCACAAAUACCACAUAUAGAGAGACUUGAGAGAAUCAUUGUUAGGAACUCUGAGUUUUAUUUUGAAAAACUUAUGAAAAACUCUGGAACAAAGGUGAAGUAUAGAUAGGAGGAAUAGUGCUUGACUUAAUUAUUUUGUCUUUCAAUUACUUAAGACUUAAGUGCAGGUACUAAACUCCAUAACACUUCACUCUAAUCUAGAAGAAUUUUUAUAUAAAAGCAUGUGUGCCUAUCAGGAAAGAAAACAUCGAAGCAACUCCUGAUCCAUGUGAGUUUAGCUAUUUUCUCAGGGACGAGCAAAGGGUAAGCUUGGGGGAGUUUGUUGACGGUCCUUAAGUACUAAAAUUAAUAAUCAAAUAAACAUGAAAAAGGAUCAAUAUGAAACAAACAUCUAGAAUUAGGGUUUUAUCUGACAGAAUUCCACAAGCUUUGGUGUUUAUCUAUUUCUGCAGGGGGUUAUCAGAGAAUAUGGAGAGAAGGCCCACAUGUCAUGUUUACAACGAGAUAAUUACGUACCGCGCAAUUUUCCUCAAUCUAGAAGAGUCCAGAAGCCACGGGAACGAACGAGAACACGAUCGGGCUCGGGGGCAGGGCGUCCGCCCACCCCCCUUAGGCGCCCGCCCAGGCCAGGAGUCCAAUCAGGACUCUGCUUCGGGGCUAAACUCCACCGACCUAAAGGAUCAAUCUAAACCAUACAAUCUAUGUCGGUUUGAUCUGCCCACAUUCACUUGAAAGGACUAUAUAACCAAGGCCUCUCCACCCCUGGGGAGAGAGGAGAAGAGAAGAAAUCAUUAUUCAGAGGUAGCCAUCAAAGUUAGGGUUUAGAGCUUCUCUCCCACAGAGAAUUAGAAUUAGCUACUCCCUAAUCCUUCAAGUUUAGAGGUUUGAUUAGAUAGCAAUUAGAGAAGUAGAGCACUACGUUCUGGAUUCGGAUCUUCGGUAAUAAAGAUUGGUAUUAUUCAUAUCUUUCUCUAAUUCUUUGUUCUAAUUGCAUUAUGUCUCUAAUUAUUAUGUUCUUAGUUUGUUCUAGUUCUAUAUUUGAUAUAGUUAUGAUUGAUAAUGAGCUUAUGUAUAAGUUUGCAAAGCGCUUAGCUCUUGACACGAGGGAGUUAGGUGAUAGAUCACAUGUGAGCGUGGUGCUUAGAUGUUAUUUAUCUGCAAAUGUAUCCUAUUGGCCGGGUCGUGUGGUAGUUCGCGAUAGUGACAGCUUCGUUGAUUCUUAUAUAGUCCACCCUCCGUUGAUAGGACAGGCAGAACCGGUAUUGUGGAGUAAGUCGUGCGAUGCUCUGAUUUACUUUAUCAAUGUUCCUUAUACAUGAAUGAAGAGUCUUUUAUGCUAUAUAUGAUCUUGUAGAUAACUAGAGUAGAUUAUGACUUAGUAGUUACUAGAUAACUUAGAAUCCAUUCUCUAGCUAAUCCGACAUCACCUACAUAUAUGAGGAGUAGUCUAUUUUCUAAUCGCUGUGUUAUUUAUCCCUUGAACUUAUAAUUCAUUAUCAUUAUCUUUAUGGUUUACCCCCUGCUAAAGUAAGUGACUGUGUGACGAGUUUCUCAUUAGUAAUCAUGUUCUUGCAAGUUUAUCUCUAGUCUAUGCCUUGAUAGAUUUUGCCCUUAAUUUAAUCUCCUUAGAUCCCUUGAGCAAAAUUAUAAAUAACGAUACCUGGAAUACUUAUCCUGGUGAAAUGCUACAAUGAGGUGUUUUAUCUGUGCGCUUGCGGAUAUAAUAGAUUAUUUUCUAAAGAGACUUUACAUUUAUAAAUACCUUUGUACACUCUGGCACCAUGCUGGGGAUGAUAACCUAGUAUCUAAGUGGUGUUAGCUAGUGUCAACAGGCAUAUACCAUUACUGCCUUGGUAAGGAUCCAGAAAUACCACAAAAGAGAGAAUUGAGAGAGUCAUACAAGGAAUCUCUGAGUUUUAUUUGAAAAUCUGCAAAAACUCCAGAGCUAUAGCUGAUCAAGAAUAAGAAACAUGGAGCUUGACUUGACCGUUCUAUCUUUUAACUGCUCAAGACACAAGUGACGGUUACAAGCCCCAUAGUGAAAGGUAAAAUGAGUAAGUUUUAAGUCUUAAUAGUUUACUCUAACUUAGAGAUAAGAUCUUACUUUUAAAGCAUAAAACCACUGCAGAAACUCUUGAGUUCAUCCUUGCUCAGGGAUGAGCAAGUGGUAAGCUUAGGGGAGUUGUUGACAGUCCUUAAGUACCAAAUAUAAUCAUCAAAUAAAUAAAGAAAAGGAUCCAAAUGCAACCAACACCCAGACUUAGGGUUUUAUCUGAUAGAAUUCCACGAGUUUUGGUGUUUGUCUAUUUCUGCAGGGGGUUAUCAAGAAAUAUGGAGGAAAGGCCCACACGUCGGGUUUACAUAGAGAUAUUAACGUGCCGCGCAAUUUUCUGUCAUCUAGAAGACUCCAGAAGCCACGGGAACAAACGGGAAGGCGAACAGGCCCAGAGGCAGGGUGCCCGCCCUCCUUCCUUAGGCGCCCGCCCUGUUCCAGAGUCCAAUCAGGACUCUCUUUGGGGAUUACUCUCCACCGACCUAAAGGAUCAAGGAUAACCGUCCAAUCAAUGUCGGUUUGAUCCAACAGCCCAGGUUCACUUGAGGGGACUAUAAAACCAGACCCCCUGGCCCCUAGAGGAGACAAGUUUUUCAUAGAGUUGAGAGGAGCCCUCGAAGGAAUACCUCUCCUCUAAAUAAAAUUUCUUUUAGGCUUAGCAUCCAAUGUGAGUAGAAUUAGAUCUUCUAGUUUCUACUAGAUUGAGAGAUAUAGAGUGGAGGUGUAGAUCGGAGGAAGCCCGGCCUGUCGGUGUCUACUCCGAGGUUGUACCUGCGGGAUCAAGUCUUCUAACCCGAGGCUUGCUCCUAGGACUCUUCAGUAAUUCGACUUCUAAAUUCUAGUAAGUUCUUGUUCUUAUUGCUCUUUGGUUUAUGAGUUUACUUUAAUCUCUUCCGGUUGAGUAUUAGAGUAAUCACAUGCUAGUGUAAACGUGGUGUUUAGGCUAGGGUACUCAUAGAUAUCCCCUGACUAGCUGGACCGUGGUAGUAGCAAGGAACGCGACAUUUCCGAGUUACCUUUGUAGCCCACAUCUUGUUAGCAGGACGGGUAGGGUUUAUAGGUGCGGGUCGAACAUCCUUUGUGGUGUCUAGAUUCCGUAAACUUCCCCAAUAGAACAGUAGAUCAUCCUUACCAAGGUUAGAACGAGACUACGGUUGCAGUCUUCUCUAUACAUCACUCACAUCGAGAAACAUUCUUUGUAGCCUAAAGGGAUAGUAGCAAUAGAUUUGGUUAGUCACAUGCACCCUUUCUCCCAGUGGUAAAAAUAUAAAUACGAUACUCUGGAAAACCUCCCGGGUGAAAUGCUCACCGAUAUCCGUGCGCUUGCGGAUCAUUUCCUUAUUGCGUUACCAAAUAUCAACACCGAUGCCAUAGGAGCCUUGCCUCUCAUGUCAGCCGUUUGAGAUGUGUCGGGCGUCUUCAACAUCAUUUCUAGGGGCAUACCAUAACCCCACCAGUUGGGAGGAACAGAUCCCGAUAUUGCCGAUGCCAAUAGAUCUGUUGCAAGCUUGAUCUGCUCAUCAGAUGUUGAUGGAUUGGUCAUCAUCGGCAUGGAUUGCACAUUAGUGAGUCCUAGUGUAGCCGAUGGAGCUGUAACCACUGGUGAUCCUAGCUGAUGACAGACAGGGCCCACAUAAUUUGGUGGCAGUUGUCCUUCUUUGAAAGUUCUAGCCACGGCAUUGAAAACCGUAUUGGACAGCACACCAGCUUGAUUGAUCAAGGCACGGUUAAUAGCACUAUCAACCAUGUCUUGAAUUUUACCAGGAUUAGCUUCAAAAGUAACCUACCGAGGUGUCGGCAGUGCUUCCUUCUGGAUAGGGAUGAAAACGGUACGGAUAUUUUCCGACCGUAUUCGAGACCGAAUUCGUUUAGAGAGGUUCAGAUUUUUCCGUAUCCGAGUCCGAAUAUUCAACAUCCGAUAACGUAUCGUAUCCGAAUACUUAAAUCAUAUAUUUACGAUGUUGACAUCUAAUCCUACCUUAUCCGAUAUGAUUGAUAUUAUCCGUAUUCGAAUCCGAAUCCGACCAAAAAUAUGAAAACAAAUAUGAUAUCGGUGGUAUCCGUCCGUAUCCGAUCCGUUUUCAUCCCUACUUCUGGAUCACCUCGCCACUCCUGUUGAUGCUGAAGGAUUUCAAACAUUGCUGCUUGUAGUCCUCCAUAGCUUUUGCAAUAGCUUGCUUCUGCUCAUCUCUAAGAUUGGCUUCCGUCACGGGGAUAACGUUCUCCAGGUCAAAAUCGGUAUUCGACAUGUUGAUCUUGAUCUUGAAUCUGGUCCCACUAGGCGUGCCAAAAGAUGUGUUGAUGCAAAACUGAUCUGCAAACACAAAGGGCUAAUACCCGAUUCAAACGUUAAGGUGUGCCAGCCGAUUUGUCCUUACUAUCGGCAAAGAUGAUAACUCGAACACUUUGGUCCCGACAACAGCGAUGCACCCGGAUGUCACGGCCAAGAGGUGUUCACGCGGAACUCGAGAAUACGCCAAACUUAAGUCGAUGAAUCCUUAAGAACUCAUAAUAAAAAGGAAAAUAUGACGAACCCGUCGAAAAAGUAGAUGCUGGAAUAUGAGUAAAAACUUGUGUUUGAUUGAUUGAUCUAUAUCUUAUUACAAGGCCCUAGGGUCUAUAUUUAUACCCUGCUCAAAGAGCUACAAUCAGACACGACUAGGACUCAAAUUCCAAAUUAAACGGAGUCCGUAUACAAAACGACUUUAAAUAACUAAGGAAAACAUAAAACUAUCCCCCUGUAACCGAUCGGGACACCGCCACAGAUCAAUCGGCAAUCUCCACGCUCCCCUUCAUAGUCAUCGGCAGACCUCCUAUUAUGGCCAUCGGCAAAUACCUAAUACUGAUCAUCGGCACGAACACGUCACCACCUCUGGACUUAGUCGCAUUUGAUUGUCUCCUCAUCGGCAACCACCUUCAUCGGCAACGUCCCUGCAGACUAGUUACCGUUGUUCCCUCUGCCGAUCUAUACUUUACUAAUCCUCGGGUACGUGUCCAAAAAUGGUGUCAACAAUAUGCAUUAGGAUCUAGUGAGAGUGCUAACGCCUUUGAGAAAAUGCUUGUGAAAAUGCUAACACACUUGCACAUGGUGAUUUACACAUGGUGGUGUUGGCACAUUUGCAAAGGAGGUGGAGUUUGAGGGGUAGAGAGGGGUUUGGAAUCCUCUCUCCCUCCUGAUGAGCUUGCAAGGUGGGAUUUGGUGUUUUUUGUGAAAAUAAAAUACCUAUUUGAAAAGGUGGCAAAGUCACAAGCAUCAGAUGUUGCUUAGUGUCACAUUAGACGCUGGGGCUAUGUCUGAUGUAUACUGGACAUUUGGCACAGUGCCACAUGAUACACCAGUGCAUUCAAUGCUCUAGCAGUGGACACGGCUAGAACACUGUUGAUCAUCCGACGCGUAGUGAUUUUAGUAGGGUCACGAGCGAGGAGUCUUGGUGGUGCAUGCAUCGAACGCUGGUCAUAUUCAAUGGCACCCCUAUCGGAUGCAUCUGUUGGCGAGAAACCAGUUUUGAUACCACUCAGGGUUGCAUCCGAUGUGUGGUGUCGGCAUCUGAUGGUUUUUGCUGGAGCAUCCAACACCACCUUUAACUGCAACACUACCUUGUGACCAUUAGAGAUCGACAUGUGAGAUUUAAAAGAGGAGCCGCUAUCUAUGCGCCAGACGUUGGGUGCUAGCAUCUGAUGGCUAAUCAUCGAAGCAUCUAAUGCCCCUGAUUUCUGUGUAGUGAGAGAGCCACGACUCUAUUUGUUUAGGGGCAUCUAUAAAUAGGUGUUGGCCAACUUGGGCAAGCUCUCUUGGCCAUUUUUAUUGACAUUGUAGCCUUGUGAGCCUAGCCAACACACUCCCACGCAAUUGCAUCAUUGAUUCAUCUUCUUUGUGAGAUUGGGAGAGCAUACAAGUGCAUUGCUUGAGUGUUUCAAUCUAGAGGCACUUGGUGAUCGUGUUUUGCUGUGGGAUUCACUUGUUACUCUUGGAGUUUUCCAACUCCUAGAUGGCUUGGUGUAGCGAGGAUCAUCGAGUGGAGGUUGGUGAUUGUCUUCAGCUCUGAUCGUGGUGAUUGUGAGGGGUUCUUGAGCCUUCCCUAUGGGAGUUCACUAAAGGCAUCUCUAGUGGAUUGCUCGUGGCUUGUGUGACCAUCAUAUUGUGUAGGUUGUAUGGCACCCUAGUGAGGGUUGGCAUGUGAGGCCAUUAAGACCAUAUGCCUCCAAGUGAGUGAGUUGCCACAAUGAGGACUAGCUUGCCGAGAAGCAAGUGAACCUCGGUAAAAAAAUCUUUAUGUCAACAUUUGAUUCUGAGGUGAUUUGUCCUCAUUGGCAUUCUCUAUUGUGGUUGAUUGGCUCAUUCCUCUUUGUGGUGGUAUAUUAAUCCUAACCCUUCUUUGCAUUACUUUGCUAGCUAGUUUUUAUAGCUUUCUUACUUAGCUUAGCUUAUCAUCUAGGGGUAAGUAGUGACAUAGUCUUCGUGUGCUUCCUUAGAGACUAUAGAAACUAGAUUGCAUAGGAGGCUUGCAUCACCCUUGUAGGGCUAGUGCCAAAUUCAUUUCACCAUCUUAUAUACUAAUCAAGUGCUUUUAGUGUUGUUGUAGAAAUUUUUAUUAGGCUGUUCACCCCCUCUAGCCAUUAGAACCUUUCACCUAGCCAUAAAUGCUCCAACUUAGUGUCUUUGCAUAUGGUUGAGGAGCUUUGGCAGAUGCUACAAGGAGAUGAGAAUGCUCUGAGUAUUGGGUCUGAUGAUGGCAAUGAUUCUAGAGAAGACUUGAUGGCAUUGUCAACUAAUGCUAUAUAGGGAAUAGAAUUGGGUAAAACUAUUAGGAUGAUAGCUUAUCUCUGUGGAUAGGAUGUGGUGAUGUUAAUUGAUUCUAGCAGUUCAAACAACUUUAUCAGUGAAUCUAUUGCAUCUAAGUGGAGGAAUUGGUUACCCCUCAAGAUGCCCAUGAAAGUGAAAGUUGCUAAUGGUGAAGUGCUUCAAUGUACACAUGAACUACCAAAUUUCCCAAUCUAGAUGUUAGGCCAUGCUUUCAAGAUAUCUAUAAAAAUCUUACCCCGCAGCUAUUAUGAUGUCAUUAUGAGCAUUGAUUGGCUAGAAGCCCACAACCCUAUGGAGGUGGAUUGGAAACAAAAGUGGUUGUCCUUUGACUAUUUGGAUGAAAGGAUAGUGUUACAAAGAAUUAACCCUAAUUUAGUCAAGUGUGAGAUGAUCAAUAAAUCCAAGUUGUCUACCUUGGUCCGCCAAGACAAAUUGUAGUGCAUGGUGGAAUUACAAGCACCCAAGAGCAAUUCUAUCACCAAUGCAAGGAGAAGCCUAAGGAAGUGUAGCAACUCAUUGAGGAGUUCUGUGAAUUGUUUGAAACACCAACUAAAUUGUCUUCCCAGAAAGCUACUAAUCACUUGAUACCCCUAUUGUAGGGUUCCCAACCUUUCAUAUUUAAGGCCAUACCGGUACAAUUAUGCUCAUAAAGACAAAAUUGAGAGACAAAUCAGACAGAUACUAGAGAAUGGUUGGAUUCAGGAAAGUGACAACCCUUAUGCAUCUCCUACCUUACUAGUUAAGAAGAAAACCAAGGAUUGGUGCCUCUGUGUUGACUACAAGAGGUUGAAUGCUAUGAUAGUCGAAAACAAAUUUCCUUUGCCUAUUAUCGAUGAACUAUUGGAUGAACUAGUGGGAGCACAAUGGUUCACUACACUAGAUUUGUCCUUAGAUUUUCACUAAAUACUGAUGGUAGACAAGACAUUGUUAAGACAACAUUUCAAACUUAGCAUUAUGAGUACAGGGUGAUGCCUUAUGGAGUCACAAUGAGGUCCUGCUACCAUCCAACAUGUCGUGAACUCUGUCUUGGCUCUAGUUUUGAGGAAAUUUGUUGUAGUCUUCAUAGAUGAUGUUUUAAUUUACUGUAAAAGCUAGUUUGAACAUCUAUAACAUAUCAAACAAGUGUUUUCCCUUCUUCAACAACACCAAUUCAAGGUCAAGCUUUCAAAAUGCUCUUUUGCUCAUACUAAGAUAACAUAUCUAGGACAUGUGAUCUUGCCCAGGGGUGGCAACUGACCCUAGUAAGAUAGUUAUAGUCAAGGAUUGGCCAACACCUUUGUCAGUCAAGGAUGUUAUGAGCUUUUGGGCUUAGUAGGAUAUUACAUGAAGUUUGUGCAGGGUUUUGGUGCUAUUUGUAAUCCCCUAAUGAAAGCCCUAGUUUGGUUUUGGAUAAUUGAUGAAACCCUAGUACUAACCUCUAUGCUAAGUGUGUAGACUUAAUAAGGUUGGUACAUGCCAAGUGACGGAGCAAGUGAUGAUCAUGGUGAUGAUGGUAAUGACCACAAGAUGAUCAAGUGCUCAACUUAGAAAAGAAGAAAAAGAAAAACAAAACCCUAUGGAGAUCAAGGCAAAGAUAUUGCUUAGGGUUUUGGUUUUGAUGAUCAAGACACCAUAGAGGGUGUGAUCACAUUUAGGAUAGAUAGCCGUACUAUAAAGAGGGGAGUUCUUUGGCUAAGCGGUUAUCAAGUGCCACUAGGUGUCAUUGUUUUUGUGCAUGCAUUUAGAACCUAGUGAGCUAACUUAACUCCUUCAAAGAAAUUGUUUGUGAAAAUGCUAACACACGUGCACAUGUUGGUUUACACAUUCUGGUGUUGGCACACUUUGAGAAGGAGGUGGAGUUUGAAGGGUAGAGAGAGGAUGGGUUCCUCUCUCCCUCCCGCCGAGCUUGCUCGGUGGGAUUCGGUGCUUUUUAAGAAAAUGAAGUGCAUAUUUUCUAUUGUGCCGGUGGGAAAAUUUGGAGAAGUCGUGGGAGUAUUUCUCGCUGAGAAACACUCAUCGGACGCUGGCCACUGAGGCACCAGACGCUGUGUCUGUGCGUCCGGUGUAGUCAGUGCCUGGCUCUGCUAGGAUUAGGCACCGGACGCAGGAGAGAUCCUGUUGGCGCAUCCGGUGUGACUUGACUUCAGCUGGUGUGUUUGACUGGAAGCUGUUGGGUAUUCUUAACAUCAUUACCAAAAGUAGACUAAGUUCUCUAAAUCUAGUAACGGUGCCAAAAAUGACAAACCUAUCCCUCACACCACUUAAGCCAAGUUGUCAUCCCCAGCAUUAUAUAAGAGACGCGGUAUUGAAAUAUGCAAUUGCUCUUCUAAAUAAAUAAUGAAUGGGAUCUGCAAGCGCACAGAUUAAUACCGAUGCAGCAUUUUAACCGGGAAGUAUUCCAGGUAUCGUUAUUUAUAUUUUUACCACUGGGAAGGGAUUAGAAAUCAUCACUAAUGAUUACAGAAUAGAAUAUGAGAUUGAGCAUCUAUCAUUGCAUGUAUAAUUGAGAACAUUAUAUCUAACUCAUCAUACAGGGAUAAAUGUCACAUAAAAGAUAUAUGAAAUAAUAAUAGUGACAAGGAUAACAAAUCUGAUCUAGCCACAUAAUAAAUAUGAUAAGCACCUCAAUUAGAUACUCUAGAAAGUCAUUAGCAUGGUAUUAGAACGAACUACAAGAAUAUUCCCUAAGUUAUUCUCAACUAUAUAGUCUAACAUUAUCAUAGUUAGUGCAAGCAUACUUAGCAAUCAUUGUGAGACAAGACUACACCCAUGCAUAGUGAUAUUAGCAAGGAAUAUGAGAAACAUAGCAAUCACUCCCCUGUAAUAAUGUUGCUCUGCCAGCCCAAUACACGAGAGGGGGACUAUAUAAGAAUCAAUGAAGCUGUCACUAUCACGAACCACCCCACGAUCUGGCAUAUUGGGUACAAUCGCAGAUAAAUACGGUAUAAGCACCACGCCUACACAAUAUCUAUCAUUUACCCAUGGAUCCGAUGGAUAAACGCUAUACGAUCCUAAGCAUGUAUAUAGAUCGUAUCUAACUAAGCCAAGUACAUAACUAUGAUAAACUAAGAACAAUAUAAUCUUGAAUAUAAGCAAGUAGAGCAAAGUCAUAAGCAAUAUAUUGAAGUAGAACAAAGUCAUAUUCAUAAUAUUGAAGAACAAAGAUAAUUAGAAAGCAAUUAGAAGCACAAUUAGAGAAUUACCAAGAAUCCUCCUGACAGAUCCGGAAACCAAUCGAAGAUUGACUCCUUCUAGUUCUAAUCCUAUGUAGCUAUGCUAAUCUAGAUAUCUAAUUGAUGUGGUGGCUCUAAUCUCGAUCAGAGGCUUCUUCUCCCUUGAUGGAACAAUGAAUUAGGGUUGAGAGGCUCUCCCUCCAGGGGCUAGGGGGUCUGGUUUUAUAGUCCCUCCAAGUGAAUAUGGGCCCUUGGAUCAAACCGACAUAGAUUGUAUGGUUUAGAUUCAUCCUUUAGGUCGGUGGAGACUUCCCGCAAAGCAGAGUCCUGAUUGGACUUGGACAGGGGGCGGGCGCCCAGUAGGACAGGGCGGGCGCCCUGCCUCUGGCCCCGUUUCGCCUCCGCUUCGGUCUCGUGGCUUCUGGAGUCUUCUAGAUGUAAGAUAAUUGCGCAGCACGUUAAUAUCUUUACGUAAUCCUGACAUGUGGGCCUUUCUUCCAUAUUUCCUGAUAACCCCCUGCAGAAAUAGACAAACACCAAAACUCGUGGAAUUCUGUCAGAUAAAACCCUAAGUCUAGAUCUUGAUUUCAUUUGGAUCCUUUUCUUUAUUUAUUUGAUAAUUAAAUUUGAUACUUAAGGACCGUCAACCAACUCCCCCAAGCUUACCUCUUGCUCGUCCCUGAGCAAGGAUAGACUCAGCUAUGGAUCAGAAGUUGCUGUAAUAUUUUUUUUAAGGCGGUACACAUGCUUUUAAAUAAGAUCUCAUCUCUGAGUUAGAGUAAACUGUCAAGACUUAAAACUUACUUACUUUACCUCCACCAUGGGACUUGUAACUGUCACUUCUGUCUUGAGUGGUUAAAAGAUAGAACAGUCUAGCCAAGUGCCAUGUCUCUUAUUCUUGAUCAGCUAUAGCUCUGGGAUUUUUGCAGAUUUUCAAAUAAAACUCAGAGAUUCCUUGUAUGAUUCUCUCAGGUCUCUCUUUUGUGGUAUUUUUGGAUCCUUACCAAGGCAUUGAUGGUAUAUGCCUUCUCUCAAGAUAUGUGGUAUUUGUGGUAUGAGGCAUAGUGAUAUUGCCUUCUCUCUCACCCUACUCUAAUAAGGCUUUAAUAUUUGGAGCUCAUAGGUGGGAGAUAAAGUAUACAUACUUACAAGACAUUUAUUGCAUAGUCAAACCAUGGAUCCAAAGUAACAAGUCAAUAAGUUUAAUCAAGAUGUGCAUGUGUGGCGAAUGAAUGGUAUAUGGUGAUGAUGGUGAUAACAAUGGUGAAAACAAUGGUGGUGGAGGUCUAAUUCCACUUUGCUCUUUUGAGGGGAUACAUACCUUCCUUGCUUUUGAAACUUUAUGAGGAGAAUGAGAUGCUCUUCUUUUUCUUUUCUCUCAGGUGGGUAUCUUGCACCCCUAAUUCUACUGUCGGACACUUGUCCAUUUUUACCUCUCGUCUCACUUUUUCUUUUCUUUCGAGGUUCCGAGCACUUGCUCCUUUUUAUUUCCUCGUAUUAUUUUCUCUCUCUCUUUUUUUUUCUUUUCUAGAGCACUCAUCUCUUGAGAUAAUAUAGCAAGUGGUAGUAACAAGAUAACUUGAGCAUUUAUUUCACAAGGGGAAAACAGAAAAUAUUUUUGGUUAUUCUCUCCCGGAUUAGGAGUAGAAUAUUUUCAGGUGGUUCUAGAGAUGGAAUGGAUGGAUAUAUGUGGAUGGUACUUCCAGAGUAGAAGUAGCAUAUAUGAGUGAACGUGCAAGUGAAAUCUUGAUUUAACCACAUGACAAGCUCCUAAGGGUCUACACAGCUUGACCACACUCAAUGCUCAUAAGCAGUAAAUAAUAAAUGUGUGGCUGAAAGUCUAGCAAGCAUGUAUAUAUGGCUGUGGUAGGAAUUUAAACUCUCAUCAUACAGGAACUCAUCAUGCAACAUUUUAAAAAUUUUCAAGAUAAAAUUCUCCAGAAUUCUAGCAUCUCUAGGAACAGAUAAACAGCAGCUCAGCCUUCCCAUAUCUUAUCCGUUAACAACUUAAACUUCAGAUCAAGUUUUCAUCCCACAAGUUUAGGUCUAGGGCAAGCUUUAAAUUAUAACAGUUAUAUCUAAACUUGAGAGAGAACUUAAAAUUUGCAAAUUAGGCAGAGCAACUAUUUAUCAUAUCCAUGCUUAAGUUUUAUUUAGAUACAGAUUAGCAUAGCCACUUUAUUUAUUUAUUAAACACACUAAGCAAAAGAUAUAUAUAUAUAAGCUUAAAAUCUUUAUUUGGUUUUCCCAUAGUUUAUGUAUUUUAAUAUUCUAAAAUAAUGUAAGUAUAAAGAUAGAUAGAAAUACUUAUCGAGAUAAAUGGGGGUGCUCUCCCCCAAGCUGGAUUUUGACGUAAUUUCUCUUGAUGUAGCUAGCAGGUGGCAGAGGUGUAGUUGAAAGUCAGCAGCAUUCUGACAGCGAUUAGAAUGUCCUCCGUCUGCUAGUCUUCUUAAAUUCUGUGGAGCUCAAAUAGACAACAAAGCUUGUGGAACUAAUUAAGUGUUAGCAUAAAUAUAUAGCCUCCAUUAUCUUGAGACUCCUUAAUAAUUAUUACUUCCUGUUUUUAUAUUUUUAUUUUAUAAAGCAGAAAAAUAUUUAUUUUAUUUUUAUGCCACCACAGUGAAUGUACGUAUGGGUUUUAUGCCACUCGUAUAUUCACAUGGGGCUUACUGUUUUUCAUAUUUUUAUUUUCUUUUUAAGAUAAUACGAAUAUGAUUAACUAAGUAAACUAUUUUAAAUAAUUGAAAGAGAAAGGGUAACUACCAAGUUUACCUCUUGGCAAGGCGUUCGGUGUUUUUAAGUCCUCCGAACGGGACUCUCCAAUUUCUUAAUCGUCCUGAGGUUCGUUGGGUGGCGUAGUCGGUACUUCCGGCAGUGCCUCCUCUUCUUGUAUAGUUAUCUUCAUUUUCCAUACCUGACUCGGUGCUUCAAUCUCCUCUGGAUAAUUCUGUUUAAACUCAACGUCUUCUGAUCUUACAACUUCUCCUUCAUAGUCUGCCCAUCCAUCCUUGAUGAUCUGCCUCCUCUGGUUGCGGUUGCGUCUCUUUCUGACCUGCUUAGAUUCUUCAACGAUAUAGUUAGGGUCAGUAAAAUAACGGCGUACCUUCUCUGAGGGGAAGUGCAUAUGGACUUCUCCGGUUCCAAUGUAGAUAAUUACUUUAACGGUGCUGAGGAACGGUCUUCCAAGGAUGAUGGGUGGAUCAUACUCGUCUUCUCCCAUGUCAACAACUUGAAAGUCUGUGUAGACAAAGUGAUCGUCUAUUUUGACUGGGACAUCAGAUACUGUUCCUUGAACUUCUCGAAAUGUCUGAUCUGCCAUCUGGAGCUGAAUGUAUAUUGGUCUUAGUGGCAUGGUUCCGAACAAGAGCCGAUAGGUGACUGCGGCCAUUAUGUUGACGCCCGAUCCGGUGUCGCAAAUCGUCUUGUAGAAGUUGUAUCCAUUUAUGGAGCAGUAAAUGCUUGGCAUUCCUGGGUCGUCCUUCUUGGUCAAAAACGGUGACUUAAGUUGGUGAUCUUGGCCUCCAUGAACUACAGUGACCAUCUUAGCUGACUCGGUCCACACUUGCUUGUUCCUGUUUCUUCUGUUGGUCCUCUUCCUUGAUUCACGUCUGGAUUGAUCUUGAAUUUGUGUAGUCUUGUUCUUGAAGAAAAAUGUUUCCUUCUUCCCUUUGACGUAGAAACUGAUCUUGGCAGCACUGGCGUGGAUGAUAGCUCCCGUGGUGUUCAAAAAUGGCCUCCCUAAGAUGAUAGGUGCUCUCUCAUCAUUUCCGGUCUCUACCACUACGAAGUCUGCUGGGGCAUACAAGGUACCAACUCGGACACAAAGGUUCCUCACUAUUCCUUUUGGAAAAGUUAUCGUCUGAUCUGCAAACUGCAAACACAUGGUUGUCUCUAAUAAAGGAUAUGUAAAGAAUUUUUCAUAGAGUACCCUGGGUAUAAUGUUGACACUGGAGCCAAAGUCACAGAGUGCUUCUGGGAAGUCCACCAUGCCGAUGGAGAUCGGGAUGACGGGGCGUCCUGGAUCGCCUCUCUUGACCGGCAGACGGUCAGUAGAAAAUUCAGUGAUGGGGUUACUCCAAUUACCUGCAUCAAACGUGUCUAUAAGAUUUGCAGAUUCUAAUCCUUCCGGUUGUGAUGGUAUACCGGGGUUAGUAGUAGGAACAACAGCAGCUAUUUGAUUUAACUGAGAUUCAAUCAUUUUAUUAAAGCUAAUUUGAUUCUUGAUGGCAGUAGAGAAAUUAUCCAUUCUAUUAUUUAUAUUUUCUAGCAUUUUAUCAUUAGAUGCCAAUUUCUUAGAUAGGUUAUCCAUUAGCUUUCCUUGAUUAGACACUAACUCUCUCAAAGGUGGAAAAUUAUUAUUAUUGUUGUAAGAAUUGUUACCUUGAUAAUUACCUGAGUAGUUAGGCCUCUGUUGAUUCCAACCUUGAUUUUGUUGAGGACGGUUGUAGUUGUUGUUGUUCUUGUUGUUGAUGUAGUUCACAUCCUCAAGUAUCUCAGGGCAGUGGUUGCCUGAGUGUCCAGUGUCUCCACACUCCUCACAAGUCAUGUGAGAGUCGUAGAUGUGCAUAACUUCUUUCUUGUCUCCAGCUCUAUCGUCGAGCUUCUUCAUGAGCAGGUCUAGCUUUGCAGACAGCAUGUCUACCUCCUUCAGCUGAUGCAUACCUCCACCUCUCUUGCGUGUCUGGGUCCUCUCUUCAUUCCAGCUUUGAUUGGACGCCAUCUUCUCCACAAGAGCUGUGGCUUGUGGUAUAGUAAGUGAUAAGAAUGCUCCUCUAGCUGCAGCAUCCAUAGUCUCUCGGGCACUGUUACUGAGCCCAUGAUAGAAUGUCUGCAUCAAUAGCCAACUCUCCAUUCCAUGAUGGGGACAUUCUAGGAUGUAGUCUUGAAAGCGCUCCCAUGCUUCUGGAACAGAUUCAUCAUUUUGUUGCUGAAAACUUGUAAUCUUCCCACGGAGAGCAUUGGUCUUGCCCAUGGGAAAGAACUUAGCCAGGAAGUUUGUUGAGCAGAGUGCCCAUGUAGUAUUCUUCUCCUUUGUAGCGUAGAACCACUGCUUCGCUCUUCCUAACAGUGAGAAUGGGAAGAGGCGAAGUAGUAUAGCGUCUUUGGAAACUCCUGCUAUGGUGAAUGUGUUGCAAAUCUCCAGGAAGUGUUGUAAAUGAGCACUAGCAUCUUCGUGUGCCUUCCCACAGAACUGGUUGGAUUGCACCAUGUUGAUAAGUCCAGGCUUGAGCUCAAAGUUGCCAUCGAUCUCUGCAGCAGGUCCAGUGCGGAUGUUGUCCGUAGUGGGAGCUGAGAACUCGCGGAUUGAUUUGUUCGCCAUGGCUUCGAACUCUGAAGACAAGUUCCGGUGAUCUUCUUGAUUGGAUGAAACUUCUUCGUGAAGUGUUGAUGAUUUCUUUAGCUUGGCUCUCGUCUUCUUGAAUAAUGCUUCAUGAUCGUCAACAAAAUUCCCUGGAAGAUGUCUUCUAUUCAUACAUUCCCCUGCAUAAGAUAAAAUAGAAAAAUAUCGGGGUAAAACUGUAUGAGAGAAUAGAUAAGCUCAAUCAUAUUAGUGAUGCGAAUGAUUACUCUAAAUCUUUUAUUCUAUUCCUGAUUAGUAAUCAACCUUCCCCGGCAACGGCGCCAAAAAUGCUUGUUGGGUAUUCUUAACAUCAUUACCAAAAGUAGACUAAGUUCUCUAAAUCUAGUAACGGUGCCAAAAAUGCCAAACCUAUCCCUCACACCACUUAAGCCAAGUUGUCAUCCCCAGCAUGAUAUAAGAGACGCGGUAUUGAAAUAUGCAAUUGCUCUUCUAAAUAAAUAAUGAAUGGGAUCUGCAAGCGCACAGAUUAAUACCGAUGCAGCAUUUUAACCGGGAAGUAUUCCAGGUAUCGUUAUUUAUAUUUUUACCACUGGGAAGGGAUUAGAAAUCAUCACUAAUGAUUACAGAAUAGAAUAUGAGAUUGAGCAUCUAUCAUUGCAUGUAUAAUUGAGAACAUUAUAUCUAACUCAUCAUACAGGGAUAAAUGUCACAUAAAAGAUAUAUGAAAUAAUAAUAGUGACAAGGAUAACAAAUCUGAUCUAGCCACAUAAUAAAUAUGAUAAGCACCUCAAUUAGAUACUCUAGAAAGUCAUUAGCAUGGUAUUAGAACGAACUACAAGAAUAUUCCCUAAGUUAUUCUCAACUAUAUAGUCUAACAUUAUCAUAGUUAGUGCAAGCAUACUUAGCAAUCAUUGUGAGACAAGACUACACCCAUGCAUAGUGAUAUUAGCAAGGAAUAUGAGAAACAUAGCAAUCACUCCCCUGUAAUAAUGUUGCUCUGCCAGCCCAAUACACGAGAGGGGGACUAUAUAAGAAUCAAUGAAGCUGUCACUAUCACGAACCACCCCACGAUCUGGCAUAUUGGGUACAAUCGCAGAUAAAUACGGUAUAAGCACCACGCCUACACAAUAUCUAUCAUUUACCCAUGGAUCCGAUGGAUAAACGCUAUACGAUCCUAAGCAUGUAUAUAGAUCGUAUCUAACUAAGCCAAGUACAUAACUAUGAUAAACUAAGAACAAUAUAAUCUUGAAUAUAAGCAAGUAGAGCAAAGUCAUAAGCAAUAUAUUGAAGUAGAACAAAGUCAUAUUCAUAAUAUUGAAGAACAAAGAUAAUUAGAAAGCAAUUAGAAGCACAAUUAGAGAAUUACCAAGAAUCCUCCUGACAGAUCCGGAAACCAAUCGAAGAUUGACUCCUUCUAGUUCUAAUCCUAUGUAGCUAUGCUAAUCUAGAUAUCUAAUUGAUGUGGUGGCUCUAAUCUCGAUCAGAGGCUUCUUCUCCCUUGAUGGAACAAUGAAUUAGGGUUGAGAGGCUCUCCCUCCAGGGGCCAGGGGGUCUGGUUUUAUAGUCCCUCCAAGUGAAUAUGGGCCCUUGGAUCAAACCGACAUAGAUUGUAUGGUUUAGAUUCAUCCUUUAGGUCGGUGGAGACUUCCCGCAAAGCAGAGUCCUGAUUGGACUUGGACAGGGGGCGGGCGCCCAGUAGGACAGGGCGGGCGCCCUGCCUCUGGCCCCGUUUCGCCUCCGCUUCGGUCUCGUGGCUUCUGGAGUCUUCUAGAUGUAAAAUAAUUGCGCAGCACGUUAAUAUCUUUACGUAAUCCUGACAUGUGGGCCUUUCUUCCAUAUUUCCUGAUAACCCCCUGCAGAAAUAGACAAACACCAAAACUCGUGAAAUUCUGUCAGAUAAAACCCUAAGUCUAGAUCUUGAUUUCAUUUGGAUCCUUUUCUUUAUUUAUUUGAUAAUUAAAUUUGAUAAUUAAGGACCGUCAACAGAAGCACCGGAUGCUCAGAGCGCGUCCGGUGAUGAGAGUCCGGUGCUCUGCGCUUUUGCAAUGCUCUCUGGGUUUAAGUCCAGUAGCACUGGACGGUCCGGUGCUCAGCGUCCGGUGACCCUGCAAGUUUGCAGACCUCCCUGAGUUUAGGACCGGUGUGCACUGGACACGUCCGGUGGCAACUUGACCACGUCCGGUGCCCUGCAAGUUACCAUUAGACUCUGACGCGUGAGAUUCAAAAGGCGACACGUGGCCAUUUCUGGAGCACCGGACGCAGGGGUUGAGCGUCUGGUGCCUCUUGUUGAGCGUCCGGUGACCCCGUGUUCUGCCCAGUGAAAGGGCUAAUGGCUCUAUUUGUUUGAGGGGCUUAUAAAUAGUUGUUGGCCGGCUUAGGGCUCACUCUCUUGGCAUUCUAGCAUACUUGAAAUCCUUGUGAGCCUAAGCAAACACCUCCCACUCGUAUCUUUCAUAGAUUAUUCAUCUUUGUGAGAUUGGGAGUGAUUCCAAGUGCAUUUGCUUGAGUGAUUGCAUCUAGUGGCACUUGGGGAUCGUUCUAGCUGUGGUUUUCUUGUUACUCUUGGUGGUUGCCGCCACCUAGAUGGCUUGGAGCAGCGGAGGAGCUUUGUCACACGUUGGUGAUUGUUCGUGGCCAUCUCCCGGUGAUUGUGAGGGGUCUUGUACCUUCCCCGGUGGAGAGCCGAAAGGUAACUCUAGUGGAUUGCUCGUGUCAUUGAGCUACCUCACUUGUGGGUAGGUUCUUGCGGUGUCCUAGUGAGGACGAGGUUCGUGCUACACCUCUUAGCCGCCGAACCACCAAGUGUUGGUCGACACAACGGGGACGUAGCGUGCCGGCAAGCACGUGAACCUCGGGAGAAAAAUCAGUGUCUCAAUUGUAUUUGAUUGGCAUUCUCCCGGUGCUUGAUUGUUUAUAUUGGUGAUUGGUUCAUACCCUACACGGUGGUAUAAAUAUCUCAUCCUAUCCUUUAUUUACCGCAAAGUAGUGUAAUUAGUUUAGUUGCUCACUUUGCCUUGUGUAGUAUAGCUCACUAGUGUAGCUUGUAGUGACAUAGUUCUUGUGUGCCUAGUGAUCAUAUCAACUAGAAUUGUUGGAUAGGUGGCUUGCAAAAACCCCCUUUAGAGCUAGAGAAAAAAGCUUCGCUUUGUUAUUUACUAACCUCUUGCUCUAGUGAGUUUGUAGAAUUUUUAAAUAGGCUAUUCACCCCCCUCUAGCCGACCUUUCACCUAACCAAUUUGUUAAAGAAGGGUACUAUAUUUGUCUGGGCUUUUCAAGCUCUCAAAAGUGCUCUAGUCUCUGCUCGUGUACUAGCCUUGGUAGACUUGCAGAAGCCUUUCCUGGUGGAAACUGAUGCAUCAGAUUAAGGAAUAAGAGCUGUGCUACAGCAGGAACAACACCCAGUAGCAUAUGUCAACAAAGCUUUGGUCCCUAAGAAUUGGGUAUUAUCAGCAGAUGAGGAGUGUCUAGCCACUACUAUAGGAAAUUUAAUGGAGGUGAGCAAAAUAGCUUAACCGAAGUGGGCAAGCCAAUCACCUCAAAGCUAAGAUCAUAGUUAAUCAUGGUCUUAAUCGAGGUGUUAGCCUCGGUUAAUACAUUAACAGAGGCAGGUGUUGUAACCCAAUCACCUCGGUUAAUUCUAAUUAAUGGAGGUGGUUGCCCUAACUUGCCCACCUCUGUUAUGAGUUUAAUCGAGGAGGUUGGCUUAAUGAAACCAUCUCCAUUAAACCUUUAGCAAAGGUGGUUUUUAUACCAUGUCUGCCUCUGUUAAGUAUUUCCAGAUUAAAAAAGAUUAUUUCUUUUCAUUUUAUAAUUUGAAUUUAAAUUUGAAACCAAAUUUUGUCAGGUUAAAAUACAUACAAAGCAGAAAACACACGUAUGAAUGAUAAAAAACAUAUAUAUUACAACCAUUCAUGUGUCGUUGUCCUUGUUAUUCCACCAUGCAUGUCACACACACUAAGUUCAUAUUACAUUAAUGUUGACAUUGUUCACAAAAUCACAUCACAUGUUUACAUGAUAACCCUAUGGCACCUACUCGAAGAUGUCUAGCAACUUGUAGUCAUUCAUGUCUAGAGUGUCGCUUCUCUAGUUGCGUAGAUUCACGUACUUCUCCACCAUCCCUAGCUCGCUCUUGGCAUAGAAGAAAGUUCACUCAACAAUGACAAUAUUGGUCUGUAACAAACUUACCAAUGUUAGCUACUGUUUGAGUGAUGUUCCUAUGGUCAAUCCUUUCCUUUACCCACCAGCUUAACCGAGGCAACUACUAGGCCGGUGGUCCGGCCUCGAUUAACUGAGGCGGGCCAUUGACCUAACCACCAAAAUGCCUCCCAAAAAAAUUGUAUUAGUGAGCCAUUCUUUUGGCUAUUGACCAUUGGAGGCAAUACCUUCAGCAUAUAGCGAGUUCAUCUUGAAAAUAGAUCGAAAGAGUUUAGUCUUUCUUGAUGAGCAGAGGAUGAUCACAACUUGGCAACAUAAGGCUCUGGUGAAAUUGAUGGGGCUCAACUUUAAAAUAUGUUAUAAGCAAGGCAUAGAAAACAAGGCUGUAGAUGCACUCUCUAGGGUGCCACUAGGUCCUCAUUAGGAAGUUGUAGCAAUUUCCUCUCUUUAAGCAGUUUGGCUCAAGGAGUUGGUUGAUGAGUACACUUCCAAUGAGUAUACUGCUAAGCUUGUAAUAGAUCUAGCUAUUUAUAGUCUAGUUGUUUAGAGUUCCUCAGGUCAUUUCCCUUUGCAUGAUGGAGUAAUGAAGUAUAAGGGUAGAGUGUGGGUGGGCCACAAUACCACUAUUCAACUGGAAAUUUUACAAUGUCUCCACUCUAGCCCUAUUAGGGGCAUUUUGGUCUUCCAACAAUCUAAAAAAGAAUCAAAGAGCUCUUUGUCUAGCUUGGAAUGAAAAAUAUGAUCAAGCAGUUUGUGGCUCAAUGCAUAAUUUGUCAACAACCAAAGCCUAAGAGGGUGAAAUAUCCAAGUCUUCUCCAACCCUUACUAGUUCCUAGUUAUGCUUGGCAAGUGGUGAGCUUAGAUUUUGUUGAGGGCUCCUACUUCAAACAAUGUCAAUUGCAUUCUAGUAGUGGUUGAUAAAUUCUGAAAGUAUGCCCAUUUUAUCUCUAUGAAACGCCCUUUCAUUGCAUUCCAAGUUGCUUUAGCCUUUAUGGACAAUGUUUCCAAGUUACAUGGGUUGCCUAAAGCAAUUAUCUCGGAUAGGGAUAGAAUCUUUACUAGCUCUGUAUGGCAAGAGUUGUUCAAAAUGACCAAAACACAACUCAAGAUGAGUACUGCUUACCAUCCUCAAAAUGAUGGCCAGACUAAGAGGGUUAAUCAGUGCCUAAAAAGCUAUGUAAGGUUUUUUGUUCAUGCCUAUCCAAGUCAUUGGAAGCAGUGGCUUACAUUGGCAGAAUUCUGGUAUAACACCUGUUUUCAUACUUCACUGAAUACUACUCCUUUUGAAGUUCUUUAUGGUUAGAAGCCACAACACCUAGUCAUUGAUGUUAUAUAAUCUUGUGUUGUUCCUAAUCUCAAGGUGUGGCUCAAAGAAAGAAGUGUCAUGGUACAACUGUUGCAAUAGCAGUUAGUCAGAGCACAAUAGAGACAGAAACACCAGGCAAACAAAAUCAGAACUGAAGAACUUUGAGUUGGGUGAUUUUGUGUAUCUCAAGCUCCAAUCGUAUACAGACCUUUGUUGCCACAAGAGCUUGCCACAAGCUAUCAUUAUGAUAUUUUGGGCCUUACCAGAUCAUUGCUAAAGUGGGUAGGGUGGCCUACAAGCUGGUGCUGCCUCACACUACAACUAUGCAUCUAGUUUUUCAUGUCUCCCAACUUAAGAAGGUUGUUCCACCAAGUUUCCAAGUUUCCACUAAACUUCCCUAUUCCACUACUACUGAUGCUUUUAGAUUCCCUAUCAAGAUCUUACAACAAUGACUCAAACCACAUGGAUAUCGAUUAGUCUCUGUAGUUUUGAUUUAGUGGUCAUAUUGGCUGAUGUCGAUGGCUACUUAGGAGCUAGAGGAUGAACUCAAGCUUCAGUUUCUUGGAGCGUCGACUUAGGGACAAGCCGUUUCUCAAGGGGGGAUGUCAGGGCCCAGAUGGUGCUUAUCCAAAUGAAGAUGUUGAGCAUCAAUUGGUGGGAAGCAAUGGUGAAGAAGAAGAAGAAGUUGUCAAACAUGGGCUGAGGAUAGCGAAGCCAAAAGCCCAACCCCAAGUACAUCAGGCAUGCAUGAUUGGGUGGCAUGAUCGAGUUGCCAUGGAGAGGAGUUAAGAGUAGGGGAGAGACAAGGAGUAAGAAGAGGAAAAUAGGCUAGCUUCGUCUAGAUCGAACUGGUGGUAGUGGAGUAGAUGCUCGCUGACUAAUGUAAUCUACCUUCAUUAUUGUAAACUCUUCCUGAACGCUAUUCCAAUUCACAUAUCAUGAACCUAUAUCAUUGUGUUCUGUGAAGUGAAAAUGAGUAGAGUUCAUAACAGGCCAGCAAGGUCACUCGACACAAUAUACAAAAUACAGUUUAGCUUCGGCCAUUACAAAUGUAAAAUCAUCAUGGAAAGAACUCCUAGAGCUACCAACUCAUGACAUAGCUACAAGAUUAUUACCACCUCUUGGGACAACCACUCAUCCCACUGUAAAACUUUCAAGUCAUCGCCUCCUUUAGUUCAUGGAUUAGCAACGCCCUUUCCAAUUGUACAACAUCCUUCUCUAAAACAAUAUGGAGUAUUUUCUCUGUCCAAAAAAUAUUGCAAUUGGAGAGUUCAAUUUUUCCUAGAAAAAAUGCACGAAUAGGAGCAUAGAUACUAGUCAUGGGACCCAUAGGUAGUAAAUACCGCAUGCGAACUUACCUCUUGCAAGGACAUGCCUCUCAUCCACUAGUUUGGUCUUCUAGGUCUCAUCCUACGUCGAAUACCCCUGUACGAAGUUCAAACCAUUAUCCAUUGUUCCACCAACAUAUUUCAACUAUAGGGGCAUCAACAUCAUUUUGCCUCAACAUUGGUUUGCUCGCUCGGUCCUUCGAUUGCAAUAUAUUAGGAUGGAAAGAGUACAUAUGGAUUUCUGUCUCUAAUGUUUGGUUCUAUCAUAAAGCAUGUUGUGACUCACUUUGGUUAUUUACACUAAAAUGUCCAUCUAUAUUAAUCUUCAAAAGGCCAGGUUCAGGGUGCUGCCACUUCUAUUGUGCCUACCCAAAAGUUAAGAUACCACUUUUGCCUUUGUACAUGUCUUCUGUAGUAUUUCUGCAGCUUGCCUAUAUCUAUAUAUGUGAUUUUAGAAUCGUUCCUUCCUUUUUCUAUCAGCUCCUUUGAUCUUGUUUCAUUUAUGCCAUCAAUUACUUAGAAGGAAAGAAGUCUUGAGUUGUCUAGCAUCGAACAACAAAGUAGCAAUAGAUAUACCUGGGGUAACACAUUUAUGUACUUGUACAACAACACGCAUGGCUUGCAGUUCAAAUGAACAUGAUAAAAAUCUACAAAUUAAUCUAAUUACAUUGAAAAUAUGAAGCCCAUUUAUUAUUAAAAAAACACCUAAUUUGUAGGUGCAGUUAGUAACAUUGGACGCUAGCUUCAUCAAAAUUUCAGAAAUAGUGGAGCGGUACAGAAAUAGGUACCUCAUUUAGGACCGUUUGGUACAACUCCACCUAAAACACCUCCGGUUGUAGCUCUUUUCGUAGAGUAGCUUCUUGGAUGGAAGUUUUACUUGUUAGAAAAUGUUUGCUAAAACAGUUUCUCUUGGUAGGUAAAAUAUAUGAAAUAUUCAUAAUACCUCUAUUUUCUUUUUAUUUUCUUUUUUUCCUAUUUUUCUUUAUUUCUUCUAAUUAUUUCAUUUCCACGGCUCCAUCUAAUGCGUUUUGCUCACCUCCUCCACAUGCAAUCCAUGCGGCAUGUGUCGCUGCCUCCUAGCACAACCCACUCCAUGCUGCCUCCUAGCACAACCCACUCUACGCCGCUGCUAGCUCGCCACGACCGAUGGCUCUGCUCCUACAUAUGCCUCAAGAUCUAGCGACCCUGCACCUCCACAUCCUUGGCGGCUCCACACCUCACCUGGCCUGAGCUUCGGUGACCCUGGACCUACUCACCACCACCAGCAUGACGAUAUGCGGUGUUGGUGUUUGGCGUGUUCUGCACAUCCUCCUCUUCUCGAUUUACUCAGACAAAGGGAGUAGGGGUGAGGAGGGGUGUAAGACUCGGGUGGCAGUGGCAUCUAGCGUGGGCGAGCUCCUAGUGUAGGAGGCCUAGCGAAGCCGAGCGCAGUCAGACGCUGCCACCAUGACUGUCUCCUUCCUUCUUAUGGCGCAAAUGGGGCAUCAGAGCAGACGUCGUCUCCUUCCCUGCCUUCCUCUUGGUGGCGCACCUCCUCAACAAAACACUACGGUCCUGUCUCCGUGGCCUCUAUAUGGGCACAAUCCAUCGGAUUGGAGGUUACCAUCAUCGAUCAAGUCGAAUUUGUCUUGGAGUCGAGUCUGUCUUGAAAUGAGCUUGGUAGGAGUUUGCCCAGGAGGGAGGCACGGGGUGAAAUUGAGUGAGGGAGGCGGGGACACGUGGAGUGGGGUGAUAUGACGAUACCCAUAUUUUUUAGAAUUACACCGUAGACACCACAAUACACACGCAUUCAACCUUUUAAACAUACGUAUGCAAACCAUAUCUCUAUGACACAUUCAAAGGACUGAGAUGGUAGAUUUUGAGAUUCAUGAAGUCGACAUAGACGCCUUGUUGUCAAUAGACUAUCACUAAAAGUAUGGCGUCAUUAAAUCCAGAUAGAUAUAGAAAUAACUCGACCGGGGUGGUUAAGACUGCCGCCGCAGCUUUGAAAUUAAGAAGAAAGUGCCUUCUCAUCCGGCGAGAAAACCCCCGAACCCCACCCCCAUCCAUAAUGGUGGCCUUUCCGUCGCCCAAGUGAGAAUUGGGCUAGACCCCAGUGCUUUGGUAUGAGGACAGAUGAGGGGAUUUUUUAACCAUGCCUAAAAUUCGCUCUCCUAGUAUUCGAACUCAGGAUCUAGGAGGUGCCGCCGGAGUGCUAAACCAAUAGAGAUUCAAAGGUUUAUGAUUGUUUGAAAUAGAGAUACCGGAACUCGAGAAGGUCAUAUCAAUUCCAGAUGCAAGCCAGGAGCCAUUGUGGGCUGAGUGGGCUUUCUCUAGGGCCCUCUGGCCCACUAAAGCCACGGAGGAGGAGAAAAACGACGCCGGAAAUAAUGAUAGGAAAAAGAAAAGGAAAAUUAACGGCUCGUCGGCCCUCCACGGAAGACGCGAACCCAGAAAAAUCUCACGAAUUCUCUCGUGGCCGCGGCGACCGGAAGAAGACAACGACGACGGAGGCGGCGGCGAUGGCGUGCCGCGCACUGGCCCUCCGCUCCCUGCUCCUCCCCGAACCGCUCCACCGCCUCCCGGCCGCGGUGCCGCCUGUUGGGAGGGCGCCCCGUGGCGGCCGCCGUCCGCAUCUCCGCUGCUGCUCCGGCGGCGGCGGCGGGGACCCCGGGCAGCCGCCGCAAGAAGCUGUGCUCGAGGCCAUAUCCAGUGAGUCGUCAUCACCCGCUACCCCACUAUUUAUUAGUACGAGUUAUUCCAUCUUGCUUGUUCGCCGCUUCAGCUAGUCGCUUCGAUCGGUUCUUGCUCGAAUAUUUGGUAAGGAAUAAUAGUUUUAGACAUUGGGAUAACCGAAUCACUGGUUUAUUGCGAUGGUUGGAUUCGUGGUUACCUUCGGAUAGGUAAUAUUGACCGUUGUUUUUUUAUGGAAUUAGUGUAAAAAGUACGAUGCUUCCGUGGCCUGGUGUGAUUUAGCCAAAAGACAGUUUCGGCUACAGUACUUUAGUUUCGCAUGGGUUGUUUGCUUUGCAUAUUAUUCUGUAAUAGGGUAAUCAGGAUAAGCUGUAGCAUAUAACUGCUCACUAGACGAUAGCAUAGAUGAAUUGGAGUAUUUAUCAAUGCAAGGCCCUGCAUGUUUCAGCUUGUAAAUUGUGAAAAGCAGCUUGCAAAUUGUAACAAUCUAGAGGCUAGGGGAGCAGAUUGUUGGAUUGUAACAAUCUGGCCUGUCGAUUGUUACAGUCCAGGGUGAGCUGCUUGUUUGUUUUAGCUUGGAGAUAGUAAAAGCUACAAUCCACAUUGCAGAAUCAGAAUAAAACAAACAGGACCUAAGGAUGUAAAGUUACAUAUCUGCUUGCAGGACUAUUUUUUGGUUAGUGCCUACUUUGCCAAAUUCGUGAAAUUUGUGUUUAUGUAGGAAGGAUUCAUGUUUCCACUGAGCCAAAACUUCUGCUAGGGUUUAUUCCAUGCUCUACUUCAUACUGGCUUUUAUUUUUCUGAAAACAGAGAUCGCAAGGUCUAAAGGAAGGGUUGCACUCACAACAAAUAUGGUCAUGGGUGGUACUGUGACGGAUGAUGCAAGUGAUGAAUGGCUUGUUCUGGAUCAGAAGGUGUGGCUCGUUGUAGAACUUUGUCCAUCUGCAUUGCAACUUACAUAAAUAUGGACCUACAAUGGCUCUAAGGAGCAGUUGACUCCUAAAUUUUGAGAAAUGCAAUGAGAACCCUUUAUAUAUUUGAAAUGCUUUUGUUUGUGCCAAUAUUCCUUCUGGAAGCAGUAGCUCCGUAACAUCAAGGUAGGAUUUAUCUUGUGUUUUGUUUUCAUGAAAUGGUAGGUCAUAAGAUCACAUGACUUUUAACUUUGUGACACUCAUUUGUGGUAUGCUUUGUAUGUUCCGAAUACAGUAUUUUACACCAUUGAUGGUCUUCAACUUUUUCAGGAAACACAGUAGUGAUUGUGAACAGAUCAUGCUGGCUUUCAUUUUCAGCAUGUUUUUAUCACGAUUAGUACUUGCAUGAUAAACUUUAAUCAAUUUCUGUGCAACGAAGUGCAUCUCUGCUGUAUCCUUUUUGAAUUAAAAGUUAGAGUGAAAUGAACCCUAAAAAUUGUAAUUCUAUAUUUUUUUAGUCAUUGCUUACUAGCUAUGCUGUUUUGCUUCACAGGUAAAUUCCUACCCCACAGAUAGAGGAUUUACGGCAAUUGGCACUGGAGGUGAUGAUUUUGUCCAGUCAAUGGUAGUUGCUGUUGAAUCUGUUCUUCAAGAAUCCAUUCCCAAGGUUAGUUUUUUACAGUUCUUAGAAUUUAUUUCUAAAUCUUGGUAGUUAUCAACAGGAAGAUGUAGUUAGACUUCUAUUGCUUUGCGUAGAGACAAUGUUCCUACAUACUAGUCAUUGAUGAUAUCAUUAAUAAGUUCGCUCUGACUGUGCACUUAUCAUUUUCACUUUAGUUAUUUGUUGUUAUGCUUCUUAUAGAUGGGUUAGACUAAUACUUCUGUGAAAACUUUGCUUCCCCAUGUGAAGACAUGGAGGAAAAAGUUGUGCCAGGAGACAUGUUCCAAUGUUAGAUUGUAGUUGUAGUUGUCUACUGUAUGUUAGAAAGGCAAUAUAAUGGCCAUUACUGGCUCCCCUAUAUCGGUCACUGCUGGCCCUAAUAGCAGAUCUUAUCUGCAUGUACAUUUCUAGCUUUGUAUUGAUUAGGUAAGAUUAGAGGACAUUAUAGGAUUUUAAUUCUUUCCUUGCAUGUACACUCAUGGCUGUAUAAGUACAGCCUGCAGCAAUAGAGAAAACCAUUCCCCUCUAUUCUUUCAGUCUCAUUUUACAAUCAUUCCGUUGAUUUGUUUCUCCGAUGUAUCUUGAAAUGGUUUGCACAGGGCCGGGUAUCUCAGAAAUUAUCUUCAAGAGGAAAAUAUGUUUCUGUAAACAUUGGGCCAAUUCGUGUUGUUUCUAGUGAGCAGGUGAUAUGAAGUUUCCCCUUUAUUCAAAUGUCUUUACCAGGAAAAAGAUGCCUGUUUUCUGAGUUUGUUUUUUCUGUUCAUUUCAUUUUGUAUAGACAUAAAGGUUCCCCUUUUAUUGAAGUUCUCCCUGCUGCUUUUCAGGUCCAAGCUGUGUAUCGUGCCAUGAGAAGAGAUAACAGGAUGAAAUACUUCUUAUGAAUUGCAGUUGCAUGUCCUGCAUGUUCCCUAGUCCAUUCCAUCUUUUAACAUAAGGAGUCCUACAAUGCAUUUUCGCCAUAUUUGUAAGUACCAAAUCAACAAAUGGAACCGUUAUGUAGAUUGCCUGAUUUCUAGUUGGCCCCUUGUGAUGUCAAAGUUCCCCUGAUUGUAGGGAAUGCAGGCUGGACUUCUGGUGAAUUCCAAAAGGAAAUGGGAAGACUUCUAUGUGCCAUUCAAGCCCAAACUGAUGCUUCUCAAAUAAUCUGCUACAAAACAAUUUGUUGGGUUCAGUUACGUUAUGUAGUGCAGCGGGCGUAUAUAGCUACUAUGUAUGUUAAAGAUGUAUUUUAGUAUUUCAUAUUAGAUGCGUUUUGCUAUUUUAUAAACAAACAGUAUGAACAGCAGUAUAAGUGUUCCUAAAUUAUCGAUGUGUCUUCAAACUUUCAUGCUGCCACUGCCUGCCUUUUCAACGUAAUUACUCCCCUAAAAUCUGGCUAAAAGAUAUCUUUGACUGUCUCCAACAAGCAACCUAUAUGGGCAUCUAAACCAAAGACGGGUGGCAGAGGUCCAAAAUUGGCUUCCAACAGAUUACUAUACAGGAGAUCUAUUUUGGGUUAUCUUAGAUGUACAACCCAAAUAAUUAAACUCAUUUGCAGAAUCAAAUAUGAGUAUGCUCUCUUCUAGAAACUAAUUUGUAGGAUAGAUUCUCUUUUGAGUGUGUUGUUGGUCAAGAUGGCAACGGGUACUCAAAACCCGAGUACCCGACGGGUUUUAUUUGAUAAAAAAGACGGGUAUGAGAUAAAUUUUCUACUCGUGGAUACGUUAUUGGACAAAAUUCUAUAUCCAUCGGGAUCGCAGGUACGUGUGUGGGUGUAUACUAUUCAUACUCUUCUACCCGCGGGUAAAAAAUACCCACCAAAAUAACUAGUCACCCUUGUCAUUUUAGCCUAUAUAACCCAUGAAUUUGGUCUAAAUCCAACUAAACUCACCUAAUAUAUAUAUAUAUAUAUAUAUAUAUAUAUAUAUAUAUAUAUAUAUAUAUAUAUAUAUAUGAAUUUGAUGUUAUUAUAGGAAUAUUAAUUUGUAACCUGUUGGAGGCUUAAAAAAUACUCCAAAUUUCAUCCUAUCUUUUUUACAUAAUUUUUAUUACCCACCUAGAUAUAACAUCUUUAUAACUAUCUAUCUAGAAAAGCAAGAACAUCUUACAAAUUAGAACAGAGGGAAUAGUGGAAAAUUGGAAGCGCGUGCCAAGGAAAUGGUUUCACCAAUUACCCGUUGUAUAUACAGACCACGCCGGUUUCCAUUAACCAGAUAUGGACAUUGGUAUUUAUAACAAUGGUGAUUUCCGGAGAAAUUGCCCCUAGUACAGUGACGGGGUAAAGAGUGCUCUGGCAUAACGAAAGCCCCAUCAAGCUGGCCUGUUUUAUUAUUAGACUGGAACCACAAGUUCGGGAUUACUGAAACCACAGCAGAGCAGGAACGGAAGCAGAGAAAACCAUAUAUAUGUGUUCUACAGGAUACUGCGCUACACAGCUUUCGAUACAAGUUUACAACUCAACAUAAAUACGACUGGUUCUGCAUCAUGUCCGCUGGCAAUUAAGCCAUGGAAACGAUCCGGCUGAAUCCACAAGAUCAGACGUCAGUUGCUUCCUUCACUUGUCCUACCAAAGGUAAACAUAAACAUGUGAUUUAGGAAACUUCAUGUUAAGGCCCUGUUUAGUUCCCUACUCAAAAUUUUUUCAUCCAUCCCAUCGAAUCUUUGGACACAUGCAUAGAACAUUAAAUGUAGAUAAAAAAAUAAACUAAUUACACAGUUUAGUUAAGAAUCGCGAGACGAAUCUUUUAAGCCUAGUUAUUCCAUGAUUAGCCUUAAGUGCUACAGUAACCCACAUAUGCUAAUGACAGAUUAAUUAUGCUUAAUAAAUUUGUCUUGCAGUUUCCUGACGAGCUAUGUAAUUUGUUUUUUUAUUAGUUUCUAAAAACCCCUCCCGACACCCUCCCGACACAUCCGAUGUGACACCCAAAAAAUUUUCGUUCCCAAUCUAAACAGGCCCUAAACAUACGGAAAAACUAAUGCUUGUACAAGUCUCCUUGCCUACACUGGCAUCUGGCACCCGAUUUCGCCACCGUCCAAUUUUGUGUUUUGGUAUAUUCUCAGCCUUGCCCAUCCAAACUCUGGCAAUGUCUGUGUGGUUAGGAUUCAGCGUUGAAGGGUCCUUUGCAAAGCUAAAGAGAAGCCUGCGGUGAGCCGGCGAUAGGCUGGCCUGAUGAUGGCGAUGGAUUCCACUGUUGAGCACGGUGGGGUAGCAGAGGGAUCACUGCCUAGUGUCGUGGAGGACCAGUUGUGGGCCAGGUUGUUUCGGGGAGUCAGGGAGAAGAUGACAGUGGUUAGCAGGAGGGAGCAGAGAGGAGGCUGCUUUGCAGGUAAGGUAGGACAGUGGGCAGCAGCCAGGGGGGACGCAGGGAAGAAGCCAUGGUGCUUCCUGAGUGCCCAGUAGACAGAUGCUGAAAAAAAGAGAGUAAGAACAAAAGCGUCCUAACUCACCACUUGGUAUUGUUUCUCUUCUUUAUAAUAGCGGUUGAAACCCAAUGUAUCCUUGAUCUCCUGAAAAGAUGGCAAGAUGCUAGGUGGAGGUACACCGCCGUCUUUUAUCGCAACUAGAGCAUCCUGCAUGUCAGAGAUUCUUGUGUUAUGAACAAUACGUAAUGCUUUUGACACCAUCAGAAUGAAACAUCUAUUGAAAAUGAUAAGCCUAGUCAAUAGUAGUUGUGGUUUGUUAGCACCAACAGGAUCUUCAGAAACUAGGAACAAUACGUAAUACAUUGUUGAAUGAUUAUGUAUGCGAGGUGAAGGAUGAAAUGAAUGAUACAAGAUCGUGAGUUGAGGAAGAGGAAAAACUAAAAUAACAUAAAUGAUUGCAUUAGAACUUAAAACUGACAAAAUAAUAAUAUUUUUUUUCUCAAACAAUACAGGAGAGAAGGAAAUAAGUACAAACUGCAUACAGAAAAGGGAGAGGCUAAUGAAAGGCCCUCUCAAGCACACCGCACACACGAGAAGCUAAGGGACACAAACACAGCACAACCAGCCCACCUCUAACCAACCUCAAGGGUCAGGACCCUGAGACCUAAUGAGGAGCUCAUAGAGCAAAGGCACCACCAAAACUGUCAUGUGCGGGCGCACUUAUGCCCGGCGCAGGAGAGCCCGCGACGUGCGCCGGGACGCCGAGCGCGCGGCCAGGGCCCAGGAAGGGCAGGCGAGUGGCUGACAGGAUUAGGAGGAAAGCUAGUUAGUUAUUUCCUUGUUAAGAUUAGUCCUACAAUUAAGGAGAGCUCUCUCCAUCUGUUAGGCCACGGGCCUUAUAUACUGUACGCAGGGACAAAUUGAGAUUAGGCAGAAAGUUAUCCCUAAUCUUCCCAUCUCUUUCUACAAGCCGACGGCUGAGGGGUAUAACCUCGCCGGCGUGACGGACGGCGGCUACGAGCUACGUAGCCGAGGUCCGGCCAGUCAGGGGUUUGAGGCCCUUGACAACCUGGUAUCACGGUCUCGCCGAUCCUCGCCCACGCGUUCCGAUCACUCAUCCUCAGCAGCCUCCCACCAGCCGCCGCCGCCUUCAACACUCAGCUCCACAGCGUCCAUGGCCGAACCCACCCUUGCCGACGUGCUCAACGCACUGAAGUCCCUCAGCUCCGAGGUGAACUCCCUGAAGUCCGACAUGGCGGCCCUGAAGGACAAGUCCUCGUCGUCCUCGGACAACCACGACGAUCGCCGCCAGGAAGGGCCGCGGAAUCCCGACCCCUUCUUCAAGCACAAGAAGUGGGACUUUCCCCGCUUUGAUGGCACGGUCGACCCCAUGCUCUUCAUCAACAAAUGCGAGUCGUACUUCCGCCACCAUCGUACCAUGGGGGAAGAGCGCGUUCGAAUGGCAUCUUACCAUCUGGACGACGUUGCUCAGCUGUGGUACAACCAGCUUGAAGAAGACGAUGGCGCACCAUCCUGGGGUAGGUUCAAAGACCUCCUCAACGAACGCUUCGGGCCGCCCCUCCGCGCCGCCCCCAUGUUUGAGCUCUCGGAGUGCCGCCGCACCGGGACUGUCGAGGAGUACGCAAACCGCUUCCAGGCCCUCCUUCCCCGUGCCGGGCGCCUGGAUGAGUCCCAGCGGGUCCAACUCUUCAUCGGCGGUCUCCUCCCGCCCCUGAGUCACGCGGUGCGCAUCCAUAAUCCCGACACGGUCGCCGCCGCGAUGAGCCUCGCCCGUCAGGUGGAGCUCAUGGAGAUCGACAAGACACCACCCACCCCGGCCCGUCCUGACGCAAAAACACCAUAAGCUGAUUUCAUGAGCCACUGUGAGACGGAGUGUCUAACCUGGCUCCUUCAAAGACAAUGGUGUUCCUAUGUUCCCAAAUCUCCCAGGUGACAAGAAUGAUUAGAGAGUUAAGGCCCUUGUGCAUCUCCUUAGGGAGACCUCUAACAGCACAGCCCCACCACCGAGAGAAACUGGUUCUAGAUAUAUGUGACGCUACUGCAGACAGGUUAAGCUUCUAAAAAAACAUUUCCAGGCCUGCCAGGUAAACAAGCAGGAGAUGAGGGUAUGCUGAAUAGUUUCUUCUACCUGGUCACAGGGUGUGUUUGGUUCGUUUCAUGUACAAGCCUGACUAGCAAAACUAAGCCAGGCUAGCCCAAGCCUGCCCCUAGCAAGCCAAGACGGACUUGUUUGGUUGCAUGUACCAUCUAAGCCUGGCCAACAACUAGGUGUGUUUGGUUGUAUGAUUUACACUGCAUACAAUUACCUCUUCUCUAUUCUGGUGAGCUCACCCCCUCUUCAACAUUUCAUCAAACACUUGGGCCGCGGUGGACGUCUAGUGCAAGGUGGAGAUGCCAGCCUCGUCGUCGUGGUUCCUCAGCUUACUGGUGGAGCUAGAGCUGAGCCUCAAGGCCUCCCACGACCUCUUCAUGACUGACCACGCCAUCCUCCCUCUGCUGCGGCGCCGUGGCAGGAGCUCCCUGGCGAAGACAUCCCCUGCCUGUGCCAAAGAACGUGAGCAGGUUCCAUCCAUGUCUGUGCGCGCAUGCUCCCGUUCUCCUCCCAUCACUCGCUGCCAGUGGACGCCAUGGAGGAUGGAAAGGUCGCACUCACUGCAGAGUCAAAGACGAGAGGAUCUGGCGAGCUGGGUGAGCUAGGCGGAGAUGGAGGUCGCGACGAGCUGGAGCUUGGACCACACCUCCAUCCUGACGAGGCUAGAACUUGGCCGGAGAUGGUGCACAUGCAGCCUCGAUGAGACAUCCUCGACAGGGGUCGUGAGAUCCGGCGCGCAGGGAGGUCGAAGGGGCUCCGAUGGCAGGUGGCGAGGUCGAACGGGAUGACGGAGGUAUUCAGUGGGCGGGGAUGACGAAGGAACCGUGGCCCGAGAAGACAGGGUGCAGGCCACUGCUAGAACUGCCGUGACGGAGGACGAGCAGAGGACCGCCGCUGGUGGGCAGGAGCACGGGCGGACCUCCUCGGAGCUCACGUGGACCGCGGUGGGAAGGAGCAGAGGUGAGGAGAAUGAUGGAGGAGGUGAGGGGAACGAGCUCAUGGGCUGGCUCGAGCUUGGCUAGGAUUGAACGACCGAUUUGGUUGUUCUCCUAGAGCCAUGCUAAAGGGGUACGGAUGGCCAGCCCACACUAGGCCCCAGAGCCCUUAAAAGCCACCAAACAGACCAAAAUUGGCCCCAGGGAGCCAGGGCUGGGGCUGGGCUGGCCACCCAACCAAACACACCCAUAAGGGGCAGGCCGACGGAUGAGGCAUCUCUUGUUUGGCAGGACAGUCAACCGUCCAACAACGGUUAUCGAUGGUUAAACCAAAUGAAAAAUUUGCAUUUGAGAGGAGCCCAGCUUUUCCAAAUUCUUUUCCAUGGGGCAAACUUAGUCCCCAAGAACAAAGUUUGGUAGGCCGAGUUGCUGCUGAUGGAACGAGAAGAGGAGAGUUUCUAUCGGUGUUGAUCUGGGACAUCUUGCUGAAGGACCAGGCCAUCUACUAAGUCCCCUUUAUCCGAGUGAUACAAAGGAUUCACCAUGCCUACCGUAGAUGAGAAUGCUAGUAUCAAGGUAGGUGCUCGCACCACAUCACAAAUGAGAUAGCUUAGGAUGUCAACAUGAUUCAUUACUCACUAGACAUAACUCAGAUGUUCACAAAUCUAGCAAAUUAUACUAUGUGAAAGUAUUGUCAAGACACAACCAAGUUGGCAUGUCCAAUCAAGAUAUACGGAUUGGAAGGCUAUGAGUAAGGUAAGCAGGAACACCAACCCCACUGUUAUCCUUGGUUCUCCACUCAUGCUUAUUUUCUCAUUGACAUUGAACAUAAAUACAAUGAAGGGGAUUUGUGCUCUAAGUGUUUUGGUCAUAGGUGAUUAAGGGGGAAAUUGCUGUAAGGGGAGCUUCUGUGGGAUCUGGAAAAUUGGAAGACACCAAUUAUUUAUCUGGUCAGCAAACUACAUUUCACGAGCAGUUCAAAGUAUGCCUUAUAUUUCAUUUAGGGGGAUAGAACUGCACUAGAGUCUCCAGCACACAUAAAGACAAUUUACAGUUAGUGGGCUAGUUGGACAUUUUUUUAAUCUGCUAUGUAAUCAUACCAUAAUAAAUAACCUUCAAUCCAUAAUGCAAUCCACCGAUAAAGGAUACACAGGUACAGAGGAUGUGUAGUCAGCCAAAAGUACAAGAAAUCAGAAUUCAGAUCUACCAAGGAAGUGUAGUUCAGUAUGGAAUAACUAACUGGAGGCAGCAAAAGGAUCAACAAGAACUAGGACUACCUUGAGCUUGUGCUCCAACGAAUAAAUAUACAUGUGAUCUCUAUCAGCAGUUUGACACUCAUUACCUCAGCUUUGAUCAAUAUAGAUAAAAAAAGAAACUAAUAAUGCCACAGGCUUCACAUAAGUAAGAAAACAAACCUGCAUGGCACGCAUUGAUACCCCAACUAAGGAUAAAGGAUAGACUGCAAGCCUGAAACCAAUUUCUGCAAGUUCAGCAGGGCUCAAUAUGGGAGUUUUACCACCACCUUCUAACAUGUUUGCCUGAACAGAGUGUGAAUGUACUCAUGUGUCAUGUCACUGCUAUAGAAGGGGACAACUUGAAGCAAAUGUUAAAAAAGGCAAAUGGACUAGUCGUUGCCAUUGGUAACAAAAUAUGAGCAGUAAAUCUAAUUUGUACUGGCAUGCUUUCCAAUUCAGACUUGGGGAAUAUGAGAAAAUGGUAAUUGUGUAAGCAAACCGGUUCAUAAUCAUAUGCACUAAAGCUGAGUCCAAAUGGUGACAUUAUAGAUAACCUAGGGGAAUAUGAGAAAAUGGUAAUCGUGUAAGAAAACUGGUUCAUAAUCACACCACCCCAUUUCAUCACUACUAUCCCAUAUUUCAUCACUAUGCUAGGGAGACACUAUACUGUACGUUGACCCUAGCAUAGUUUCCAAGGAAUACAAAAAGUAUCUAGAAUCUAGCAAGGAAAUACCAAAACUGAACCAGCAAAAGUGGAUAUAACCAUGCAUAUAACAUUAGUUAACUGGUCCACAUUUUUUUUUCCAAGUGCAUCCAUUGGUGACUGGUAAAAACAAAUUUUCACUAGGAAACUGUAAGACAAUUUCCACAAGAAAAGUGUAAUCAAUUCUAAUUUAGAGAAUUAUAUUUUUUAUGUACGUGUGUCCUUUUGAUACCCUAGUCAAAUUCAUUGGAAAAAGGAUUUAAAGGUAUGACCAACAUGACCAGGAAAUGAGGACUGUUAUACUGAACUACAAUCUGGACGAAUGCAGAAACUACCAUAACACUUGGAUAUAACAAUUCAUGUGUAAUUAGAAAGCAACAAAAACAUAGAAUACAACUAACCAUCUUUGGAACUUCUGGUGCAACAGCACAAAAUGCUUUCAUCUCUUCUACUGAAGCAAGGGCAUCAAUAAACAGAACAUCUGCUCCAGCAUCAGCAAAUGCUUUCACCCUCCAUAAUGCUUCAUCAAGAGAAAUUGCUUGGCGAGCAUCUGACCUUGCUACAAUAACAAUGUCAGAGCCACUCUCCUUCCUAGCAUCUACAGCAGCUUUUAUGUGCAUGAUAGCUUCCUCCCUUGAUAUAACUUUCCUUCCUUCAGUAUGUCCACAUGCUUUAGGUGCCACCUUAAAAAUGUGGAAAGUCGUUUUUUUUUUCAGGAUAAACAAAAAGAUUAAUAUGAAACUGAAAGACUUCUUUCCAUAUUUACAUAUAACCUAAGUAAGCAGAUAUAAAAAGAAAUAGGCAAGUAUCAUAUUAUUGCAUCCUGAGAACAUAGAAUAAAACAAGUUAACUGCAUUACUUUUUUUGUUGGGCAAUAGCAGGGAGUAAAUAUCCAAAAACACAUUAUUUCAAAUAGUGUCAGAUAAAUAUGGCAAAGACCACCCGAGCUAUUUAAGUUAGUUAUAGAGUCAAAAUAGAUAAUGAUUGUGUUGCAACCAUAUGAUAUCUGCUUUAAUUCUCUUAGAUUUUUAUUACACCAAGUCCAAUGCAAAACUUCAAUUGCAACAUUUUUUAGAAUACAACAAAGAUAAUCUGAUCAAGAGAUUGAACGUUUGUGCAUAUGCAUAGCAGUUGCAUUUUUUCAAUUAGGCUAAUGCAACAUUAGAAAGGGAUCCAGUGAGACUAAAUUUGAAGGGAGCUUACAUUUAAAAUAGGAUAAUGACAGAGCAAUGUCAAUCACUGUACCAUGUACUGGAUCGAGACGAGGCUGUUGGCCACCAACAUCUUCCAACAGUAACAUGCAUGCCUUCUUUAUAGAUAAAAUAAAAUAAAUAAAGACUAGUUUAUCAAUGACUGAACCUAAGCCGGCCAUUCCUGUGUAGCCACAAGCGCAGCAAGGAAAGAAAAACAGCUUCCAGAAAAGAAAAAAAAAAAUGUCUCUCCAUGAAAGCUACCACAUCAGCAGCCCACUAGUGCAUGCAAUUAUGACAUAAAUCUAUUCAUACAAGCUAUUCAUGUCAACAAGCAGCGUUAUCCACUAACAUGCAUUUAUUUGUCCACAUCAGCAUACCACACCAUCCACUAAAAUUUAUUUAUAAAUCAUCUGUGAUCCCCGCACAACACGCGGAAUAUCCUUCUAGUGUUUAUCAUUUGUGAGAAAAAGUAGAUUUUGAAAUAUAUACAUAUGAAAUAGGUAUUAAAAUGAGUUCAAAGGAGUUCGAAUGAGCACCAGAAAGGGCAAAAAAAAAAAUCUUAUAAAAAAAUACUUACUAGUGUUGUUGGUAACACCAGUUAUGGGUAUUAAAUGCCAAAUCUUUUUUCCCCUGUUACUCCGUUAGCCACUACAGAAAACAUAUCUUCAUGGCAUAUAGGCAAUCUUUAUUGGUCUGCAAUCUAUAAUAUACAAAAUGGGUCCAGUGACUAAUAUGAUAAUACACUUUCUCCAAGUUGAAGAAUGGCACCUGCUAGUUAUAUACCCUUCAUAUAAUAUCCUCAAGGGGCAUCCUAAUCCUAGCCACCAAUUGGUCUUCAGCAGGGGGUAUUCAUAUUACUUAUGGAAACAUGGUUGCAGGACGUAUGCACGAUACUCAGGAAACUGUCUUUAGUUGAAGAAGCAGACAAGGCAACUAAUUCCAAUUAACCAAGAAACCAUAAGGUUAACUGUAAGAAGAAUUCGCUUGUAGUGUAAUGUGUCUUAUUUGUCGGAACUAUGAACAGUAAUCAUCAAGACAAGUGGAGCUGGUAAUCUGUGCAAGGAUGAAUUGCAAUGACUUGGACAACACACCUGAUCCUCAAGCAUAAUUCCAGCAAAACCAGCAUUGAUAUACCCUUUUAUGGUUCUCUUGAUAUUCAUAGAGUUUCCAUAACCAUUGUCUCCAUCACCAAUCACUGGGAUUGAAACAGCUUCAUUGAUGAGACACCCUUGGUCUAUCAUUUCUCCAUAGGAAAUGAGGCCGACAUCAGGCAAGCCAAGUCGAGCGGCAGAAACACAGAAACCUGAAAAGAUAAGAAGACUCCAUUGUAUGAGAUAACUUGAAUAUCUCCAGAAGGUUUCUUUUGGACAAGCACGGCAAGCAAAAUCUUGAAUGCGGUUAUUUCUAAGCCCUAUAAGCAACAACAGAACAAUUUCCAUAAUAGCGCCUGUCAUAGACUAAAUUUGCAUGAAGAAAUGCUGGCCAGCUGAACUACAUUCCACAGUUCUAAUCAAACCAUUUUACCUUUCCAAACGGAAACAUUCAAACACCAUAGCAGCACGUAGUCAGAAAAAUAACCACAGAACAUAUGUAGCCCAAGACAGGAUGAUUGUCAAUAUCAUAACCUUCCUCUUGAAGUUGAAAUUUUACUUCCAAUGACGCAUGCAGUUCAAUUCAAUUUUAAAACAUCGUGAAGAAGUUGUGAGUUUGCUUGGUUUUAGCAACAGAUUUAAGGAUAGUUCCUCCCUACACUUUGUGUGACUUUCAUCGGUAGAAAAGCACACGAUAUGAAUUGGGAUUCAGUAAAUCUGCUCCGAUUGGAACUAUACAACGUGAAGCCUAACGAUUAGUAUCUCGGCACUCUCAAACAAGCAGAGUAAAACCUCAUCGAGAAAACGAGGGAACGACGAUCGACAUCACACAGAAACAGACAAGAACGCAUAUAACGGAAGCGCACGCACCGCCCAUGAACCCAAUCUGGAACCCCGCACGCUCGACGAGGCGCGCGCCGAGCGCGUCGUAGCAGCAGGGCGCCUGGUGCGCACCGGGCGUCGCGAGGAUCCGGCGGAGCGCCGCGGCCGGGGACUCCCCCGAGCGGAUGCCGCGGGAGGACUCCUCCACGGCGAAGUAGGGGCAGCGCGCAGCCAUCCCGGCGGUGGUGGCGGAGGAAGCGGAAGCGCGGCGAGCGGAGGGCGGAGGCUGGAGAGGGAUGGGAUCGGAAAGUUGUGCUGUGGGGGUGUGAGUGUGAAUGUGACCGACUUGGCGUCUACUGUACUUGAGACUUGAGAGCUGCGUCAACCUGCAAGUCAGUCCGUUAUGGGGUGGGUCACGUCUAUUCCGUGAGAUUGUGAUGUGUGGCUUUUUCGGUUUAGCCCGUUUGGCACGGCCGAGUUUUGCUAUUUACGAGCAGUUUUUUCCGUAAAAAUAAACUAUUUUAUAAAAAUCAUUUGACAAAAUAGCUUCGUUAACUACUUCAUUCAUAAUUAAGAGAGAAAUGAUAAAAAGAUAUGUAAAAAGCUAUUUUUUUUAAUUCAUCUCUCUUUCACCCUAUAUUCAGCAUACUUUUCACAACAACUAUAUUUUUCUCUUACAAUAAAUCAACGUCUGCCAAAUUUCAACGACCCAAACUAAAAGGAGCUUCAUCUAUAAAGUUAUUUUAAAAAAGAGUGUUCAGCAUAAAAAAAUAGCUCGCAAUAACUCAUAAAGCUAUUGCUAAUGUCAAAUAGGGCCUUAAGCAUAAUAACAUUAUAUUCUUAAAAAAAGCAUAAUACCAUUAUAAAAUAUUCUUAAAAAUUAUACAAAUUAUAAUGAUGGUUUCCUUAAUAAAUUUACAACUAGUUUAUACCAUUGUACGAUUGGAGAAGGAAACGGGGGCUCUCAAGACUAUUAUAACUUUAAGUGAGCUAUCAGCUUAUUAUUGUUGUUGUGUUUGAGAUCUAUCCUCACAAUAUCCUACUAGUAUUAUUGUGUUGGUCUCUUUAUCCAUCGUCAUUGUUCUUUUUAUCCAGCGUUUGGUUUGCGGAUGGACAGAGCCUGGCUCACAUGCCACGGACAGGCCCGCUGUGGGCAGGCUCCAUGGGUGCCAGAGCUGCUUGAUUGGUCGUCGUGCCCUUUCAGCCAGGUCUACAAGAGAAGGUGAUUGGUUGGCUUGACGGAGGUCCUCGUCCUGCAUGCUGCUCUCUCAUCUGAUCCAAGAGUCCGUCCCUCUCGCACUGUCCUAGCCUGGCUAGACAGAAACGAAGAAAAUCUGCGUAUGAGUAAAGUCAGGCCCUAUCACUUCUGGAAUGCCCGCCCUAAAACAGGUGGCAAAGGCUUUACCGACUGUUUUACAUGUGGCGGUCAGCAAAGAACACGUCGCAAAGAAUUCAUCGGCAAAAAACCUUUGCUGCCAGCCAAGUGGAAAGCAGUCGGCAAAGCCUUUGCCACCUAUCAACAUGACAGUCGACAAAGGAGAUGUACGUCGUCACCUAUCAACAUGACAGUCGGCAAAGAAGAUGUACGUCGUUGUGAGAUGACGGAGCGCAUUCCGUUUGCCUACUGCCACGCGGUAGUCGGCAAAGGCUUUUUUUAAUUUUUUUAUAACUAAAUUUCUUUGUCGACUGUCUUGAUGAGCAGAUGGCAAAGGCUGUUUUAAUUUUUUUUUCAGAACGGAAAUUCUUUGCCGACUGUCUUUAUUGGCAGGUGGCAAAGCUGUCAUGGUUCAUAAGAUUCCAGCUUUGCUACCUGUUUUCCACGUGGCAGGUGGCAAAGCUAGAAUAAGUAAAAUUUUGGUAUGUUUUUUCUGUUUUGCAUCACAACAAUCAAAUCACAAAUAUGAUUAUAUAACUGGAAUUCACAUAUAUCACAUAGAUCUACAUAUAUAUCACACAAAUCCACAUAUAUAGCACACAUAAAACCAUAACAAAGGAGUCCAACAAGUCCAUCAUCCAACAAAUCGUACUAAUCGAGCAUCCAACAUGAAACAUCCAACAUGGUAUGCAAAACCAACAUCAAACGUCCUGCAAAGUAGAAGAACCACAUAGCCAGUCACGCGUCCUGCGACCCGUCGCCACUGUGGUGUGAAGAGCUCCUAGCUGGCCACAAAGGCCACGAGGACGGUCCAACCUGCGGCACGUUGCUGUACACCCACCCAGAUCUGAUCUGCUGGGUAGGCGGAGGGUCGCUAGCACACCCGAAGGCCCCCUCCUGCGUAGGCCUAGGAGGAACGCCACCUGGUCCCACCUGGCCUGGAGAAAGGCCAUGUGGAGUCGGGUUUGAACCCGCCGAUAGUGGCUGCACAGAGGAGAAGUGAUCCCAUUAGUACCUGCGGGAUGGCCGUACAAGCGAAAACAUAAGACAGACUGCUAGAAACUCACCGGAGUCCCUAAAGGGCUAGGAACAGGGGUGGAGCGAGAACAAGGUGUGGAGCGAAGAUCACGAGAGGCAACGGAGGACAUCUGAAACCAGGGAUCUCUAGGCCCUAAAAGAAGCUGGCAAACUCUUUCAUCUGAUGCAUCGAGUGCUUCUGGAUAGCCUCCAACUGCCGCCGAUGGGCCUCUUGCUGGGCCACCAGCUGCUGCCGAUGGGCCUCCUCUUAGGCCGCCUGUUGGGCCCGCAACUCGGCCAGCUGAGACUACAAUAUUACACCAGUGAUGUUUAAACAACGCAUAAGGAAAGCUACAUAUGUAAAACCAAUGAACAACGAAUAGUUACCUGAACCGCCACCAUCAUCUACGUAGAGCUUGGCUGCCGAGGUUGUAUGGGGACGUCCGAGGAGGUCGUGAUGUCCGAUCGACGAACCUCACGAAGGGUGGGAAUGGUGGCAGGGUCGAUUGUGUCGUGUGCAAGAAAGUACCAGCUGUGCUGCUUCCCUCCUCCCGUCCUCAUCAGGACAUCCGUGUCAAGGGGCUCGGUGGCCGGAUCGUAUGCCUCACUAUGGCGCUUGUGAACUGCCUCGGUGUACUAGACGACCUUCUCGUAGGCGUUCAGGUUCGUGAAUGCGUCGGCCCCCUUCGCCGGGUCAUAGACGUUGUCCAGAUCUAUCGCUUUGCCCUGGUGAGACAGGACAUAGCCCGUGAACUCGUUGAUCACCUGGCCACCAUGCGACUGGGUCUACAAGGAAAACACAAGAACGAUUACACGUAAUGAGAAUAAAUAAAUAAAUAAAUAAAUAAACAAAUCAGUGUGAAGGAUACCCAUGUGUCUAUGUACGCUCCGAGGGGGCGGCUCUCUUGGUGGUGUGCCGGCCCUGUCCAUCCCUUGGCAUGUCCGGAUUUCUCACUGCGCUUCACGUACGCCUUAGGCGUUGUCCAUGAGUCCACAAUCGCCUCCCAGCAGUCCAUGUGCAUUUUGCACCAAUCAGUAGGAUACUGUAGAACAACGUGCAUUUGGGUGAGUAACAAGAUGAAUUAGAAUAGAAUCAAAAUUAAUGUUUCCUACUUACCUGGAUGUAGAUCUCCCUGGGGAGGUCAGUUUCGAGCAAGAGGAUCAUCGCCCUGGCUUGCGACUUCGACAGCGACUGGCCAAACACCUCGGCGUGGUAGUUGAUAAGGACCUAGAGGUGCGCCUCGUAGUACAUGUCCUUCAGUCUCUCCAUGCAGACCUUGUCCUGCACUUGUGCCCCCUCGAUCUCGUGCCCUGGCUCGCACGUGUACCACUCCUGCAUACAGAUAUCAUGUAUCAUUUCAUUAUUUCAACUACAUCCAACAAAUGCAUUCACAUUGUCAUGGUCGGGCGCACCUACGCCAGGCGCCAAAGGACGUGUGACGUGCGUCGUGACCAGAAACGCGCGGAGCGCGCGGGCUAGGACGCAAAGGGCGCCCCCUCGGUUGGGGCCUGAGAGUCCCCCUCGGUUGGGGCUGAGAGUAUCUUAGGUGAUAAAUAAAUUAGAUAUAUUUCUAUUAUUAGUUCCUAAAUUAGUGGAGCUUGUUGCUCCUUUCGGUUGGUCCAAAGGCUAUAUAUUCUGUACCUACUACCGCAUGGAGGUUAAGAAAGAAUUAUCAAUCUAAUCUUCCCCCCUACCCUUCAACUAAGCCUGCGGCCAGGUUAUCCUUGCCAGAGAAGACGACGGACCGAGGCUACGAGUUACGUAGCCGAGGGCCUAACACCCUUGACAACCUGGUAUCUAGAUCCAGGUGAUCCUCUUCGUCCUCUUCCACCUCAACCCCAGCCACAACCAGCCCCCCACCAUCCCCCACCGAAGCCCUAAACCCCACCUCCGCUUCCUCGACGACCUCUUCGCCUUCCGCCAUGGGUGAUGUUGAUCAGCUCCAGGCUCUCACUGAAGCCGUCAAGGCGCUGCAAGCCACGGUGGAGGCCAACGCCAAGGCCAUUGCCUCUCUCACGUCGGAACGUACGUGGUCUUUAGGAUCCAAGGCGCCGGCCGACGAACAUCACAAUGAUCGGCCACCAAAGUUCCAGAAGAUGGAUUUCCCGAAGUAUGAUGGUACGAAGGACCCCCUCAUCUUCAUCAAUCGGUGUGAAUCAUAUUUCCAUCAACAGAGAAUCAUGGAGGAGGAAAAAAUGUGGAUGGCUUCCUAUAACCUUGACGAUGAGGCGCAACUCUGGUAUAUGUAGGUGCAGACGGACGAGGGCACGCCGUCGUGGCGCUGUUUCACGGACUCCUCAAUCUGCGUUUUGGACCACCCAUCCGGUCCGCUCCACUCUUCGAGCUCGCUGAUUGUCGCCGCACUAGGUCGGUGGCGGACUACCAGGCGCUGCUCCCGCGCGCCGGUCACCUAGACGAAGCCCAGUGUGUCCAGCUGUUCACGGGCGGCCUUCUUCCACCGCUCAGCUUGGACAUCUAAGUCCACAACCCGUAGUCCCUCGCGGCGGCCAUGAGUUUAGCCCGGCAGCUCGAGCUGUGGGAGCAAUACGUGGCCGCCCCAGCCGAGGCUCUAGUACGCGGUCUGCUACCUGCGCCGCCACCACGCCUGGCCCUCCCUACACCUCCGGCUACCAAGGCGGACGCCCUUGGUGCAGCCAUCGCUGAUCGGCCGGCCGCCAAGCGCCUAUCCAAGUAGGAGCAGGAGGAACGCUGCCGCCUCGGCCUCUGCUUCAACUGCAACGAGCGCUACAUGCGUGGCCAUAACCGCGUCUGUAAGCGGAUAUUCUUCAUCGGCGGCGUCGACCUCGCGGGCACCGACGAGGCUGGGGAUGACGAGACGCCGGAGACUGAGACCCCAGUCUUCUCCUUGCAUGCCGUGGCUGGGGUGCCCCUAGGCCACACGAUACAACUCAAGGUGCUCCUGGCCGCCAGCUCCUUUGUCGCCCUCGUCGACAUGGGCUCCACCCAUAGCUUCAUCGGGGAGGAGGCUGCGCGGCGCAUCGGGCUGCCCAUCGAGCCGUGCCCCCAUAUGAUGGCGACCGUGGCGAACGGUGAGCGUGUCUCGUGCCCCGGCGUGAUCCGCCAGGCCCCUGUGCUCAUCGACGGCUCGGAGUACUUCGUCGACCUCUUCGUGAUGCCCUUGGCCAGAUAUGACGUGGUUCUGGGCACUCACUGGAUGGCCACAUAGGGCCCAUCGUCUGGGACCUCGCGGCAUAGGCCAUGGCCUUCCAGUAGGACGACCGCAUGAUCCGCUGGCACGGCGUGGCUCCACCGUCUGCUCCAAGCCUCCACACCGCCAUGACAGACGACUCGCUCCUCGACGGGUUGUUGAGCUCCUUCGACAACGUCUUCGCCGAACCACGGGGGCUUCCACCUGUGCACGCUCGGGACCACCACAUCAUCCUCAAGCCCGACGUCACGCCAGUGGUAGUGCGUUCGUACCGGUACCCUGUGGCGCACAAAGUCGAACUAGAGAGGCAGUGUGCGGCAAUGAUCGAGCAGGGCAUCGUCCGCCGCAGUGACUCCGUGUUCUCCUCCCUCGUGCUCCUCGUCAAGAAGCCAGAUGCGACAUGGAGGUUCUGCAUCGACUACCGCGCCUUGAAUGCCCUCACGGUGAAGGAUGCCUAUCCUAUACCGGUGGUCGACGAGCUCCACGGUGCCCGCUUCUUCACCAAACUGGACCUGCGUUCAGGGUACCACUAGGUUCACAUGAGGCCGGCAGAUAUCCAUAAGACGGCGUUCCGCACUCAUGACAGACUCUACGAGUUCUUGGUCAUGUUGUUUGGUCUCUGUAACACCCCGGCCAUGUUCCAGGCUCUGAUGAAUGAUGUGCUUUGGCCAUACCUUCGCCGCUUUGUUAUUGUUUUCUUUGAUGACAUACUAAUCUACAGCAAGUCCUGGGCUGAGCAUCUUCGGCACCUUCGCGUCGUCCUCACCGAACUGCAUCGCCAUCGCCUCUUCAUCAAGCGCCAAGUGCGCUUUCGCCGUCAACUCCGUCUCCUACCUCGGCCACGUCAUAUCAGAGGCAGGCGUCGCCAUGGACCCGGCCAAGGUCCAAGCUGUUCGUGAGUGGCCGGUUCCUCGUUCGGCGCAUGCUGUAUGCGGUUUUCUUGGGCUGGCGGGCUACUACCGCAAAUUCAUCCACAACUACAGCUCCGUCACGGCACCUCUUACCGCUCUCCUCAAGAAGGACGGCUUCUCUUGGGGCGAGCAGGCUGCGGCGGCUUUCGAGGCUCUCAAGACCGCAGUCACCACGACGCCUAUCCUCGCCAUGCCAGACAUCACCAAGGUGUUUGUGGUGGAGUGCGACGCUUCGUCCCACGGCUUCGGGGCAGUGCUCGUACAGGAGGGGCACCCAGUGGCGUUCUUUAGCCGCCUAGUAGCCCCUCGUCACCACGCUCUCGCUGCAUAUGAGCACGAACUUAUUGGCUUGGUCCAGGUGGUACGUCACUGGAGGCCAUACUUAUGGGGUCCUCGCUUCACCGUCGAAACUGACCACUAUAGCCCGAAGUAUUUGCUCGAUCAGCGCUUGGCCACCAUCCCACAACAUCAUUAGGUGGGGAAGCUAUUGGGCUUUGAUUUUCAGGUGGAGUACAAGCCGGGCGCAGCGAACGCCAUCGCGGACGCACUGUCCCGCUGCGACACGGCUAACGGGGCGCUGCUCACCCUCUCGGCCCCGUGUUUCGACUUCCUCGACCGACUCCGUCAAGCACAAGCCACCGACCCUGCUCUUGUGGCUCUACGUGAUGACAUCGCCACCGGCUCUCGUGGACUGCCAUGGGCCACAGUGGACGACAUUGUCCAGUUUGCUGGGCGCCUGUUGUUGGGUAUUUUAAACGCAAACAGAAAAAUCCGCAAGCGCACGGAUACCGAUGUAGCUUUCACCCGGGAGUAUUCCAGAGUAUCGAUUUUCCACAGGGAACGUGAGUGUACUAAUUAAGAUCCAAGAUCGCCCAAGGAUAACUAUAUAAUUAUUUUUGGUGGGAAGAGAGGAAGUUUCCUGAGAGUUCUCUAGUUGAUCUAAGAAUCAAGAAUUACUUCAAGAUUAUCUAUAUCGGGACAUCAGAGCACUAACCACGGAAAGAGAUGAGAAGGGGGCUAGGAAGGUCUGACUACGGUCCUACAAACACCGAUCCGAACAUGGUGGAAUACGUCGACCGUUAGGGCUGUCACUACCCUAGGGCUACCACAACAAUCCGCAGGAUUGGGUGCAAUUCCAAGUAAUUGCAAGACUAAACACCACGUCUAAUCUAUUAAUUACUACUCUAGCGUUAUAAAGACUAGAGCACUUGAUGCAAGCGGGAAUCCAAUAAGUAACUUGAAUGUAAAUAAAUGUAAUUAAAGAACUCAGGAAUUAUGAAUUGAAGAACCUGGAGAACGAUGAAGAACGAACUAGAUGCUGCAAAAGUAUAAUGUUGAGGAAGAUCCGACAGAUCCGGCUCCUCCUCCGCUCUCCUCUUCUCUCUCCCUAUUUUCUAGAUUACAACUAGAACUAACUAGAACUAGAACUAGAGGAACUAGAACUAGAACUAGAUGAACUAGAACUAGAUCUAGAUGAACUAGAGGUAUCCUCUCUACUUGGAUGAAGAAUUGAAACCCUAGCUUUGAUUCUGUAGAAGAGGUAUGCCUCCAGGGGCUGGUGGGGGUCUGCUUAUAUAGUCCAGGAAGAGUAGCCCCCAAGAAAUCUAGGAAGAGUAGCCCCCAAGAAAUCUAGGAAGAGUAGCUCCCAAGGAAUUUCCACGUUAUUCUCCAUCAUCCGAUCAAACCGACCUUCAUCGUGUGAUUUUCCUCGAUCCUUAGAGUCGGUGGGGCAUAAUCCCCGAGACUCGUGCUGAUUGGCCAGCAGAGCAGGGCGGGCGCCCAGGGGGGUAGGGCGGGCGCCCUGCCUCCGGGCCCGCUCGGCCUCCCGUUCGUUCCCGUGGCUUCUGGAGUCUUCUAGAUGAUAGAAAAUUGCGCGGCACGUUAAUAUCUCUAUGUAAUCCCGACGUGUGGGCCUUUCUUCCGUAUUUCCUGAUAACCCCCUGCAGAAAUAGACAAACACCAAAACUCAUGGAAUUCUGUCAGAUAAAACCCUAAGUCUGGGUGUUGGUUGCAUUUGGAUCCUUUUCCAUGAUUAAUUGAUGGUUAAAUAUGAGCAUUAAGGACCGUCAACAAGCUCCCCCAAGCUUAACCUUUGCUCGUCCCUGAGCAAAGCUAAAAUCAACAAGAAAACAGGGGUUACUUCUAUGCCUCUUACUACAGUGUUUUUAAGUUAUCACUAAGGUCUUAAGUGAUUGAAAAACAGAAUGAUCAAGUCAAGCACUAUGUCUCAAGUUCUUCUGUCUUACCUUUGUUCUGGAGUUUUUUUUAUAAGUCUGCAAAAUAAAACCGAGGCAUUUGCCUUCUUCUCGAAAGAUAUAUAUAAGUAGAGCUUUAAAAGUUUUAGCAUACUUACUUUGUAUUUUGCUAUGUCAACGCUCGGAGUAAGGGAGAGGAAUGUCAUACUCCUAGAUCAAGACCUUUGACCUUUUUGAAAAGUUUGUCAUCUCUUACUGGCAUAUUGCUUAUUAGAGGGACCAUGGGCUAUCUCUUUUUUUUUCAGUCUCUCUUUUUUUUUUCAAGUGGGCAGCAAGUACCCCUAAUUCUACUGUCGGACACAUGUCCAUUUUUUUUCACUCAGGUGGGUAUCUUUGUACCCCUAAUUCUACUUCGGACACUUGUCCAUUUUUACCUCUCGUCUCACUUUUUUUUUUGAAUCAAAUUUUUGCAUAGUCCCAUGCCUCUAACACAAUAAUACUUCGGAAGAGUGAAUCUUUUAUAUUUUUAAAACAAAAAGAUCUUGAUCUUGGGAGCAUGAUAAUUCUCUCAACCAAAACUACAAGAAUUAACAAUGGCUUGAACAAAGCAAGUGCCCAUAGUUUUAAUAUUUAUAUCUUAUAAGACUCUAGGUAUUAUGAUCUCAUAUAUUUUUUAUGAAUUUUUAGAUUUUCAAAAGAUAAAAUCUCCAGAACUCUAGCAAAACUUGGAACAAGUUAAAUAGUAGCUCAGACCUUCUCAUAUCAUGUUUGUCAAUUACCUAGACUUGAAUCAAACUUUUUUUUUAUUUUUAUUUAAAACUUAGGAUUACACAAAACUAUUGUAUAUUACUCAAAAGAAAAACUUUGUUUGGUUUCAUGGUUAUGUAUUUUUAUUUAUUUAUUUAUUUCCGAAUACUAGAAAAUAAAACCAAAGGAAGAAAAGUAAUACUUAUCUAGAUACACGUGGGGGUGCCUCGCCCAAGCUGGAUUUUGACAUAAUUCCUUUUGAUGUAGCUAGCAGGUGGCGGAGGUGUAUUUGAAUGUCGGCAGCACUCUGACAGUGAUUAGGAUGUCCUCCGUCUGCUAGUCUUCUUUGAUCCUUGAAUUCUGUGGAGCUCAAAUAGACAUCAAAGCUUUGUGGAACUAGUUAAGUGUUAGCAUAAAUAUCUAGCCUUUAUCAUGUUGAGCCUCCUCAAUAAAUGUUACUCUCUUUAGUAGGAUCAUAAAUCUAUUUUUAUAUUUUCGUUUUUAUAGGACGGGAAUAUAUUUAUUUUAUUUUUAUGCCACCACAGUGAAUGUACUUAUGGGUUUUAUGCCAUGAGCAUACUCACAUGGGGCUUACUAUUUUUAACAUUUUUAUUUUCUUUUCAAGAUGAUAUGAACCUGAUUAACUAAGCAAACUAUUUUAAAUAAUUGAAAGGGAAAAAGAUAACUACCAAGUUUACCUCUUGGCAAGGCGUUCGGUGUUUUUAAAUCCUCCGAACGGGACUCUCCAUAUUCUCAGUCGUCCUGGGAUUCGCUGGAUGGCGUAGUCGGUGGUUCCGGCGGCGCCUGCUCUUCAUGUAUAACUAUCUUCUUUCUCCACGCCUGACUCGGUGCACGUCUCCUACGUAGUCCGCCCAUCCAUCCUUGAUGAUUUUCCUCCUCAGGUUGCGCUUGUGUCGUCUUCUUCUUGUCCUGACCUGCUUAGAGUUUGUCUUCUCCCAUGUCAAUAACCUUAAAAUCAUCUAGAGCUGAAUGUAUGUUGGUUGUAGGGAUAUGGUUCCAUGUAGGAGGUGCUAAGUGACUGCGGCCAUUAUGUUGACGUUAGAUCCGGUGUCGUAGAGUGUCUUCUAAAAAGAAUAUCCGUUGAUUGUGCACUUGAUGCUUGGAACACCAGGGUCGUCCUUCUUGAUCAAGAAAGGUGACUUGAGUUGACGAUCUUGACCUCCUUGAGCUGCAGUGACCAUCUUAGCUGACUCGGUACACAUUUGCUUAUUCUUGUUCCUCCUGUUGGUCCUCUUCCUUAGUUCAUGUCGGGAUUGCUUUGAGAUUUGUGUAGUCUUGUUUCUUGAAGGAAAACGUCUCCUUCCUUCCCUUUAUGUAGAAACUGAUCUUGGCAGCACUAGCGUAGAUGACAGCUCCCGAGGUGUUCAGAAAUGGCCUCCCUAUGAUGAUGGGCGCCCUCUCAUCAGUACCAGUCUCUAUCACCACGAAGUCUGCUGGAGCGUAUAAGGUACCAACUCGGACGUAGAGUUUCUUCAAUAUUCUCCUGAGCAUAAUGUUGACGCUGGAGCCAAAGUCGCAGAGUGCUUCUGGGAAGUCCACCAUGCCGAUGGAGAUCGGGAUGAUGGGGCGUCCUGUGUUGUCUCUCUUGACCGGCAGAAGGUCAGUAAUUACUUCCACAAUGGGGUUACUCCAGUAGUUAUGUCCUCAAGCAUCUCAGGGCAGUGAUUGCUUGAGUGUCCAGUAUCUCCAUUGUGUAUGUGCUCGUAGAUCUAGGUUCUUCACUUGGUGGAGUCUGGGAGUUGUAAAAGUCCUUCAUAUUUUGCUCGAAGUGUACCUGCUCAUAGACAAGGCAGAGAUCAAGUGCAUGGGCCCUGUUGGUGGAAAACACCAACAGAACCAAAAGUGUAUUUGUUCUUCUCUAACCUUUAGCAUAGUGAGCGAGACAAAGUUGAUGGAUAAUAAGAUCAUGAGUAUAACAUUUAAAACAUUUGUCAGAUCAAAUCGCUCAACCUAAUGGAAAGAUAAUCUAUCUAUAUUUAUGUUGUUUUUUUAUAUAUAUCUUCCAAAGAUUGAGUGUGCAACUUUUUAGCUCAUAUGGUUAGGAGUGUGGGAUCACAAAGGUGGAAGGACUAAACAUGUUGAAUCGAUUGGGUUGGUUAAUCUAGAGUUGUAAAUCAUACAUGUUUGUCUCUUUUAUUUAUGUGAACGCCAGAAAUAAGGAGAAGCUUAUAAAAGUGAUAGUCAAGUACCUUGAGAUGUUACCUUACUUGAAAGAGUGAUGGUGCAGUAUCACCUUGUGGAAGCUUUCCUUUCUUAGUGGUUGUGCAUCGUGUUUGUGGCACCCUCCAUGGAUCAUCUCUUGUGAGCUAUGCCUUCCUUGUGUAAAUUGUUAAACUUCAUGCGUCUCUCUCUUUGUCUCUAAUGUGAGUUUAUCUCGGGACUUCCCAGGUCGAUAUUGAAAGUUUUCCUACAGGGGUUAGUCCAACAAAAUAUCCAAUAUCUACUAUAGCAUACUAUCGGCUCAAAAAUCAACCUAGACACCAUGUCUAAUUUGAUUUAGGAGGGCAUUUUAACCUAAGCAUCAUGCUUGAUUUAAAAACCCUUCGGAAGUAAGAUCAUCAUUCCUAAACUAAGCACCAUGCUUAAUUAAGAGAUAAAUGAAACUACUCCAAACCUAAACAUAUACUAAAGCAAAUAAAGGUAGCAUGAGAGCAUUUAUAGAGAUCUACUCAAGUGGAGAUGAAGUAGUGUGAUUAGUAUUUAACAAAUUGAGCAUGUCUCAAAGGUACAGACAACCAACAUAUCAACAUGGCAAAGAAUGUUUUUAUGUAAAGUACUCCCCCAAGCUUGAAUUUUGUAAAAUUCAAGUUUGGAUGAAUUUAAUUCAAUGUUGUAUGAUGAUUGGUUGGACAUACCUUGUGUUUGUCAUUCAUCCAAUCUUCUUGCUCCAAUCCUGGAAAGGUUAGUGACAAGAAUAUCCGAAGGAAUAGUUUUACAAUUAUCCUUAUAUGCUCAACACAAAAGGUAAUAUUGCAAAUAAUUAAAAGCUCAUGUUAUGAUCUGAUCAAUGCUUGUUUUAGGACACUAAGCUUGUCCUUGGGAAACCAUCAAUUUAUGUCAGUGAAGUGGUUUCCCCUCCAACGCUGACCUAUAUCAAGAUCAACUCAACGAGAUCUGCAAAAUUUAUUAUAGACAUAUGCAUCGACAACCGCCCUUUUAAAGUUUUUAUAAAUAGAAAGGAAGAGGAGGUUGGAGAUCUCGAAUGUGGUGAUGUUGAAGAGACCAAUGGAUUGUGAAGAUGUUGCAUAUGAGCAUGGAGUAAAUGAAGUGGCUAUGAAAUAAAUUCCAUGCUCAUUAAUGCUUAGAGUGAAAUCCAUGUGGUAUGGUGAAAAUGAUAAGGUGAGUGUGGUAUAAAAGGAAAAGAAAAAGGAUACACGGACGACUUGGUUCGAAACUAGCACAGCUACCGUUCCCCGGCAACGGCGCCAGAAAGCUUGUUGGGUAUUUUAAACGCAAACAGAAAAAUCCGCAAGCGCACGGAUACCGAUGUAGCUUUCACCCGGGAGUAUUCCAGAGUAUCGAUUUUCCACAGGGAACGUGAGUGUACUAAUUAAGAUCCAAGAUCGCCCAAGGAUAACUAUAUAAUAAUUUUUGGUGGGAAGAGAGGAAGUUUCAUGAGAGUUCUCUAGUUGAUCUAAGAAUCAAGAAUUACUUCAAGAUUAUCUAUAUCGGGACAUCAGAGCACUAACCACGGAAAGAGAUGAGAAGGGGGCUAGGAAGGUCUGACUACGGUCCUACAAACACCGAUCCGAACGUGGUGGAAUACGUCGACCGUUAGGGCUGUCACUACCCUAGGGCUACCACAACAAUCCGCAGGAUUGGGUGCAAUUCCAGGUAAUUGCAAGACUAAACACCACGUCUAAUCUAUUAAUUACUACUCUAGCGUUAUAAAGACUAGAGCACUUGAUGCAAGCGGGAAUCCAAUAAAUAACUUGAAUGUAAAUAAAUGUAAUUAAAGAACUCAGGAAUUAUGAAUUGAAGAACCUGGAGAACGAUGAAGAACGAACUAGAUGCUGCAAAAGUAUAAUGUUGAGGAAGAUCCGACAGAUCCGGCUCCUCCUCCGCUCUCCUCUUCUCUCUCCCUAUUUUCUAGAUUACAACUAGAACUAACUAGAACUAGAAUUAGAGGAACUAGAACUAGAACUAGAUGAACUAGAACUAGAUCUAGAUGAACUAGAGGUAUCCUCUCUACUUGGAUGAAGAAUUGAAACCCUAGCUUUGAUUCUGUAGAAGAGGUAUGCCUCCAGGGGCUGGUGGGGGUCUGCUUAUAUAGUCCAGGAAGAGUAGCCCCCAAGAAAUCUAGGAAGAGUAGCCCCCAAGAAAUCUAGGAAGAGUAGCUCCCAAGGAAUUUCCACGUUAUUCUCCAUCAUCCGAUCAAACCGACCUUCAUCGUGUGAUUUUCCUCGAUCCUUAGAGUCGGUGGGGCAUAAUCCCCGAGACUCGUGCUGAUUGGCCAGCAGAGCAGGGCGGGCGCCCAGGGGGGUAGGGCGGGCGCCCUGCCUCCGGGCCCGCUCGGCCUCCCGUUCGUUCCCGUGGCUUCUAGAGUCUUCUAGAUGAUAGAAAAUUGCGCGGCACGUUAAUAUCUCUAUGUAAUCCCGACGUGUGGGCCUUUCUUCCGUAUUUCCUGAUAACCCCCUACAGAAAUAGACAAACACCAAAACUCAUGGAAUUCUGUCAGAUAAAACCCUAAGUCUGGGUGUUGGUUGCAUUUGGAUCCUUUUCCAUGAUUAAUUGAUGGUUAAAUAUGAGCAUUAAGGACCGUCAACACCUGUACAUACCACCGACAUCGCCUCUGCUCUACGAGAUCAUGCUGGCCGUCCACGAGGAGGGGCACGAAGGCGUCCAGCGCACACUGCACCUCCUGCGAUCUGACUUCCAUUUUCCUAAUAUGAAACAGGUGGUGUAGGACCUUGUUCGCACGUGCGGGGUUUGUCAGCGGUACAAGUCGGAGCAUUUACAUCCAGCGGGACUCCUGCUGCCCCUACCGGUGCCUCUGGGCAUGUAGACAGAUGUGGCGCUCGACUUCGUGGAGGCGCUGCCCCGCGUCCAUGGGAAGUCCGUGAUCCUCACCAAGGUGGACAGAUUCAGCAAAUAUUACCAUUUCGUUCCACUGGCGCAUCCGUACUCCAUCGAGACUGUCGCCAGGUGUUCUUCACCGACAUCGUCCGACUACAUGGCGUUCCUCAGUCGAUGGUGUCAGAUCAGGACCCCGUCUUCAUGUCCAACUUCUGGCAUGAACUCAUGCGCCUGUUGGGGACAAAGCUCCACAUGACGACAACAUUCCAUCCUCAGUCCGACGGCCAGUUCGAGGCGGCUAACCGUGUCAUCAUCAUGUACCUGUGGUGCCUCACUGGGGACAAACUGCGGUAGUGGCUGUGUUGGCUGCCCUAGGCGGAGUUCGUCUUCAACACCGCCUACCAGACGUCACUGUGCGACACGCCAUUCCACGUGGUCUACGGCAGGGACCUGCCAUCUCUCCGUUCAUAUGAACCCGGCGAAACCAGAGUGGCCACCGUCGCCCAAAGCAUGGAGGAAUGAGAUGAGUUCCUAGCUGAUGUUCACUAUCGGCUACAGCAGGCUCAAGCCACUUAGAAGCUACACUACGACAAGGCCCAUCAUCACGUCUAGUACCAGGUGGGCGACUGGGUGCUCCUUUGGCUCAGGCAGCGGGCGACGUCUUCCCUUCCCCAGGCUACCACCGGCAAGCUCAAGCUACGCUUCUUCGGCCCCUACCGCAUCACCGAGCUCAUCAACGACGUCACCGUCCGCCUCGACUUGCCACCCCACGCCCGCAUCCAUGAUGUCUUUCAUGUUGGCCUGCUCAAGAAGUUCUAGGGGACCCCGCCAGACACUCCCCCGCCCCUGCCGUUCUAGCACCAUGGGGCUGUUGCACCAGAACCUGAGCGGGUGGUACGCUCUCGCCUCGCUUGCGGCGAGCGCCAGAUCCUCGUCCACUGGAAAGGGGAGUCCACAGCGUCCGCCACUUGAGAAGACCUGGAGCUGUUCCGUGCCAAGUUUCCUACAUUCCAGAUCGAGGAUGAGCUGCUCCUCGACGGGGGAGAGAUGUCAUGGUCGGGCGCACCUACGCCAGGCGCUAGAGGACGCGUGACGUGCGCCGUGACCAAGAACGCGUGGAGCGCGCGGGCCAGGACGCGAAGGGCGCCCCCUCGGUUGGGGCUUGAGAGUCCCCCUCGGUUGGGGCCUGAGAGUAUCUUAGGUGAUAAAUAAAUAAGAUAUAUUUCUAUUAUUAGUUCCUAAAUUAGUGGAGCUUGUUGCUCCUUUCGGUUGGGCCAAAGGCCAUAUAUUCUGUACCUGCUACCGCAUGGAGGUUAAGAAAGAAUUAUCAAUCUAAUCUUCCCCCCUACCCUUCAACUAAGCCUACGACCAUGUUAUCCUUGCUGCAGAAGACGACGGACCGAGGCUACGAGUUACGUAGCCGAGGGCCAGCUAUCCAACGGCCUGACGCCCUUGACACACAUUAACAAAGCCGUGCGAUGAAGACUCACCCAGAACUCCCUCUUGAUCACAUCGGCAAGGGGGACCUCAUCUGCGUCCUUGACUUUGUAGAACUCCGGCCACUUAUUGGGUGGCUUUUGGAUCCCGUCUAUGGUGAUAAGGCUAGGGUAGUGCUUCUUAACCAGGUGGCCCAGCAUGCCAUUAAUAUGGCGUGAACUGCCCCCGUUCACAAGCUUCCAGUUGCUGCACGAGUCAUUAAGAACAACUGUUAGUCCAAAGUUCAAUUUUCAACAUGUCAUAUGAAUAAGUUGUGAAAACAUGAAUGGUUACUUACUUUGGACCCUCGGGUCGAAUCACCGGACGGUGGGCUACCGCGAGCGGGGCGGAAGGGAGGCGUGUGAUCCUCUUAGGCAUUAGAAAAAUGAUAUUCAUGUUAGAGAGUUUAUUUUGAAGCCGUGUCCAGAAACUCACCCAGAAUUUUGAAGUCCUUGUCCACGGAACAUGACCAUAGAGGUGUGGUAUAAGUGCUUUUUAAUUAUAUAAAAUUCAAACGAAGUUGGAAAAUUACGAAACUUGUUGAGAUGUCAUAUUAUCACAUAUGGACCCAUGGUAAAAAUUUUAAAAAGUUUGGAGAAAGUUGCGACGUCACAUGUGGUAAAACCCACACAUCUCCGCAUGUGUUCAUAUGUGAUCACAUGUGGAGGUGUGUGGGUUUUACCACAUGUGACGUCGCAACUUUCUCCAAACUUUUUAAAAUUUUUACCAUGGGUCCAUAUGUGAUAAUAUGACAUCUCAACAAGUUUCGUAAUUUUCCAACUUCGUUUGAAUUUUAUAUAAUUAAAAAGCACUUAUACCACACCUGGAUGGUCAUGUUCCGUGGACAAGGACGUCAAAAUUUUAGGUGAUUUUUCUCGACAUGAUCUUAAAAUAGACUCUCCAACAUGAAUAUCAUUUUUUGAAUGGCUAAGUUUCAUUAUUUGAUGCACCUGCUGUUCAAAGUAGGAUUCUACGAUGGAAAAUACAAUUAACAUAAAUUAAUUAACGAAAUAUAGCAAAAAGGGUCACAAAAUCGCGAAAGUUUUUAAGGUUCACUCUUAUUGCAUGUGGAGGCUAUGAAAAAAGUUUGAGGAAGUUUGGAGCAAGUGACGACGUCAAAUGUCCAAAACCUAAAUUCAAAUUUUAAAAAUAAAAAAUUUCAUCUUUGUCGACUGCCUGACGGCCUGAAAGAUGGUAAAGGGGACGGCGAUGGGCGCCGUUUUGACCAGCCAUCUUUUGCCACCAGCUUUUCUUUGCCACCUGCCAGGCAGUCGGCAAAGACUGUCUUUGCCGACUGCUUAGAGUGGCCGAUAGCUCAGGACAAUAGGGCAGUCGACAAAGAAUCCUUUGCCGACUGCUUUUAGGGGCGGUCGACAAAGUGUAUGUUUGCCGACUGCCCUACCUUUGGCAGGUGGCAAAGGAUUCUAGCAGUCGGCAAAGUCCAGUUUUCCUGUAGUGGCGAUGGCUACCAUUGCACCGCUCCAACCUUACUGGCUACCUCGCCCAGGAAACCAAUCAGGCGCAGCUCGCAACAGCCUGGAUGGGAUGGAUGCGGGCAACCAAACACGCCCUAGACUAUGCUGCGACACCGAGGCUAGGUUCUCUAGCCCCCACGUCUAUAUAGAGCAUCCAAGUACAAAGUCAUAAACUACUCUCUCUCCAUCCUAAAUUGUAAGUUACUCUAAAAUUUUGGACAGGUCAAAGAAUCUCAAGUUUGACUAAAAUUAUAGAAAAAAUUACAAAGUUUUGUGACAUCAAAUAGAUAUAGUAUGAAAAUGUAAUUAAUGAAAAAUCUAAUGAUACUUAGUUGAUAUCAUAAAUGUUAUUAUUUUACCAUAUAAAUUUUGGUCAAAUUUAAGAUGCUUUGACUUUUUAUGAUUUUUAGAAUAACUUAUUUGAGAUGGAAGGAGUACCAUGCAAUCACGCGUUGGAAGAAAAAAGUGAGGCUCUGUGACAUGCUUUCUAGGGACCAUGAUCAAAAGUAACUAAAGAGAUGACGGGAGCAGUGGGAGUAGCACUAGUACAAAAGUGCUCAAAGCCAGCGGUGCAACAUAAUUUUUGUUGAUGCAAAAGCUGAUCUGCAAACACAAAGGGCUAAUACCCGAUUCAAACGUUAAGGCAUGCCAGCCGAUUUGACCUUGCAAUCGACAAAGGUGGUAACUCGAACACUUUGGUCCCGACAACAGCGAUGCGCCCGGAUGUCACGGCCAAGAGGUGCUCACGCGGAACUUGAGAACACGCCGAGUUUGACUCGACGAAUUCCUAAGAACUCGUGGUAAAAGGAAAAUAUGACGAAGUCGUCAAAAAGUAGAUGCUGGAAUAUGUGUAAAAACUUGUGUUUGAUUGAUUGAUAGAUGAUUCAUUACAUUGUCCUAGGGUCUACAUUUAUACCCUAUCCAAGGAGUUACAACCAGACACGACCAGGACUUGAAUUCCAAAUUAAACGGAAUCCGUAUACAAGACGAACUCUAAUAACUAAGAAAAACAUUAAACUAUCCUCCACAACCGAUCGAUACACUGUUAUGAGCCAAUCGGCAACCCCUGCAUCUUUCUUCAUAAGCAUCGGCAGACCGCUUGUUACAGCCAUCGGCAACCAUCGGCACUAGUCAUCGGCACGAACAUACCACCUCUUUUGGACUUGGUCAUAUUCGGUUGCUUUCCCAUCGGCACCAACCUUCAUCGGCAACUUCCCUGUAGACUAAUCACCAUUGUCUCUCCUGCCGAUCUACACCCUAUUAACUCCAGGUGCAUAUUCCAAAGAUACGUGUCCAAAAACGGUGUCAACACAUGCCCCCCAAUUUCGGAGUAUAAAUCAUUAAUGCUCCGAAAUUCUCCUUAUUAAUGACACCUUUCCGCAAUUACUUCCCUCAAUUUGGUAAUUAAUCACCAAAUCUAAACAGCUUCGGCCCGUUUCUCCUGCAGGUUUCUCAAAUUUCUCAACUUCUCGAACCAAACCUCCUCACAAUGCGCUCAUCGGCAAUAUUACCGGUAGAGAAGAUUGCUGAUGGACCGACCAGGCGAUCUUACACAGUAAGAUAUCUUCAAAAUUAUGACCGCUUGCUGUCAAAUCACCUGUGCAAUCCCUUGAUUAUCGUGCGAACAGUUACCAUAUCCACCUGAACACCAUCGAAUUCCUCGGAUGCGGCAAAGAGAUAAGUCAGAUUUGCCCCUGCCCUCCUUGUCCUAUAAAUACUUCCUUCUCUGGUACUCCUCUUCCAUCCUGUCAUUCUUUUAGGAGUUGGCCGAUAAAAUCUUUAUUCCUACCGAUCAACCUCACUUCCAGUGCCUUGGUCCAUUGGGAAACCCAGAUCCUACCGAUCUGAUAAACGUAGAGACAAAUAGGAUCCCCUUUAGAGCUGAGAACUUCUCCUUAGAUCUGUGGAGAGAUGCUUUCCGUUCCUAGCCCAGCCCUACCAAAGGAUGGAAAGACUGGUUCCUGAGAAUCAGCAAUUCAAAUGAAGUCCAAUGGGGUGAGCGGAAAUUGGACUAGUGUAUCAAGCUAUCUAUUGCCGAUAUGGAGAGGAAUGAGUCGCUGGUGAUAGUUGCCUCAUACUUUUAGUCAGACACACUUAAUGCUUUUGUAUUUGGCCAUGGCCCUGCUUCACCUACUCUUGCCGAUGUACUUAUGCUUACCGACUUAGACAUAUCAACUGCCGAUAAUAGUCAUUUAUUUGAUAAUAAGCCUAGCUCUAAGGUAGAGACUCACAGUAUCGGCGGUUGGUCUAGGUACAUUUAGAAGUACUGAAAAACAGGAUCUGUUGGGGAAAGAGAACACGCUAUUUUCCUGAACAUGUGGCUGGAUAAGUUUGUGUUCUGUGGCCGAUCGGCAGGACCAACCUCUGUCUAUCUAUCGACAGCAGAGAGACUGGCCAAUGGUGGCCGAUUUCCACUUGGCCGAUACCUGCUCGACUCUGUCUAUCACCUCCUUCACCAGGUAGCUAAGAAACUCCUCCUAGGCCAACCCAUCGGCAACUUAGGGGGACCUUGGUGGUUCAUCAAUAUGUGGCUCAGUGUCCAUAUGCAUAAGUGCCUUGGAUUCAACCUUUUUGCACAGCGCUUUCCCAGAGACAAAGCCGAAGAUCAUGAGUUGGAUGAGGAAGAAUCGGCAACUCGUUCCCCUCUGAACUAUGGUGAAGCUGCCAUAGUUUUAUCUGGCACCGGUGGUAAUGAGGACCAGGUCAGCAGACUCUCUAUGAAGGUCUGGCCAAAGACCAGCAGGCAUGGAUGCCUUAUGAAGAUCCGGAAACCAGAUUCCCCACUUUCCACCCCUUUGAUGAUGCUCUCAACAAAGAUCAUGAUCUGAUGAUGGCAAUUAUUACUCCGAAAGCUAUACCACUGAACUUUUUUGGCAGUGGAAAGCUUCCAAUCUCACAUACGAGUUCUACAACCCAUCAGUACUGGCUCAUCAACUGGCCUUUGGACAACUGCCGAUUGCACUCUGCUACGCCGAUGUCGUAAAGCCAAGAGAAAUCAUAACCAGCGGUCUUGAGUGGAUCAAGAUAGCUCAACUCCCACCGAAUGCCGAUACGUCAGAUAUUGAUUUAUUGGCUUGGAUCCCAGCUCUCUUCAUCACUCAAGCAUACAAACAAUGGUGGGAGGAAUGGAAAGAGCACCUGUUCUGCGGAUCGGCCCUCACAUACCACGGCAUGAUCGACCCCAAGUAUAAAAUCCCCGAGAAUACUGUAAGUCUUCAACCGAUGCUCCAAUCCUUUUAUUACUUUUAUUUCUAUCAGUAACUCAUUUUCCUCUCUUUAAACAGGUCGACGAUACACCACCGACAGUCAGCAGGAGCAGAAUGCCGAUCGAACUCCUUCCAUCAGGUCCGAUCUCCCUCAUCGGCAACAACGCACCAACCCUGGCAACUCUGAUGCACCGGAAUGUGCGUUUUAAGAAUAUAACCACCAAACGAGCAAAGACAUCUCCAUCGGUCGCCGCUGCCACCUUGGCACAAGCUUUCAAGGUGAAUCUUUUGAUUUCCUUAAUUCAUGCCGAUUCCAUUCUAUACUCACUCCACCUUUUCAGGAUACAUCGGCCGCUAUGGGAACUUCAUCGGUAACUUUUAUUGUUUCAACCAAAAUUUCAUCAAUACUCUGUUACACUUGUACUUAUGAAACUUUUGUUGUACCAGCAAAGUGGCAAAUCGGCAAAGACCAGACGUGCCAAGACAAGUGCCGAUGCCCCCCAGUCCAGUCAAGCUAAGAGAAAAGCCCCCAAGAGUACCAAGACACAACCAAAAUGCCAGAAGACAGCACCACCUUCUUCUCCUCCUCCAUUGUCGCCGAUUCAUGUGGAAUCAUCCCCUUCUUCACCAGAACUCCAGACUCAGCAAGCACCAUCUCCACCUCAGCCACAGGAAGCAGCUCAGCCAGCAGGGACAUCAGCUGAUGUACUUGAGCAGAUUGCUGAUCCAGUAAGUUCAAUCAUAUCAUCGGUGGUCUCCUCAAUUUAGACAAGCACUGCACCUCCUCAAGGUAAAGUACUGUCCAUAAAAUUAUUGCCGAUGUAUCUAUUUUUCAACUUAUAACGAUCAUUUUCUUUUAGCUGACAUUGUUCCAUCGACAACUCCGGCCGAUCAACCUGUGGUACCAUCGGCCUUAGCUAGCCAGAGGCAAGAAAUUGCCCUGAAACAAGUAAGUCACCUGAAUUCUAUUUUUAUCAUCACUAGUACUUGAUCAUCAAAUAACUUAUUUUAUAUUCUUUUCAGGAACAGGACUCUCCCGACAGCUGUUUUCCUUCGCCAUCGAAAUUUCUGAUGAUGAAGGCGAGGAAGCAAGCUCUUCUCAAGCAGUAGGGAUUUCAUCUGCAGAAAUCAGAGCUAAACUGGAAGAUCUGCUGGCCUUGCUUCAUCAGGACACUGCUUAAUUAGUUGAUGAUUCUGAUCUAGCUAAAGCUUUGUUCAAAGCCCUCAGGGGCCAAAUCCCUGCCGAUGCCGAAGAGGUCCUCUUCCAGGCUGCGCAUUUGGAGAGCCGCCAGCUUCAGUACCAAAAGGCUACCCAACGUCUUGCCGAUAGAGCCACCCACACCCAACUUUCGGAGGAGGUAAUGAAAGUGAAAUAUCUUGCCGAUGAGAAGCAUAAGAGCAUCGGCACCCUAAAAUCCUCUGGAGAUACGCUGAGGCAGAAGAUUUCCAAUCUAUUGGCAAAAAGGGAAACCCUAUUGGCAGAGCUUAAGCAAGUAGAAGAGGCUCUUUCCCAAGCUCAGUAAGAAGAAAAUUAGUUGCCCAAAAUGAUCAAGACUCUCGAACAAGAGUAAAACAUCCAAGCCCGCAAGGCACUGCAGAUGAAGAAGAAGCUGAAGCCAGUGGAGGGUUCUGCCGAUGAAGACAUCAGGGAGAUAGAAGAAGCCGAUCAAAUCCAUCUGCGCGCCAUAUUGGCCAUCCAAGCCUUGCUAAAUGCAUGAACUCUUCAUCGGCGGCAUGUUUUGUUCUGCCUUUAGAAACUGCUGACUAUUUUGGUCUAGCCGAUAGGAUUGUUAUCGGCAUCCUUUUAAAACAUCAUACUCAGUCCCAGAUACAAUUUAAUCCAGCCGUUAGGAGUGUUAUCGGCACCUAAACUUUUAUGCAUCGACCCAUAUGCUUGGGUAAUACUUUUUUAAAUAUUUUUCAUUCAAUGCUCUGGGAAAUGCAACUCCUUUGAGAGUUUCCAAAAUAUAAGCAUUACCGGGAGCAGACCGAUUUAUCCGAUAAGGACCUUCCCAAUUAGGAGACCACUUCCCAAAUUUUGAACUUUUAGUCCCAAUCGGCAUGAUCAAUUUCCAGACCAAAUCUCCAUCGACAAACUCCUUAGCUUUUACUUUUUUAUCGUACCACUUAGCAACUCUCUUUUUAUUUUCUUCUAUACUUAUCAAAGCUUUAAGCCGAUGCCAUGCUAAAUCAUCUAACUCAUCUUUCAUCAAAGUAGCAUAGUCAUCGGCAGCCAACUGAUUUUGGAAAGAUAGUCGCCUAGACCCAGUCUUAAUUUCCCAUGGUAGUACUGCAUCGUGCCCAUACACCAACUGAUAAGGUGAAACUUUGGUCGACCCAUGACAAGCCAUCCGAUAUGACCAUAAAGCUUCAUUCAACAAUGUAUGCCACCUCCUAGGAUUUUCAUCAAUCUUUCAUUUGAUAAGUUUAAUAAUUUCUUUGUUAGACGCCUCGGCCUGCCCAUUGGCUUGAGCAUAAUAAGGAGAAGAAUUUAACACUUUAAUUCCCAUACCGAUUGCAAAUUCAUCAAACUCUCCCGAUGUAAACAUAGUACCCUGAUCGGUAGUGAUUGUUUGAAGAAUACCAAAUCGGUACACAAUAUGCUCUUUCACAAAAUCAAUCAUAUUAGCCGAUGUAACUUUCUUCAAAGGAAUAGCUUCAACCCACUUAGUGAAAUAAUCAGUGGCAACUAAGAUGAACUUAUGCCCUUUGCUCGAUGGUGGGUAAAUCUAGCCAAUUAGAUCAAUAGCCCAUCCCCGGAACGACCAAGGUUUAAUAAUGGGGUUCAUGGCCGAUGCAUGCGCCCUUUGAAUAUUACCAAACUUCUGACAUCCUUGACAUCCUUUGAAAUACUUAAAGCAAUCCUCGAGUAUGGUCGGCCAAUAAUACUCGUUUCUACUAAUCAUCCAUUUCAUCUUAAAAGCCGACUGAUGCGCUCCACAUACUCCCUCAUGGAUUUCACCCAUCAAACUCCUAGCUUCAUCAUCACCUAAGCACUUGAGAAGAACUCCAUCUAUUGUUCGAUAAUAUAGUUCAUCUCCAAGGAGCACGUACUUGGUGGCUUGAAACCUGAUACGCCUAUCAACCUUUUUAGACAGAUCUUUUAAAUAAUCAAUGAUCUCCUUUCUCCAAUCAUCGGCACUGAUUGCCGAUAACGCAUUCAAUAUGGGUUGAUAUCCCGAGGCAUGCUGAGCCAACCGAUUAGCCUCCUCAUUAUGUAACCGAGGAACAUGGUCUAAUCGGAAAUCCUUGAAUUCCUUUAAUAGUUGCAUACUCUUUUCAUAAUAGGUUAUCAGGACCUCGCUUCGGCAUUCAUAAUUUCCAGCCAACUGAUUUAUAACCAGCAUAGAAUCUUCGAAGAUUUCAACAGCAUCAGCACGCACCUCUUUUAACAAUUCCAACCCUUUGAUCAAGGCUUGAUAUUCAGCUUGAUUAUUCGUUAACGUGGCGACAAUCGUUAAAGAGAACUCAUACUUCUUUCCCUGAGGGGAAAUUAGUACGAUGCCGAUUCCUGUCCCCCGGUCACACGUAGACCCAUCAAAGAAGAGUGUCCAAGGAACAAUUUCCAAUCCACUACACCACAAUGUUGAGUAACGAAAUCGGCCAUGAUCUGCCCUUUAACCGCCUUAGCCGAUUCGUAUCGUAGAUCGAAUUCCGACAGCGCCAAAAUCCAUUUACCGAUCCUUCCACUCAUAAUCGGCAUAGAUAGCAUGUACCGGAUUACAUCAUCUUUGCAUAUAACAGUGCAUUCAGCCGAUAGCAAAUAGUGUCUCAACUUAAUGAAUGAAAAGUAUAAGCAUAAACAUAAUUUUCAAUUGCCGAAUACCUGGUCUCAGCAUCAAUCAGCCUUCUACUUAAAUAAUAAAUCACACGCUCCUUCCCUUCAAAUUCUUGAAUCCGAGCCGAACCGAUGACCACUCCAUCGGUAGACAAGUACAAUCUGAAGGGCCUUCCUUGCUGAGGUGGAAUCAGUACCGGAGGACUCGUUAGAUAAUUCUUGAUUUCAUCCAAAGCUGAUUGUUGCUCUUUUCCCCACACAAACUCUUGAUCGGCUUUCAAUUUAAGUAAAGGACUGAAAGCACGAAUUUUACCAGACAAAUUGGAAAUAAAUCGCCUGAUAAAAUUUAUUUUGCCGAUUAGAGAUUGGAGCUCAAUUUUGUUGGUAGGAGCAACUAUUUUGUUGAUGGCAUCGAUAGAUCUUCUACUAAUUUCAAUUCCUCUCUGAUGCACCAUGAAACCAAGAAAUUGCCCUGCCGAUACACCAAAUGCACACUUGUUAGGAUUCAUCUUUAAACCAUGUUUCUUUGUGCAUUCCAACACUUUUCGCAGAUCGGCAAGAUGCUUUGUGAAAUCCCCAGACUUAACCACCACAUCAUCAAUGUAGAUUUCUACCACCUUGUCAAUGAACUCAUGAAAGAUAAAAUUCAUAGCCCUCUGAUAAGUAGCACCAGCAUUUUUUAGGCCAAAGGUCAUGACUAUACAUUCAAACAACCUAACAUGACCAGGACACCUAAAUGCGGUCUUCGGGAUAUCUUCUUCAGCCAUGAAUAUCUGAUUAUAUCCUGCAUUGCCAUCCAUAAAACUGAUAAUGCGAUGUCCAGCCGCAGCGUCAACUAGCAAAUCGGCAACUGGCAUUGGAUAACCAUCCAUUAGUGUAGCCUUGUUAAGAUUUCUGAAAUCAAUGCAGACUCGAAGCUUCUCAUUCUUCUUGUAAACUGGAACAACAUUGGAAAUCCACUCGGCAUACCGACACUGCCGAAUAAAUUUAGCUUCAAUAAGUUUAGUUAUUUUGGCCUUAAUAUCAGGAAGAAUAUUAGGAUUACAUCGGCGGGCUGGCUGUUGAUGUGGCCGAAAUCUAGAUUUGAUAGGCAACCGAUGUUCAACGAUAGACCGGUCUAAACCAGGCAUCUCGAUAUAAUCCCAAGCAAAGCAAUCUUUAUAUUCCUUUAAUAGAUUGGUUAAUGGUUGCUUACACUCAGAAUCUAACUUAGCUCUAAUAAAAGUAGGCCUUGGCUUAUCACCAUUACCUAUAUCUACUUCUACUAAAUCAUCGGCCGUUGUAAACCCCUGGCCUAAUUUUCCAUCAUCGACGAACCUAUCCAUUAAAACUCCUCGUCAUAAAUGACUGCUUGGAUCGGUGGAAUUUCAUAAUCGGCAACCUUGAGGAAAUCAUUCUCCUAAAUUUCUCCCGAGAUGCACCUGGUCCUCUCAUAAGUAUCUGCUUCUGCCGAUGCAAUGACAUAUGAAGAAUCUCCUGGGACAAUUUCAAUCUUAUCACCUACCCACUAAACCAAACAUUUGUGCAUUGUGGACGGGAUGCAACAAUUGGCAUGGAUCCAAUCUCUUCCCAAUAGCAGAUUAUAAGCACCCUUUCCACUGAUAACGAAGAAAGUUGUUGGCAAAGUUUUGUUGGCGAUGGUCAACACGACGCAUAUUGCCCCCUUAACCGGAGACACAUUCCCUUCAAAAUCCUUCAUCAUCAUAUCGGUCUUGGUCAAAUCUUGAUCUCCUUUUCCAAGCUUCCGAUAGACUGUAUAUGGCAUAAUAUUGAUAGCAGCCCCACCAUCAACAAGUAUCUUGGUCAUCGGCUGCCGAAUCAACCCUACCAUUGACGAAUAGGGCCUUAAGAUGCUGUCUUUCAUUAUCGGCAGGCUUUUCAAAGAUAGCCGUCAUCGGAUCCAGAGCCAACUGAGCUAUCUGGUCGGAAAAAUCCACUUCCUCAUCAUCACUGGAUGGCGCAAGGAACUCGAUCGGCAACAUAAAUACCAUGUUAACAUCUGCCGAUGGCCCUUUUCCUUUAUGAUCCGGCUGCUGCUGAUCCUAGGUUUGCCAGAAUUCUCUCCUUUGCUCAAGUCUUCUCGUCUUUCGUGCUGCAGCCUUCUUUUCUAUGUCCUAGUCAGCCCCUCUGGACACCAUGGAGGAAGUUGCGGCUGCCUUACCGAUUGACGACGAACUUCCCUUGACUCCACUCGGUAAGUAUUAGCAUCUCUGCAAAAUAUGAACUCAUCGAGAACUCGUGCAUCUGCCAUCUCCUCGAGUUCCUCUUGGUUCCUAGGAAAGUACCCAACACGGUCACCAAGUAUAUCAUGCACACUGAGCCUGCCCCCCAGCCGAUCAUGAACCGAAGCUCUCCCCCUAAUCGGCCCAUUAAAUCGCCGAUCAUCAUUUUGAUACUGCCGAUUAGGUCUAUCAUACCGAUCGUAACCAUUGCACUCAGUGCAGUCUCUAAUAGUAGGCAAUUUGAUGUUUUGUUCCCAACAAUGGAUAAAGAAUGGGCAGUUCCAAUGAUCCUUAUGCCGAUUCCACUCCUGUCGAUGUCUUUCUUCUUCCCAACGAUGAUCCUCCUGUUGGCGCCGAUACCGAUCUUCAUGUUGCUGCCAAGUCUCUUGAUGCCUUCUAUGAGUUAUCACAAUACCAGAUCGGGGAGGCCUUCCUGAGCUGGUUCCUUCCUGAACCAGACCCUUGCCUUUAGCGUCAUCGAUAGUAAUCUGAUGUUGAGGAUCCACCGAUGCACUUCUUUCAGCUGCCUCUGACGUUAAAACCUUGGUUUUCCCUUAGCAUCCAACAUAUUUGUUGGAAAAGGAUGCUGGUCAAUCUUCAUCGGCUUCUGAGCUUUGGAAUUAUCAAACUUAAUUCUCCCAGAUUCUAUGGCCGAUUGCAGCUGUUGCUUGAAAACUUUGCACUCAUUUGUGCUGUGGGAUGUUGCAUUGUGCCACUUGCAAUACUUCAUCUUCUUUAAUUCUUCAGCCGAUGGAAUCACAUGAUUAGGAGACAACUUAAUUUUCCCUUCCUGAAGUGGAAAAUCAAAUAUCCUAACAGCCUUGGUAAUGUCAAAUGCAAACUUCUCUGCUCUUUAUGCCCAAAAGGGCAAGACAUCGGCUUCUUGUUUCUCACCCACUCUGCCAAGCCGAUGACUGGUUCUUCAUCAGAAUCUGAGCUUGCUGCCUCAUAGACAAAUGACACCUUUUUAUUCCAUGCUCUCUUGGGUUCAAAAGGUUUAAUAUCUUGGUUAGAAAUCCUCUGCACCAAAUGACUCAUACUCUCGAACUCUUGAGAAGCAUACUUGUCUCUGAUAUGUGGCAACAAUCGCUGGAAAGCCAAAUCGGCUAGUUGCCGAUCAUCCAGAACCAGACUAUAGCACUUAUUUUUGACCUCUCGCAACCUUUGCACAAAACUCUCAACUGAUUCAUCAUUGCGUUGCUUCAGCCUGACUAAAUCAGUAAUCUUCUUCUCAUGAACUCCAGAAAAGAAGUAUUUAUGAAAUUGUUUCUCUAGAUCGGCCCAAGUGAUCACCGAAUUAGGAGGUAAUGAAAUAAACCAAGUAAAAGCCGAUCCAGAUAAAGAUGAUGAGAACAAACGAACCCUUAACUCAUCCCUAUUAGCAGCUUCUCCACACUGGAUGAUGAAUUUGUUAACAUGCUCCAUGGUUGAUGUAUCAUCCUGCCCAGAAAACUUGGUGAAAUCUGGUACCUUGUACCGAUUUGAAAGUGGAAUUAGGUCGUAUGCAGGAGGAUACGGUGUCCGAUAAGUGUCGACGAAAGCUAGUCGGCAGUCUACCCUGGGGUAUACCCACGGUAGUAGUUUAUCGGUAGACGGUGCGCAAACUACGAACUCGAUGGUGACGCAAGACACAGACAAGCUUUUUAUCCAGGUUCGGCCGCCGAGUUGGCGUAAUACCUACGUCCUGCGUCUGGUUGUAUUGAUUUGUGUUGAGAGAAUCGUAUAUCCUAGGGGGGUCCCUUGCCUCUCCUUAUAUAGUCCGGAGGGCAGGGUUACAGAUCUGGAAACUAAUCCUAGUCGGUUACAAUUGCCAUAGAUAGUUCGAUAUCAAUUCCUAUUCUAACCGACUAGAAUCCUGUUUGAUCUCCACGUCUUGUUUCCUUGUGUGAAACUCCGAGCUGUCGGAUCAAACCUUGAGCUUGUCUCGUAAUGGGCCAAGCCUCCUGGCCCAAGUCUAGCCGUAAGGGUACAGGGGUUUAUACCCCCACAGCUAGUCCCCGAGCACCAUGUACUGUGAUGUAACACGCCGUCUUGAGCUUCUUCGAUCAGUGAGGCUUGACGUCUUCAAUAAGCUGGAAAAUCGCCCAAACAGUUGCAACAGUAUUUUGACCAACUCAAAAGACAGUUGAUCAAUAUUGACAUCGAAGAAGCAGGUUGUUCGAAGAAUGCAUGGUGCUCUUAAAUUAAAAAAGAUUUCUUUCCCGGUGAAGUGUGCCCACUUUACUUUUGCUAAAAGUAUAGACUUCAAAAAAGCAAGCAUAUUCACCGCCAGGUGAAGUGUGCCCACUUAGUCCCUGAGCCUGGUAGUAGGUGACGUAGGCACGUGGUGCCAGGGUCAAAAGAACAGUCCUCAAAGAAAUUCUGAAAUUGAGAUGCAUCGCCAGAUGCAUCGUACCGAUGUAGUCCCCGAGCUUGCUGGAAGGCAAAGUAUGAGCCUUGUAGCAAGGUCUAAAAAAUUGAAUUUACCAGUCCGUCUGUAAUUGAAUAGACUAAUCGACCACUCCCCGAGCAUAUAACGCUCGGUGGUCGGUAUAGUCCCCGAAUUCUCAAAUUGGUAGGCUAGUCGACCAGUCCCCGAGCGUAUAGUGCUUGGUGGUCGGUGCAGUCCUUCACAUCCGAGUUAAUAGACUGAGCGACCAGUCCCCGAGCAUCAAGUGCGCUCUUCAGAAUUCCGAGACGCUAUACUAGACGACAGUCCCCGAGCAUCGAACGCUCAGUGGUUGGCGUGAUGUUUUGAAGUUCCGAACUGAUAGAUUAGGCGACCAGUCCCCGAGCAGCAAGUGGUCGGUGGUCGUUGCAGUCCCCGGGUCGGAGAUGAUAGACUGGGCGACCAGUCCCCGAACACCAAGUGCUCAGUGGUCAGUACAGUCUUUGAGGUUCCGGGCAGAUAGACUGGGCGACCAGUCCCCGAGCACCAAGUGGUCGGUGGUCGGUGCAGUCCCCGGAUUGUUGACUCUCUACCAGUUUUGUCUGCUUGUUUGAAAAUUUUUCCACAUUAAGAGUUGAUGUGACGAGACUUUCUGACGGGAUGUCAGAUGGAUGCAUGAAAAGUUGCGCCUGGCAACUGUGCAGCCGCCCUUUGCGCGGUUUGAGAAAAAGGAAACCAUCAAUUUGUACGAAAACUCCGCCGCAUUAAUUGUCGAUAAUCAUUGAUAACCGAAGCGUCACGCCCGCCGUAUGGCCUGCCCGCUUCCCGAGAAUGCGGGAAGUGGGAGGGGUGAAGUUGCGGGUUAUAAGAGCUCGACAGUUCCACCUGUGCUGCUUACCCUUCCAUUGCCUUCAAACCUUCGACUCUCCCCUUCUUCAAUCACCUGCAUCUUGCUAACUCAAAUCCACUUCCUCACCUCCAAUGGCGAAAAGCGACUCCAAGAAGCGGGCCGAGCUGAUGGCCAAGGAGUGGAAAAAGUCCCGCAGCACCGCCAAGUCCCUCGGUGACCUCGUCGACAUGGGGCUUCUGCACGGCUCGGAGCUCGGCGGCUGGAGAGCGCUGGAAGGAGAGAGCUUCCUCGAUCCCCGUGCCGGUGAGAUCGUCGUGUUCGAAGAUUUCGUUAAGAGGGGCUUUGGGAUUCCUGUUCAUCCUUUUCUUCAAGGUCUUCUUUUGUAUUAUGAGAUCGGGAUUUGCAAUCUGCACCCGAACUCAAUUCUUCUCAUCUCCACUUUUAUCCAUCUGUGCGAGGCCUAUGUUGGCAUAGAGCCGCACUUCGAUCUCUUUCGUUAUCUUUUCUGCUUAAGGAAGAAGGGGGCAGUUGGAGGCUCCAAGGUUGCAGGUGGAGUAUACCUCAACCUUCACGACGGAAUGAAGAACCGCUACCUGCACUGUCCAUGGAACACCUCCCUGACCGAAUGGUACAGGAAGUGGUUCUACAUCAGAGAGGAACCGGGCAGCUCCACGUUCUGUGACGUGGGAUACAUCCCUGAGAAGAGGGUAAGCUGGACCGACCGCCCAGAGUUUGAUGGUCAAGUGGCGGACCUCAUGAAGCUGAUCGACUGGUCGCACCUGGACGGGCUUGGCGUGGUCGGCAACUUCAUUUGUCGUCGGGUGAUGCCCUGCCAGAAAAGGGUUCACUCGGCGUAUGAGUAUGCCGGGAGCCUGGACCCGACCAGGAUGCGGCCUGAAGUCUUGGAGAAGGAGGAGGUACAGUAGCUAUUGAAUGAGGUGUUCAACUUCGCGGACGGCGGCUUCGUCCGUGCUAGUGAUCGGGUGCAAGCCUUCAAGUUGGGGCGACCAGCACCAAAGGUAUGUUACAGAUUAUUUUGUUUUGGCAUUCGUAUAUCGUCUGCAGCUGGCUCAUCUUUGUUACUUUUGCAGAUUGGUGAUGUCGACCGGUGUACAGUGUAUGUAUCACUGGCACCGGGGAUGGAGAAUCCUGCGGGAGAAUACCCGCCAGAGGAAGACGCUGCUCGGUGUACUCAUUACACUAGCAGUGAGGAAGACCAGGCCUGCCCUGUCCCGACCACCCAGGAUAGAGUGACGGGGAAAAGGCCAAUGCCCGCGGAUCCGUCGCCGGCACCAUCGCUGCCGGUAGAGAGCAGCCGAGCGCCAAAGCGCCGUCGGUUCGUUCGGAUCGACGACGACGACGAGGAGGAGGAGGCCGUGCCAUCAUUGGUCCGGAGGCCUCAUGGCCAUCCGGACAGCGUGCCGACCACUGCUGAUCGUGUGGCCGGCGACCCUCCUGCGCCUCGUGUUGCAGAGUCGGGAGCACAGGUGCCGACUGGCCGGACGAGGAGGAGGUUCACUGCGACCCACCGUCGCUCAGACCUGUAAGUGUUCGACUUACGUAUUUUGGCUAUAUUUUUUUUUGAUGGCACUUUUGUUCUUUUAGCGCGGCGUCGGAUGUCAACCCCGGCCAUGCCGCCGGCCAGGGGACGGGUGAGCCUGUCUGUGCAGCUGAGGAUGCGGCGCCGCAGACCACGGAGCAGCCUGCGGCUGCAGCCGUGCCUGUGAGCACCGAGGAGCCCCCAGCCGCGGCACCGACCACGGCGAGCAGCCCGACCAGGGCUGAGGAGGCUACAGGGGCACCUCCCCCAGCGAACGCCACAGAAGGGGAGGGGAGAGCCCCGACCCCUCCUCCCGCCGAGGAGAGAGAAGUCCCCACGCCGCCCCGAGCAGGGGCCGCUUCGACUGCAGGCUCCCCGGGUCUGGCCCGGGGGCCAGUAAUGCCUUCGAAUGCUACCGGGGGCAAUGCGACGGGUGAGGAGGAAACCCAGGAGGCCUCCGACGACGAGGUGGAGGAGAUUGAAGGUCGUCCCCGCGAUGGCCGCCAACACGUGUAUGUGUGGCGCCAACACGGGGAUCACUUCAUCGGGCAUGAGGAGCUCACCGAGACCGAGGAGGCCACCAGGGUGGAGCGCGCGGCCAAACGCCUCGUCGACGAAGUCAAGGUAAGCGGUUCUUUGCACUGUUGUACAUUCUGUGCGUUGUCUUGCUUGGUUGUCAUAUGUUCGUUUUGUAGGGCGCGAUGAAAACGGCGAAGUACCGGAAAUGGUGCUUCGACCAGAUAGAAGGCGUUGUGGCCGAGAACAAGGCCCUGGCCGCGGAGGUGGACCGGCUGCGAUCAGAGGUUGGGGAGAAAGUGGCCGAGAUGAAUGCCCAAGAGGAGCAUCGUCUUGAGCUUACCCGUCGCUGGGCCAACCAGUACCGUCAGCAAGAAGGUUAGUCACGCGCUCCGAGCACCUUCGUGUAGCUGUGUAGUUCGCUUUGCUGACCAGGUUAUGAUUCACUUAGACCUGGAGGAGGAGGUGACGCGCCUCCGACACGAGAAGGAGCAGCUCAGCCAAGAGCUCGCUGGUGCGCUGGAGUCCGGGCGCCGAGCAGGAGAGGAGUUGGGUCGUAAGGACCGGGAGUUAUCUGGUAAUACGCACCGCCUCGUUAUCUGCCGCUUGUCGCCCCCUUUGUUUUUUGAUAUGUCGAAGAUAACGUCCUGCUUGAUUUGCAGUGCUCAAGGUGAACGCCAAGAAGCACCUGGAUGAGCUGGUCAAGGACCGGGACUCCUGGAAGGUCAAUUGUUGUAAGAUCUGGAAGGGAGUAUCCCCGGUCCUGGAUCUGAUCAGUCCCGAGCUCCCGGAGAGCCAGCCCCGCGCGCCGAAGUUGACUCUGGUGGAGAAGGCGCAACGGGCGUGGGACUGGCUCCAGCAAUUUGUGAAGGACGCUGGGGAGUUCGCUGGCGCGCAUGUCCUUAGCAUGGUGCGCGCCCACUACCCCCUGGUCGACUUGUCCAGGCUAGAGAAGGGGUACCCCAAGGAGGUCGGCCCGCAGGAGGCGGACGAGCUUCGGGGUGGUCUGCUGACUUGUCGUCGAUGGUGAUCGGCGACAUCAAUCUGUGCGGAACGGCCACUCCCCCAGACCAGACGGGCUCAGACAGGUCGGCCAGGGAGCUGUCGGGCACGUCCAUUGCAGGAGAUGGGUGGUCGACGCCUGCGGUCUCGACCAGCCAGGCGCCGGUGGCCCCGACCCCUUCGUUCGGGCAGCAGGGCCAGGCGGGUGAUCAGCCCGAGCAGCUAGGCCGAUAGGAUAGUCUAUAGGAGUAGACUAGCGUCUGCCCGUCAGGGUAUUUAUUGUAAACUUUGUAUGUAAAGUUUGUAGUAAAGUUUGCCUUUAUCAUGACUGUUAUUUUGAGCGCUGUAUAAUUAUCUGAGUGACGUAUCACUGUAUUUGACUUUGUAGUCGCUAAGAGAUUCCAUUGCAGAAGGUUUGCCGAGUUCUGCGUGCAACAAAAUAUAGGCAAAAAAUAGAAAACUUUAUCAUUGAUAAUUAUAAGAUAUUUACAAACGAAAGUUAUUAGAACUUAUGGAUAAAAUCGUCGCAGUCUGUCUAUGUGCCAAGAGUUAGGCACACGUGUUCCGUCUGGGUAUGCCAAUCUGUAGGACGUGGGUCGUGUGACUUCGGCGACCACGAAGGGUCCUUCCCAGGGAGUGGAUAGCUUGUGCAUUCCCUCUUGGCUUGUUCUCCACCUAAGUACCAGAUCACCGACCACGAAGGAACGGUCCUUGACGUGCCUGUUGUGGUAUCGCUUGACUGCCGCGAGAUACUUUGCUGUUCGGAGACAGGAAUGCAAACGAUUUUCCUCCAUGCAGUUGAUUUCGAGUUCUCUGGCGUUGUCGGCUGUCGCCUGAUCGAAGUGUUCAAUCCUAGGAGAUCCGAAGGUUAUGUCAGACGGCAGGACUGCCUCGGAGCCGUAAACCAUGAAGUAGGGAGACACUCCUGUGUUUCGACUGGUCUGAGUUCGGAGGCCCCAGACCACUGCCGGCAACUCUUUCAUCCAUCGACCGGGUGCUCUGUCGUUCUCGGUGUACAGCCUUUUCUUUAGGGCGUCAAUGAUCAUUCCGUUUGCACGUUCGACUUGACCAUUGGCCCGUGGAUGAGCCACUGACACGUAUUUUAUGACUAUGCCCCUGUCAUCGCAGAAGUCCCAAAAUGUGGUGCCAGUAAACUGAGUACCCAGGUCGGUGAUUAUGCUGUUCGGGAUGCCGAAUCUGUGUAUGAUUUGAUUGAGGAACUCCACAGCCUUCUCGGAGGUUGCUUUAACCAGAGGCAUGUAUUCGAUCCACUUGGAGAACUUGUCGAUUAACACGAAAACAAACUUGAAGUUGCCGGGAACUGGUUUAAAUGGCCCGAUCAUGUCAAGCCCCCAGCAAGCGAAGGGCCAGGACGACGGGAUGGUUUGAAUUUCGUGAGCAGGUACGUGGGUCCUCUUAGCAAAAAACUGACAUCCCUCGCAGUGUCGAACCAGUUUUUCUGCGUCGUUGACCGCGGUUGGCCAAUAAAAACUUGCCCGGAAGGCUUUUCCGACCAACGUUCUGGAUGCGGCGUGAUUGCCGCAGGAUCCAGUAUGUAUGUCUUCUAGGAGCUUGGUACCAUCAUCCUGGGAUAUGCACUUGAGCAAUACUUCAGAGCUUGCGUUUUUUCGCAUGAGUUUACCGUCGACCAGGAUGUAGUUCUUUGACCGUCGAAUGAGGCGCUCGUUCUCUGUUUUGUCCUGAAAGCCUGUCCCGUCCGAUAUAUACUUGAUGAAUGGUGUACGCCAAUCACGACCACCGGUUGUCGGAGUGGCAUCGUCUAUGAGCAUUGCCUCGGUGAGUUGCUUGUCGACCAGGGUGGAGCCUACGCUUGGCUCGUGGAUGUCCUGGACGAAAAUACCCCGCGGGAUCUGGGCCCGAGAUGACCCUAACUUCGACAACGCAUCUGCUGCUUGGUUCUUAUCCCGGACCACAUGGAUGUACUCUAUGCCGUAGAAGUUAGUUUCCCAUUUGCGAAUUUCUUUGCAGUAGAGAUCCAUCUUCUCGUGGGUUGCGUCCCACUCCUUGUUGAGCUGGUUGAUAACCAAAGCGGAGUUUCCAUAGACAUAGAGGCAUUUGACUCCCAGCUCAACGGCUAGCCUUAUGCCGUGCAGGCAUGCUUCGUAUUCGGCGACAUUGUUUGACGCUGGAAAAAGGAUCCUAAGGACGUAACGCAGUUUGUCCUUGUUAGGUGACACGAACAGUAUCCCAGUGCCGGCACCGUUGAUGUUCAAGGACCCGUCAAAGAACAAUGACCAGUGGUCGGAGACAUCGAGAACGGGGGGCUCGUUGAGAUCCGUCCAUUCAGCAAUGAAAUCGACCAGGGCCUGAGACUUGACUGUGGUGCGGCUCUGGAACUCCAGGAAAAAUGGGCAUAAUUCCAUCGCCCAUUUCACGAUUCUGCCGUUGGCGUCUUUGUUGCGCAGAAUGUCUCCGAGAGGGAAACUGGUGGUUACCAAAACUCGAUGGCUGUCGAAGUAGUGCUUCAGCUUUCUUGAUGUUAUUAGAAUGGCGUAUAUGAGCUUCUGUAUUUGUGGGUACCUGGCCUUGGACUCGUUUAAGACUUCACUUAUGAAGUAAACGGGUCUCUGGACCUUAUAGGCAUGACCUGGUUCAUCAUGCUCGACCACUAUUGCUGUGGAAACAACCCUGUCGGUUGCAGCAAUGUAAAGGAGUAGGUCUUCAUUGGGCUGAGGUGCUGUGAGGACAGGUGGUGAAGUGAGGAAAGCCUUAAGCUGAGUGAACGCGGCGUCGGCUUCCUCUCUCCAAGAGAAUUUUUCCGACGCUUUCAAGAGUUUGAAGAAAGGGAGGCCUUUUUCUCCUAGCCUUGAGAUGAAGCGACUGAGGGCGGCCAUACAUCCGGUAAGCUUCUGAAUAUCCUUGACGUUCUUGGGUGGUCGCAUGUCGAGUACUGCUUUUACUUUUGAAGGGUUUGGUCGUAUGCCGUCGUAACUGACAACGUUGCCGAGCAGUAGACCGGAAGGAACACCGAAGAUGCACUUUUUGGGGUUGAGCUUCCACUUGUACCUAUUAAGCGCCUUGAAAGUUCGGUCUAAGUUGUCGAUUAGGGUGCUCGCGUCCCUUGUUUUUACGACCACGUCGUCUACAUAGGCCUCGACGAGGUCAUCACGAAUCUCGUCGUGGAGGCACUGCUGGAUGGCCCGUUGAUAAGUGGCUCCGGCGUUUUUGAGUCCGAAUGACAUGGUCGUGUAGCAGUAUGCGCCGAAAGGGGUAAUGAAAGAUGUUUUGAUCUGAUCGUCUUCCUUUAGUGAAAUCUGGUGGUAACCAGAGUAGCAGUCUAGAAAAGAGAGAAGUUCGCAUCCGGCCGUUGAGUCGACCACCUCGUCGAUGCGAGGGAGACCAAAAGGAUCUUUAGGACAGUGUUUAUUGAGAUCAGUGUAAUCAACGCACAUUCUCCAUUCAUUAUUCUUUUUGCGUACAAGAACCGGAUUGGCGAGCCAAUCGGGGUGAUACACUUCUUUUAUGAAUCCGGCUGCUAGAAGCCGUGUUAUUUCUGUCCUAAUAGCCUCCUUUUUGUCACGAGCGAACCGUCGCAGCUUUUGCUUGAUUGGUCUUGCGGUCUUCGAGACAUUUAAGGAGUGCUCGAUCAGGUUUCAUGGGACGCCGGGCAUGUCUGCGGGUUUCCAUGCGAAAACGCUCACGUUGUCCCUUAGAAACCUGACGAGCGCGUCUUCCUAUUUUGGAUCCAGAUUGGCCCCGAUGAGGGCCGUCUUCUCGGAGCUGCCGUCGACCAGCUGCACUUCUUUGUACUCCUUGGAUUUUGAAUUCUUCCUGGCUGUCUCUUGUUCGGGCAAUCGGAGCUGGUCGGGAGGUAGCUGCGCGGCUUGGGUUGCUGUUUCUACCAUGCGGAUUGAGAGGUCGAUUGCUUCGGUGAUCUUGAAGCUCUCUUCUUUGCAGGUAUACGCGGUGUAGACAUUGCCUCUGACGGUUAGGACACCCUUCUCCGUAGGCAUCUUAAGGACCAGGUAUGAGUAGUGCGGGACUGCCAUGAACUUUGUCAGAGAUGGUCGGCCCAGUAUAGCGUGGUAGGUCCCGUUGAAGUCCGCGACCACGAAGUUGAUGAACUCCAUCCGAAAGUGGUCGGGUGUGCCAAAUUGGACAGGCAAUGUUAUCUGUCCGAGAGGCACUGAACUCUGACCUGGCAAAACCCCCAAGAAUUGGGCAUCGUAAGAUUUUAGUUGUGCCGGAGAUAUCUUGAGAGCGGGCAGGCUGUUGCGGAAGAGGAUGUCGAUGGAGCUUCCUCCGUCCACGAGCACGCGCUCGAAUCUGAUGCUGUUGAUGCAAGGGUCCAGGAUCAGAGGGAAACGACCUGGCUCUGGGAUGGCGGCCCACUGGUCCUUCCUGCUGAAUGAGAUCUCUCUGUGCGACCACAGGGGAAAUUUUAGGUCUGCGAUCAGUCCGUCCGUGCUGUCUAUGUUGAGGCAGGCUCUCCUUAAUAGCUUUCUUUAACGCUUAGAUUCGAUGGAGACCUUGCCCCCGAAGAUGGAGUGGACCACGUCAGUGGGGCUGACGUAUUGGUGUCGGGGGUCCCUAUCUUGGUCCUCAUCCUCGUCUUCGUGGUCGUGCCCGUCUCGCUUGCCGUUUUUCUUGGCGGAGUCGUCUUGGGCGGCCCGCCGUGUAUAGAUGCUUUUGAGGACGCGACACUCUUCCAUGGUAUGAUUAGACUUUGGAUGUAGUUGGCACGGUCCCUUCAACGUUUUGUUGUAGUCUUCUUGGUAGUCCCGCCGCCCGUUGGGGCGCUUGACCGUAUUUACUUCGUGGUCGUAGUCGUGGGGGCGCUUUCCUCUGAAAUCAUCGCGGUUGUCGCGCCGCCGAUCCCAACCUUCUCUGUGAUCGCGGUUGUCGGGGUGUCGGUGGUUCCUGUUGUCGUAGCGACCGCGACCGUCGUCUCGCCGGGGAGGCUGGUCGGGACCUCUCGCAUCGUCUCGGAUUAGUUUUUCUGCGUCGUCAGCAUCGGCGUAAUUUUUGGCCGUGGCGAGGAGCUCCGCCACCGUUGUUGGCCGUUUACGCAACAGCUUGUUCCUCAGCGCUUCAUGGAAACGUAGGCCCUUGAUGAAGGCAGAGAUGGCCUCGUUGUGGGAAAUCUUUGGGAUCUUAAGGCGCAUAUCCGAGAAUCGUCGGAUGUAGUCGCGCAGAGGUUCGUUCUUCCUGUCCCUUAUCCUUUCGAGGUCAUACUUGUUUCCAGGCUGCUCGCAUGUGGUGAUGAAGUUGUCGAUGAAAGCCUGGCGUAGCUCUUCCCAAGAGUCGAAGGAGUCCUCGGGCAAGCCAAGGAGCCACUGAUGACCAGCUUGAUCGAGGACUACGGGGAAGUAGUUGGCCAUGACGUGCUCAUCUCCCGCUGCUGAUCGGACGGCGAUUUCAUAGAGAGUGAUCCAGUUCUCUGGAUUUUCCUUGCCAUCGUAUUUUUUAAGUUUUUCGAGCUUGAAAUUGCGGGGCCACACGACCUGGCGGAGGUGUGAGGAGAAUUGUCUUAGGCCCGGGGGGCCGUGUGUUGCAUCGUACUCGAUACGACGCAGGUUUUCGUGGACUGCUCUCUCUGUGGCACGCCUGUUGAUGCGGUCCCGGGCAUCUUUGGGAGGGAUGUUGUGCCGGAGAUCCCUGUGUUGGUUUACUUCUUGACCGCGUCUGCGGUUCUGCUCGCGGUGACCGUCAGUGUCCUGACCACCAUCGUCGCGCCGUGAAUCUUUUCGAUGGUUGUCGGGAGAGCGGCUACGGCGACGCCUGCUGGGAGGCGGUGAGGUCCGGCUACGAUUAGUCUGGUCGGAGGUGGCUUCCGUGUAAGAGACGUCCUGGACUCUCUUGAGCAGAGUGGCUGUCUGUCCCAUUGCGGCGAUCAGGUGUGCUCGGAUGCUGGUCCGGACUCCUUGGCACCCAGGGGUAUCAGGGAGCCGAUCUAGAUUAGCCAUGGCGACAGCCACGUUGGCGCUUGGCGUCUUGUAGACUGGCUGGUCCCCGACCAUGUCAAAAGCGUCGUUGAGAUUAUGCGGUGGAAUUUGUUGUUGCUCGUCUGCACGUCGUCGGGCGCGAUCGGCAUUGCGCUGCUCGCGGAGUUGCCUCUGCUCAUCCGUUUCUCCAUCGACGACCGGUUCAUCGGCGCUGACGUUGAAGACAAUAUCUCCUCGCCGAGGGGGGAAUACCGGGAAACGAGGGAAACCCGGAGGGUGUGAAGGCAAAUCUAGGUCGUAGUCCUCGUCUUCGGUGUUUAUAACUUCGGUGGGGACGGAACCGGUGCUCGAGUUGGUGCUGGAAGCCUGGCCAUCCCGUAGUUCUCGGAUUGUCACCAUGUUGACGUAGUGACGACCGUUCCUUUUCGGCGGCCAACCCGCCUUGCUGAAAACGGAUUGGAUGUGCCGUGAGUAAAGAGAGGCCGAGUUGUUCAGGCCGCAAGGAUGAUCUCCCUUCUUGAGCUUGACGGAUCGUCCUGAGGGGGUUGAGGUUAUUGUUGAUAUUUGGUAACGCAAUUAGAAAAUGAUCCGCAAGCGCACGGAUAUCGGUGAGCAUUUCACCCGGGAGGUUUUCCAGAGUAUCGUAUUUAUAUUUUUACCACUGGGAGAAAGGGUGCAUCUGACUAACCAAAACUAUUGCUACUAUCCCUUUAGGCUACAAAGAAUGUCUCUCGAUGUGAGUGAUGUAUAGAGAAGACUGCAACCGUAGUCUCGUUCUAACCUUAGUAAGGAUGAUCUACUGUUCUAUUGGGGAGGCUCACAGAAUCUAGACAAAACAAAGGAUGUUCGACCCGCACCUAUAAACCUACCCGUCCUGCUAACGAGAUGUGAUCUGCAAAGGUAACUCGGAAAUGUCACGUUCCUCGCUACUACCACGGUCCAGCUAGUCAGGGGAUAUCUAUGAGUACCCUAGCGAAACGGUCCUUCUAUGCGUUUUUGGGUCGAUAGGCGAGGUGGUACUAUGUUUUCCUUGAUCCAAUAGGUCGGUGGAACAUCCCGAGCGAAAGAGUCCUGAUUUGGCUCCAACAGGGGGGCGGGCGCCCAGGCUACCAGGGCGGGCGCCCUGGGCCUGGCCCAGUUUCGCCUCCGCUUCGGUCUCUUGGCUUCUGGAGUCUUCUAGAUGAUGUAAAAUCGUGCGGUGCGUUGAUAUCUCUAUGUAAUCCCGACAUGUGGGCCUUUCUUCCUUAUUUCCUGAUAACCCCCUGCAGAAAUAGACAAACACCAAAACUCGUGGAAUUCUGUCAGAUAAAACCCUAAGUCUAGAUGUUGAUUUCAUUUGGAUCCUUUUCUUUGUUUAUUUGAUAAUUAAAUUUGAUACUUAAGGACCGUCAACAAGCUCCCCCAAGCUUACCUCUUGCUCGUCCCUGAGCAAGGAUAGACUCAGCAAUGGAUUAGAAGUAGUUGCAAUAUCUUUAAAAAUUUGACGGUACGCAAGCUUUUAAAUAAGAUCUCAUCUCUGGGUUAGAGUAAACUGUCAAGACUUAAAACUUACUUACUUUACCUUUCACCAUGGGACUUGUAACUGUCACCUCUGUCUUGAGAGGUUAAAAGAUAGAACAGUCUAGUCAAGUGCCAUGUCUCUUAUUCUUGAUCAGCUAUAGCUCUGGGGUUUUUGCAGAUUUUCAAAUAAAACUCAGAGAUUCCUUGUAUGAUUCUCUCAGGUCUCUCUUUUGUGGUAUUUUUGGAUCCUUACCAAGGCAGUGAUGGUAUAUGCCUUCUCUCAAUAUAUGUGGUAUUUGUGGUAUGAGGCAUAGUGACAUUGCCUACUCUCUCACCCUACUCUAAUAAGGCUUUAAUAUCUGGAGCUCAUAGGUGGGAGAUAAAAUAUACAUACUUACAAGACAUUUAUUGCAUAGUCAAACCAUGGAUCCAAAGAAACAAAUCAAUAAGCCAAAUCAAGAUGUGUAUGUGUGGCGAAUGAAUGGUGUAUGGUGAUGAUGGUGAUAACAAUGGUGAAAACAAUGGUGGUGGAAGUCUAAUUCUACUUUGCUCUUUGAGGGGAUACAUACCUUCCUUGCUUUUGAAACUUUAUGAGGAGAAUGAGAUGCUCUUCUUUUUCUUUCCUCUCAGGUGGGUAUCUUGUACCCCUAAUUCUACUAUCGGACACUUGUCCAUUUUUACCUCUCGUCUCACUUUUUCUUUUUUUUUCGAGGUUCCGGGCACUUGCCCCUUUUUAUUUCCUCGUUUCUUUUAUUUUCUUUUUCUCUCUUUUUUUUAGAGCAUUCAUCUCUUGAGAUAAUAUAGCAAGUGGUAGUAACAAGAUAACUUGAGCAUUUAUUUCACAAAGGGAAACAGAAAUAUUUUUGGUUAUUCUCUCCCGGAUUAGGAGUAGAAUAUUUUUAGGUGAUUCUGGAGAUGGAAAUGAGUGGAUAUAUGUGGAUGGUACUUCCGGAGUGGAAGUAGCAUAUAUGAGUGGACGUGCAAGUGAAAUCUUGAUUUAACCACAUGACAAGCUCCUAAGGGUCUACACAGCUUGACCACACUCAAUGUUCAUAAGCAGUAAAUAAUAAAUGUGUGGCUCAAGGUCUAUGUAUAUAUGGCUGUGGUAGGAAUUUAAACUCUCAUCAUACAGGAACUCAUCAUGCAACAUUUUAAAGAUUUUCAAAGAUAAAAUUCUCCAGAAUUCUAGCAUCUCUAGGAACAGAUAAACAGCAGCUCAACCUUCCCAUAUCGUAUCCGUUAACAACUUAGACUUCAGAUCAAGUUUUCAUCCCACAAGUUUAGGUCUAGAGCAAGCCUUAAAUUAUAACAGUUAUGUCUAAACUUGAGAGAGAACUUAAAAUGUGCAAAUUAGGCAGAGCAACUAUUCAUCAUAUCCAUGCUUGAGUUAAAUACAGAUUAGCAUAGCCACUUUAUUUAUUUAUUAAACACACUAAGCAAAAUAUAUAUAAGCAUAAAAUCUUUAUUUGGUUUUUCAUAGUUAUGUGUAUAAUAUAAGUAUGAAGAUAGAUAGAAAUACUUAUCGAGGUAAAUGGGGGUGCUCUCCCCCAAGCUGAAUUUUGACGUAAUUUCUCUUGAUGUAGCUAGCAGGUGGCAGAGGUGUAUUUGAAAGUCAGCAACAUUGUGACAGCAAUUAGAAUGUCCUCCGUCUGCUAGUCUUCGUGAUUCUUAAAUUCUAUGGAGCUCAAAUAGACAACAAAGCUUGUGGAACUGAUUAAGUGUUAGCAUAAAUAUCUAGCCUUUAUUAUCUUGAGACUCCUUAAUAAUCAUUACUCCCUGUUUUUAUAUUUUUGUUUUCAUAAAGUAGAAAAAUAUUUAUUUUAUUUUUAUGCCACCACAGUGAAUGUACUUAUGGGUUUUAUGCCACUCGUGUACUCACAUGGGGCUUACUGUUUUUCACAUUUUUAUUUUCUUUUUAGGAUAAUACGAACAUGAUUAACUAAGUAAACUAUUUGAAAUAAUUGAAAGGGAAAGGAUAACUACCAAGUUUACCUCUUGGCAAGGCGUUCGGUGUUUUUAAGUCCUCCGAACGGGACUCUCUAUUUUCUUAAUCAUCCUGAGGUUCGUUGGGUGGCGUAGUCGGUACUUCCGGCAGCGCCUCCUCUUCAUUUAUAGUUAUCUUCAUUUUUCAUACCUGACUCGGUGUUACGGUCUCCUCAGGGCAGUUCUGUUCAAGUUGUAUGUCUUCAGUCCUUAUCACUUCCCCUUCGUAGUCUACCCAUCCGUCCUUGAUGAUUUGCCUCCUCUGGUUGCAGUUGUGUUGUCUUCUUCUUGUCCUGUCCAGCUUAGAAUCUUCAACUAUAUAGUUAGAAUCAUUAAAGUAGUGGUGUACCUUCUCAGAGGGGAAGUGCAUGUGGACUUCUCCGGUUCCAAUAUAGAUAAUGGCUUUGAUAGUGCUGAGGAACGGUCUUCCAAGGAUGGUGGAUGGAUCAUACUCGUCUUCUCCCAUGUCAAUGACUUGGAAAUCAUCUGGAGCUGAAUAUAUGUUGGUUGUAGGGGCAUGGUUCCAUGCAGGAGCUGAUAAGUGACUGCGGCCAUUAUGUUGUCGUCAGAUCUGGUGUCGUAGAGUGUCUUCUGAAAAGAGUAUCUAUUGAUUGUGCAUUCGAUUCUUGGAACACCAGGGUCGUCCUUCUUGAUCAAGAAAGGUGACUUGCGUCGACGAUCUUGACCUCCUUGAGCUGCAGUGACCAUCUGAGCUGACUCAGUCCACAUUUGCUUGUUCUUGUUCCUCCUGUUGGUCCUCUUCCUUGGUUCAUGUCGGGUUUGCUCUGAAGCUUGUGUAGUCUUGUUCUUGAAGGAAAGUCUCCUUCUUCCCCUUGAUGUAGAGACUAAUCUUGGCAGCAUUAGCGUAGAUGACAGCUCUGGUGUUUAGGAAUGGCCUCCCUAAGAUGAUGGGUGCCCUCUCCUCAGUACCAGUCUCUAGCACCACGAAAUUUGCUGAAGCGUACAAGGUACCAACUCGGACACAGAGGUUCUUCAAUAUUUCCU